GCCGUUCGGGGUGUGCUACGACACGAAGACGCUGGGCAACAACCUCGGCGGGUACUCGGUGCCCAACGUCCAGCUGGCGCUCGAUGGCGGGAGUGACACCUGGACGAUGACCGGGAAGAACUCGAUGGUGGACGUCAAGCCGGGGACGGCGUGCGUUGCGUUCGUGGAGAUGAAGGGGGUGGAGGCCGGCGACGGCAGGGCGCCGGCGGUGAUCCUCGGAGGGGCCCAGAUGGAGGACUUCGUGCUCGACUUCGACAUGGAGAAGAAGCGGCUCGGGUUUAGCAGGCUGCCGCACUUUACGGGUUGCGGCGGCCUGUAAUAAUAAGUCUGUUUAACGACAGUGUAUUCGUCGACUACUGCAUGUAAUAAAUAAGGGAAACACUCUCUUCCAUCAAUGGUCUGAUAAAAAGCAGUUAUCAGACCUAUCAGCGUCCGUCAAUUCUGGUUGAAUCUCACGGUCAAGAUACCUCUUAUCCGGUCGCCCUUUAAAACAAUCAUGUCAUUCGUAAUGACCCGCAUUGGUCGCCCAUAACCCCCUCCAAAAUCUCCCGCACGAAUAUCCUUCCGAGGCUCCGACCCUCCCCACUUCGUAUCUCUUGCCUCACGCACCUCCCUAAUCUCGCCGCCAACUGCACCGACCCCGUCCUAUGCGAUUGCGUUCCCCAUUGCAUGCUUCAUCCACGCGUCCUCGUCAACCCCGUACUACGCCGUCACUAGGGCAUUUUUAACCGAUCCCCUAAAAACACCCCCCCCCUCCCCCCCCCGCAUCGUCUCCUCUGAGGCAACUCGGGGGACAACCCUAGCCGCUGCAUUUAGCCCCUUUCCCUCCCUUCCUCACCCCUUCACUGUCGCUAGAGGAGCCCAUCGGCACGCCCGCGAGGCUCCGAUGAAGGUGGCUGCGGGGAUCCCGGUGGAUCCACCCCGUGUGAAGGGCCUUGGCUUCCGGGGCGGCGGCCCUGGGUGGCGGUGCGCGACAUGGCCUGUGCGGCGGGCGGCGGCGGCGGGUGCAGGUGGGCUGCCUCCCUGGCCGUGCGGGUAGCGCGAAGGUGUCGGGUGUCAUCUGCUGCGGCAGCCCCUCGGGGUCUGUGUGCCAUGGAGAAGAGGCGUCCUCAACUUCGAGCGCGUUACCCAUGCCACGUCGACAGAGGGCCCAACCGGCUGGCAAGAAAAAUACAUUGGUGGUCCUAAAAGUUUCUGAGCAGUGUCACUUUAGUCCUACUUCUUUCAACCUGCACGUUUAGGUCCUAAUUCUACAGUAAGUGGCUCACCCAACAUCCUUUUUCGCACAAUCAUUCACAGACCUGCUUGGUUGCAUGUUGACCCAUGCCACGUCCAUUUAGGGUCAUUAGCAGAUGAGGAACAUUGCAAAAAAUCCUAUUUUUUCGCCGUUAUCGUCCCGUAGCUAUGUGAUUUCCUCUAUCUGCCACAAUCACUAGCUGUAGGCAUUGAUUUAGUUCGAUUUGCACUAUUUUAUUAGUUUCCUCAAAUCGCUUGCUUCGAUUUGGGGUUAGGCAGUAGGAGCAUGUGGAGGAGGCAGCGUUGCCGACGCUGCUGCAACACUCCUCUUCGUCACUCAUUUCUUUGCCGAGGACCUUGCUGCCCCAGCCAUGGCGACGGUGUGGGCACGAGAGAGAGAGAGAGAGAAAGAAAGAGAGAGAGAGAUUCGGUAGGGGUUGGGAAAUGUCAAGAGGGAGGGUUACAAGGGGCUUUCCGUAAAAAAAAAGGAGCAACCACAAUUGCCUCUAAGUUGACGUGGCCUGGGUCAACGCGUCACCCAAGCAGGUCAGCGAAAGAUCGUGCAAAAAAGGACCUCGUGUGAACCACUUACUAUAAAAUUAGGAUCUAAACAUGCAUUUUUAAAGAUGUAGGACUAAAGUGACACUGGCGAGAAGCUUUUAGGACCUCCGGUGUAUUUUUCUCGCCUGGCGAUUGGGCCCUCGACAUGGCGUGGGUCAACGCGCCACGCGGGUAGGUCAACGAGCGCUCGUGAAAAAAGGACCUCGCAUGAACCACUUGUUGGGGAACGUAGCAAUUUCAAAAAAAAAUUCCUACGCACACGCAAGAUCAUGGUGAUGCAUAGCAACGAGAGGGGAGAGUGUUGUCCACGAACCCUCGUAGACCGAAAGCGGAAGCGUUAGCACAACGCGGUUAUGUAGUCGUACGUCUUCACGAUCCGACCGAUCCAAGUACCGAACGUACGGCACCUCCGAGUUCAGCACAUGUUCAGCUCGACGACGUCCCGCGAACUCCUAUCCAGCAGAGCUUCACGGGAGAGUUCCGUCAGCACGACGGUGUGAUGACGGUGAUGAUGUUGCUACCGACGCAGGGCUUCGCCUAAGCACCGCUACGAUAUGACCGAGGUGGAAUAUGGUGGAGGGGGGCACCGCACACGGCUGAGAGAGAUCAACAGAUCAACCUAUGUGUUCUAGGGUGCCCCCUGCCCCCGUAUAUAAAGGAGCAAGGGGGGAGGCCGGCCGGCCCCUGUAGGGCGCGCCAGGAGGAGGAGUCAUCCUCCUGGUAGGAGUAGGACUCCCCUUUCCUACUCCUACUAGGAGGAGGAAAGGAAGGAGGAGAGGGAGAAGGAAGGAGAGGGAGGAAAAGGAGGAAAGGGGGGCCGGCCCCCUAGUCCAAUUCGGUUUGGGCUAGGGGGGCCGAGCGCCCUGCCUCCUCUCUUCCACCACUUGGCCCAUGAGGCCCAUUACUUCUUCCUCGUAUUCCCGUAACUCCCAUGUACCCCGAAAAAUACCCGAAUCACUCGGAACCUUUCCGAUGUCCGAAUAUAGUUGUCCAAUAUAUUGAUCUUUACGUCUCGACCAUUUCGAGACUCCUCGUCAUGUCCCCGAUCUCAUCCGGGACUCCGAACUACCUUCGGUACAUCAAAUCACAUAAAUGCAUAAUACCGAUCGUCACAGAACUUUAAGCGUGCGGACCCUGCGGGUUCGAGAACUAUGUAGACAUGACCGAGACACGACUCCGGUCAAUAACCAAUAGCGGAACCUGGAUGCUCAUAUUGGCUCCCACAUAUUCUACGAAGUUUUUUGUCGGUCAAACCGCAUAAAAGCAUACGUUGUUCCCUUUGUCAUCGGUAUGUUACUUGCCCGAGAUUCGAUCGUCGGUAUCUCAAUACCUAGCUCAAUCUCAUUACCGGCAAGUUUCUUUACUCGUUCCGUAAUACAUCAUCCCAUAACUAACUCAUUAGUCACAUUGCUUGCAAGGCUUAUAGUGAUGUGCAUUAUCGAGAGGGCCCAGAGAUACCUCUCCGACAAUCGGAGUGACAAAUCCUAAUCUCGAUCUAUGCCAACUCAACAAGUACCAUCGGAGACACCUGUAGAGCACCUUUAUAAUCACCCAGUUACGUUGUGACGUUUGGUAGCACACAAAGUGUUCCUCCGGUAUUCGGGAGUUGCAUAAUCUCAUAGUCAUAGGAACAUGUAUAAGUCAUGAAGAAAGCAAUGGCAACAUAUUAAACGAUCAAGUGCUAAGCUAAUGGAAUGGGUCAAGUCAAUCACAUCAUUCUCUAAUGAUGUGAUCUCGUUAAUCAAAUGACAACUCAUGUCUAUGGCUAGGAAAUUUAACCAUCUUUGAUUCAACGAGCUAGUCAAGUAGAGGCAUACUAGUGACACUCUGUUUGUCUAUGUAUUCACACAUGUAUCAAGUUUACGGUUAAUACAAUUCUAGCAUGAAUAAUAAACAUUUAUCAUGAAAUAAGGAAAUAAAUAAUAACUUUAUUAUUGCCUCUAGGGCAUAUUUCCUUCAGUCUCCCACUUGCACUAGAGUCAAUAAUCUAGUUCACAUCGCCAUGUGAUUUAACACCAAUAGUUCACACAACCAUGUGAUUAACACCCAUAGUUCACAUCGUCAUGUGACCAACACCCAAAGGGUUUACUAGAGUCAAUAAUCUAGUUCACAUCGCUAUGUGAUUAACACCGAAAGAGUACUAAGGUGUGAUCAUGUUUUGCUUGUGAGAGUAGUUUAGUCAACGGGUCUGCAACAUUCAAAUCCGUAUGUAUUUUGCAAAUUUCUAUGUCAACAAUGCUCUGCACGGAGCUACUCUAGCUAAUUGCUCCCACUUUCAAUAUGUACCCAGAUUGAGACUUAGAGUUAUCUGGAUCAGUGUCAAAAAUUGCAUCGAUGUAACCCUUUACGACGAACCUUUUGUCACCUCCAUAAUCGAGAAACAUAUCCUUAUUCCACUAAGGAUAAUUUUGACCGCUGUCCAGUGAUCUACUCCUAGAUUACUAUUGUACUCCCUUGCUAAACUCAGUGUAGGGUAUACAAUAGAUCUGGUACACAGCAUGGCAUACUUUAUAGAACCUAUGGCUGAGGCAUAGGGAAUGACUUUCAUUCUCUUUCUAUCUUCUGCUGUGGUCGGGCUUUGAGUCUUACUCAAUUUCACACCUUGUAACACAGGCAAGAACUCUUUCUUUGACUGUUCCAUUUUGAACUACUUCAAAAUCUUGUUAAGGUAUGUACUCAUUGAAAAAACUUAUCAAGCGUCUUGAUCUAUCUCUAUAGAUCUUGAUGCUCAAUAUGUAAGCAGCUUCACCGAGGUCUUUAUUUGAAAAACUCCUUUCAAAUACUCCUUUAUGCUUUAUAGAAAAAUUCUACAUUAUUUCCGAUUAACAAUAUGUCAUUCACAUAUACUUAUCAGAAAUGUUGUAGUGCUCCCACUCAUUUUCUUGUAAAUACAGGCUUCACUGCAAGUCUGUAUAAAACUAUAUGCUUUAAUCAACUCAUCAAAGCGUAUAUUCCUGUUGGAAAUAUGCCCUAGAGGCAAUAAUAAAAUGGUUAUUAUUAUAUUUCCUUGUUCAUGAUAAUUGUCUAUUGUUCAUGCUAUAAUUGUGUUAUCCGGAAAUCGUAAUACAUGUGUGAACACAUAGACCAUAACAUGUCCCUAGUGAGCCUCUAGUUGACUAGCUCGUUGAUCAAUAGAUGGUUACGGUUUCCUGACCAUGCACAUUGGAUGUCAUUGAUACCGGGAUCACAUCAUUAGGAGAAUGAUGUGAUGGACAAGACCCAAUCCUAAGCAUAGCACUAGAUCGUGUAGUUCGUCUGCUAAAGCUUUUCUAAUGUCAAGUAGCAUUUCCUUAGACCAUGAGAUCGUGCAACUCCCGGAUACCGUAGGAAUGCUUUGGGUGUACCAAACGUCACAACGUAACUGGGUGGCUAUAAAGGUGCACUACAGGUAUCUCCGAAAGUGUCUGUUGGGUUGGCACAGAUCGAGACUGGGAUUUGUCACUCCGUAUGACGGAGAGGUAUCUCUGGGCCCACUCGGUAUAGCAUCAUCAUAAUGAGCUCAAUGUGACUAAGUAGUUAGUCACGGGAUCAUGCAUUACGGAACGAGUAAAGUGACUUACCGGUAACGAGAUUGAACGAGGUAUUGGGAUACCGACGAUCGAAUCUCGGGUAAGUAAAGUACCGAUUGACAAAGGGAAUUGUAUACGGGAUUACUUGAAUCCUCGACAUCGUGGUUCAUCCGAUGAGAUCAUCGUGGAACAUGUGGGAGCCAACAUGGGUAUCCAGAUCCCGCUGUUGGUUAUUGACCGGGGAGUCGUCUCGGUCAUGUCUGCAUGUCUCCCGAACCCGUAGGGUCUACACACUUAAGGUUCGGUGACGCUAGGGUUGUAUAGAUAUUAGUAUGCGGAAAUCCAAAAGUUGUUCGGAGUCCUGGAUGAGAUCCCGGACGUCACGAGGAGUUCCGGAAUGGUCCGGAGGUGAAACAUUAUAUAUAGGAAGUCCAGUUUCGGCCACCGGGAAAGUUUCGGGGGUCACCGGUAUUGUACCGGGACCACCGGAAGGGUCCCGGGCGUCCACCGGGUGGGGCCACCUAUCCCGGAGGGCCCCAUGGGCUGAAGAGGGAGGGGAACCAGCCCCUGGUGGGCUGGUGCACCCCCCUUGGGCCUCCCCCUGCGCCUAGGGUUGGAAACCCUAGGGGUGGGGGGCGCCCCACUUGGCUUGGGGGCAAGCCACCCCCCUUGGCCGCCGCCCCCCUUGGAGAUUGGAUCUCCCAGGGGCCCUAUAUAUAGUGGGGGGAGGGAGGGCAGCCGCACCUGAAGCCCUGGAGCCUCCCUCUCCCUCCCGUGACACCUCUUCCUCCCCGCUUGCGCUUGGCGAAGCCCUGCCGGGAUCCCGCUACUUCCACGAGGCCGUCGUGCUGCUGGAUCUCCAUCAACUUCUCCUCCCCCCUUGCUGGAUCAAGAAGGAGGAGACGUCCCCGCUCCGUACGUGUGUUGAACGCGGAGGUGCCGUCCGUUCGGCGCUAGGAUCAUCGGUGAUUUGGAUCACGACGAGUACGACUCCAUCAUCCCCGUUCUCUUGAACGCUUCCGCUCGUGAUCUACAAGGGUAUGUAGAUGCACUCCUCCCCUCUCGUUGCUAGUAAACUCCAUAGAUUGAUCUUGGUGAUGCGUAGAAAUAUUUUAAUUUCUGCAACGAUCCCCAACAGUGGCAUCAUGAGCUAGGUCUAUGCGUAGUUACUAUGCACGAGUAGAACACAAGAUUGUUGUGGGCGUAGAUCAUGUCAAUUUACUUGCCGCUACUAGUCUUAUCUUGAUUCGGUGGCAUCGUGGGAUGAAGCGGCCCGGAUCGACCUUACACGUACGCUUACGUGAGACAGGUUCCACCGACUGACAUGCACUAGUUGCAUAAGGUGGCUAGCGGGUGUCUGUCUCUCCCACUUUAGUCGGAUCGGAUUCGAUGAAAAGGGUCCUUAUGAAGGGUAAAUAGUAAUUGGCAUAUCACGUUGUGGUUUUACGUAGGUAAGAAACGUUCUUGCUAGAAACCUAUAGAAGCCACGUAAAAACAUGCAACAACAAUUAGAGGACGUCUAACUUGUUUUUGCAGCAUAUGCCUUGUGAUGUGAUAUGGCCAGAAGAUGUGAUGAAUGAUAUAUGUGAUGUAUGAGAUUGAUCAUGUUCUUGUAAUAGGAAUCACGACUUGCAUGUCGAUGAGUAUGACAACCGGCAGGAGCCAUAGGAGUUGUCUUUAUUUUUUGUAUGACCUGCGUGUCAUUGAAUAACGCCAUGUAAAUUACUUUACUUUAUUGCUAAACAUGUUAGCCAUAGAAGUAGAAGUAAUCGUUGGCGUGACAACUUCAUGAAGACACGAUGAUGGAGAUCAUGAUGAUGGAGAUCAUGGUGUCAUGCCGGUGACGAAGAUGAUCAUGGCGCCCCGAAGAUGGAGAUCAAAAGGAGCAAAAUGAUAUUGGCCAUAUCAUGUCACUAUUUGAUUGCAUGUGGUGUUUAUCAUGUUUUUACUUCUUAUUUGCUUAGUACGACGGUAGUAAAUAAGAUGAUCCCUUAUAAUAAUUUCUAGAAAGUGUUCCCCCUAACUGUGCGCCGUUGCGAAAGUUCGUUGUUUCGAAGCACGACAUGAUGACCGGGUGUGAUAGAUUCCAACGUUCACAUACACGGGUGUAAGACAGAUUUACACAUGCAAAACACUUAGGUUGACUUGACGAGCCUAGCAUGUACAGACAUGGCCUCGGAACACAAGAGACCAAAAGGUCGAACAUGAGUCGUAUGGAAGAUACGAUCAACAUGGAGAUGUUCACCGAUGAUGACUAGUCCGUCUCACGUGAUGAUCGGACACGGCCUAGUUGACUCGGAUCAUGUAUCACUUAGAUGACUAGAGGGAUGUCUGUCUGAGUGGGAGUUCAUUAAAUAAUUUGAUUAGAUGAACUUAAUUAUCAUGAACUUAGUCUAAAAUCUUUACAAUAUGUCUUGCAGAUCAAAUGGCCCACGCUAAUGUCAACCUCAACUUCAACGCGUUCCUAGAGAAAACCAAGCUGAAAGACGAUGGUAGCAACUGUACGGACUGGGUCCGGAACUUGAGGAUCAUCCUCAUAGCUACCAAGAAAGCAUAUGUCCUUGAAGCACCGCUAGGUGAAGCACCCGUCCCAGCACACCCAGACGUUAUGAACGCCUGGCAAACACGUGUUGAUGAUUACUCCCUGGUUCAGUGCGGCAUGCUUUACAACUUAGAACCGGGGCUCCAAAAGCGUUUUGAGCAGCACGGAGCAUAUGAGAUGUUCCAAGAGCUGAAAAUGGUUUUCCAAGCUCAUGCCCGGGUCGAGAGAUAUGAAGUCUCCGACAAGUUCUACAGUUGUAAGAUGGAGGAGAAUAGUUCCGUCAGCGAACACAUACUCAAAAUGUCUGACUUGCACAACCGCUUGUCUCAGCUGGGAGUUAAUCUCCCAGAUGACGCGGUCGUUGACAGAAUCCUUCAGUCGCUCCCACCUAGCUACAAGAGCUUUGUGAUGAACUUCAAUAUGCAGGGGAUGGAAAAGACCAUCCCUGAGGUAUAUUCAAUGCUGAAAUCAGCGGAGGUGGAGAUCAAAAAGGAACAUCAAGUGUUGAUGGUGAAUAAAACCACAAAGUUCAAGAAAGGCAAGGGUAAGAAGAACUUCAAGAAGGACGGCAAAGGAGUUGCCGCGCCCGGUAAGCCAGUUGCCGGGAAGAAGACAAAGAAUGGACCUAAGCCUAAGACUGAGUGCUUUUAUUGCAAGGGAAACAGUCACUGGAAGCGGAACUGGCCCAAGUACUUAGCGGAUAAGAAGGCCGGCAAUACCAAAGGUAUAUGUGAUAUACAUGUUAUUGAUGUGUACCUAACCAGCUCUCGUAGUAGCUCCUGGGUAUUUGAUACCGGUGUGGUUGCUCAUAUUUGUAACUCAAAGUAGGAGCUGCGGAAUAAGCGGAAACUGGCGAAGGACGAGGUGACGAUGCGCGUCGGGAAUGGUUCCAAGGUCGAUGUGAUCGCCGUCGGCACGCUACCUCUACAUUUACCUAAGGGAUUAGUUUUAGACCUCAAUAAUUGUUAUUUAGUGCCAGCUUUGAGCAUGAACAUUGUAUCUGGAUCUCGUUUAAUGCGAGAUGGCUAAUCAUUUAAAUCCGAGAAUAAUGGUUGUUCUAUUUAUAUGAGAGAUAUGUUUUAUGGUCAUGCCCCGCUGGUCAAUGGUUUAUUCUUGAUGAAUCUCGAACGUGAUGUUACACAUAUUCAUAGUGUGAAUGCCAAGAAAUGUAAGGUUGAUAAUGAUGGUCCCACAUAUUUGUGGCACUGCCGCCUUGGUCACAUUGGUGUCAAACGCAUGAAGAAACUCCAUGCAGAUGGACUUUUGGAGUCUCUUGAUUAUGAAUCAUUUGACACGUGCGAACCAUGCCUCAUGGGCAAAAUGACCAAGACUCCGUUCUCCGGAAUAAUGGAGCGAGCAACCAACUUAUUGGAAAUCAUACAUACUGAUGUGUGCGGUCCAAUGAGCGUUGAGGCUCGCGGUGGCUAUCAUUAUGUUCUCACCCUCACUGAUGACUUGAGUAGAUAUGGGUAUGUCUACUUAAUGAAACACAAGUCUGAGACCUUCGAAAAGUUCAAGGAAUUUCAGAGUGAGGUUGAGAAUCAACGUGAUAGGAAAAUAAAGUUCUUACGAUCAGAUCGUGGAGGGGAAUAUUUGAGUCACGAAUUUGGCACACACUUAAGGAAAUGUGGAAUUGUUUCACAACUCACGCCGCCUGGAACACCUCAGCGUAAUGGUGUGUCCGAACGUCGUAAUCGCACUCUAUUGGAUAUGGUGCGAUCUAUGAUGUCUCUUACCGAUCUAUCGUUAUCUUUCUGGGGUUAUGCUUUAGAGACUGCCGCAUUCACUUUAAAUAGGGCUCCGUCUAAAUCCGUUGAGACGACACCGUAUGAAUUAUGGUUUGGAAAGAAAUCUAAGCUGUCGUUUCUUAAAGUUUGGGGAUGCGAUGCUUAUGUCAAGAAACUUCAACCUGAAAAGCUCGAACCCAAGUCGGAAAAAUGCGUCUUCAUAGGAUACCCUAAGGAAACCAUUGGGUAUACCUUCUACCUCAGAUCCGAAGGCAAGAUCUUCGUUGCCAAGAAUGGGUCCUUUCUGGAGAAAGAGUUUCUCUCAAAAGAAGUAAGUGGGAGGAAAGUGGAACUUGAUGAGAUGACCCCUCUCGAACCAGAAAGUAGCACAGCACAAGAAAAUGUUUCUAUGGUGCCUACACCGACUAGAAAGGAAGUUAAUGAUGACGAUCAUGAUCAAGUUGCCACAGAACUUCGUAGGUCCACAAGGACACGUUUCGCACCAGAGUGGUACGGCAACCCUGUUCUGGAAAUCAUGUUGUUGGACAACGGUGAACCUUCGAACUAUGAAGAAGCAAUGGCGGGUCCAGAUUCCAACAAAUGGCUUGAAGCCAUGCAAUCCGAGAUAGGAUCCAUGUAUGAAAACAAAGUAUGGACUUUGACAGACUUGCCCGAUGAUCGGCGAGCGAUAGAAAAUAAAUGGAUCUUUAAGAAGAAGACGGACGUGGAUGAAAAUGUUACCAUCUAUAAAGCUCGACUUAUCGCUAAGGGUUAUCGACAAGUUCAAGGUGUUGACUACGAUGAGACCUUCUCACCCGUAGCGAAACUGAAGUCCGUCCAAAUCAUGUUAGCAAUUGCCGCAUUCUACGAUUAUGAGAUAUGGCAAAUGGACGUCAAAACGACAUUCCUUAACGGCUUCCUUAAGGAAGAAUUGUAUAUGAUGCAGCCGGAAGGUUUUGUCGAUCCUAAGAAUGCUAACGAAGUAUGCAAGCUCCAACGCUCAAUCUAUGGGCUGGUGCAGGCAUCUCGGAGUUGGAACAUUCGCUUUGAUGAGAUGAUCAAAGCGUUUGGGUUUACGCAGACUUAUGGAGAAGCCUGUGUUUACAAGAAAGUGAGUGGGAGCUCUGUACCAUUUCUCAUAUUAUAUGUGGAUGACAUACUAUUGAUGGGAAAUGAUAUAGAAUUCUUGGAAAGUAUAAAGGCCUACUUGAAUAAGUGUUUUUCAAUGAAGGACCUUGGAGAAGCUGCUUACAUAUUAGGCAUCAAGAUCUAUAGAGAUAGAUCGAGACGCCUCAUAGGUCUUUCACAAAGCACAUACCUUGACAAGAUAUUGAAGAAGUUCAAUAUGGGUCAGUCCAAGAAGGGGUUCUUGCCUGUAUUGCAAGGUGUGAGAUUGAGCACGGCUCAAUGCCCGACCACGGCAGAAGAUAGAGAAAAGAUGAGUGUCGUCCCCUAUGCCUCGGCCAUAGGGUCUAUUAUGUAUGCCAUGCUGUGUACCAGACCUGAUGUAAACCUUGCCGUAAGUUUGGUAGGAAGGUACCAAAGUAAUCCCGGCAUGGAACACUGGAUAGCGGUCAAGUACCUGAAAAGGACUAAGGAUAUGAUUCUCGUUUAUGGAGGUGACGAAGAGCUCGUCGUAAAGGGUUACGUCGAUGCUAGCUUCGACACAGAUCUGGAUGACUCUAAGUCACAAACCGGAUACGUGUAUAUUUUGAAUGGUGGGGCAGUCAGCUGGUGCAGUUGCAAGCAAAGCGUCGUGGCGGGAUCUACAUGUGAAGCGGAGUACAUGGCAGCCUCGGAGGCAGCACAUGAAGCAAUCUGGAUGAAGGAGUUCAUUGCCGACCUAGGAGUUAUUCCCAAUGCAUCGGGGCCGAUGACUCUCUUCUGUGACAACACUGGAGCUAUUGCCCUUGCCAAGGAGCCUAGGUUUCACAAGAAGACUAGGCACAUCAAGCGUCGCUUCAACUCCAUUCGCGAAAAUGUUCAAAAUGGAGACAUAGAUAUUUGUAAAGUGCAUACGGAUUUGAAUGUCGCAGAUCCGUUGACUAAACCUCUUCCACGAGCGAAACAUGAUCAACACCAGAACGCUAUGGGUGUACGAUUCAUCACAAUGUAACUAGAUUAUUGACUCUAGUGCAAGUGGGAGACUGUUGGAAAUAUGCCCUAGAGGCAAUAAUAAAAUGGUUAUUAUUAUAUUUCCUUGUUCAUGAUAAUUGUCUAUUGUUCAUGCUAUAAUUGUGUUAUCCGGAAAUCGUAAUACAUGUGUGAACACAUAGACCAUAACAUGUCCCUAGUGAGCCUCUAGUUGACUAGCUCGUUGAUCAAUAGAUGGUUACGGUUUCCUGACCAUGGACAUUGGAUGUCAUUGAUAACGGGAUCACAUUAUUAGGAGAAUGAUGUGAUGGACAAGACCCAAUCCUAAGCAUAGCACUAGAUCGUGUAGUUCGUCUGCUAAAGCUUUUCUAAUGUCAAGUAGCAUUUCCUUAGACCAUGAGAUCGUGCAACUCCCGGAUACCGUAGGAAUGCUUUGGGUGUACCAAACGUCACAACGUAACUGGGUGGCUAUAAAGGUGCACUACAGGUAUCUCCGAAAGUGUCUGUUGGGUUGGCACGGAUCGAGACUGGGAUCUGUCACUCCGUAUGACGGAGAGGUAUCUCUGGGCCCACUCGGUAUUGCAUCAUCAUAAUGAGCUCAAGUAGUUAGUCACGGGAUCAUGCAUUACGGAACGAGUAGAGUGACUUACCGGUAAUGAGAUUGAGCGAGGUAUUGGGAUACCGACGAUCGAAUCUCGGGUAAGUAAAGUACAGAUUGACAAAGGGAAUUGUAUACGGGAUUACUUGAAUCCUCGACAUCGUGGUUCAUCCGAUGAGAUCAUCGUGGAACAUGUGGGAGACAACAUGGGUAUCCAGAUCCCGCUGUUGGUUAUUGACCGGAGAGUCGUCUCGGUCAUGUCUGCAUGUCUCCCGAACCCGUAGGGUCUACACACUUAAGGUUCGGUGACGCUAGGGUUGUAGAGAUAUUAGUAUGCGGAAAUCCCAAAGUUGUUCGGAGUCCCAGAUGAGAUCCCGGACGUCACGAGGAGUUCCGGAAUGGUCCGGAGGUGAAGAAUUAUAUAUAGGAAGUCCAGUUUCGGCCACCGAGAAAGUUUCGGGGGUCACCGGUAUUGUACCGGGACCACCGGAAGGGUCCCGGGGGUCCACCGGGUGGGGCCACCUAUCCCGGAGGGCCCCAUGGGCUGAAGAGGGAGGGGAACCAGCCCCUGGUGGGCUGGUGCGCCCCCUUGGGCCCCCACCUGCGCCUAGGGUUGGAAACCCUAGGGGUGGGGGGCGCCCCACUUGGCCUGGGCGGCAAGCCACCCCCCUUGGCCGCCGCCCCCUUGGAGAUUGGAUCUCCCAGGGCCGGCGCCCCCCCAGGGGCCCUAUAUAUAGUGGGGGGGAGGGAGGGCAGCCGCACCUGAAGCCCUGGCGCCUCCCUCUCCCUCCCGUGACACCUCUUCCUCCCCGCUUGCGCUUGGCGAAGCCCUGCCGGGAUCCGGCUACUUCCACCACCACGCCGUCGUGCUGCUGGAUCUCCAUCAACCUCUCCUUCCCCCUUGCUGGAUCAAGAAGGAGGAGACGUCGCUGCUCCGUACGUGUGUUGAACGCGGAGGUGCCGUCCGUUCGGCGCUAGGAUCAUCGGUGAUUUGGAUCACGACGAGUACGACUCCAUCAUCCCCGUUCUCUUGAACGCUUCCGCUCGCGAUCUACAAGGGUAUGUAGAUGCACUCCUCCCCUCUCGUUGCUAGUAAACUCCAUAGAUUGAUCUUGGUGAUGCGUAGAAUUUUUUUAAUUUCUGCAACGAUCCCCAACAAUUCCAACUCCGAGAUGCUUGCACCAGUCCAUAGAUGGAUCGCUGGAGCUUGCUCAUUUUGUUAGCACCUUUAGGAUCGGCAAAACCUUCUGGUUGCAUCAUAUACAACUCUUCUUUAAGAAAUCCAUUAAGGAAUGUAGUUUUGUCAACCAUUUGCCAGAUUUUAUAAAAUAUGGCAAUUUGCUAACAUGAUUUGGACAGAGUUAAGCAUCGCUACGAGUGAGAUAAUCUCAUCGUAGUCAACACCUUGAACUUUGUCAAAAACCUUUUUCGACAAGUCUAGCUUUGUAGAUAGUAACACUAAUAUCAGCGUCUGUCUUCCUCUUGAAGAUCCAUUUAUUAUCAAUGGCUCACCGAUCAUCGGGCAAGUCAAUCAAAGUCCAUACUUUGUUCUCAUACAUGGAACCCAUCUCAGAUUUCAUGGCCUCAAGCCAUUUCGCGGAAUCUGGGCUUAUCAUCGCUUCCUCAUAGUUCGUAGGUUCGUCAUGGUCAAGUAACAUGACCUCCAGAACAGGACUACCAUACCACUCUGGUGCGGAUCUUACUCUGGUUGACCUACGAGGUUCAGUAGUAACUUGAUCUGAAGUUACAUGAUCAUCAUCAUUAGCUUCCUCACUAAUUGGUGUAGGAGUCACAGGAACAGAUUUCUUGUGAUGAACUACUUUCCAAUAAGGGAGUAGGUACAGUUACCUCCUCAAGUUCUACUUUCCUCCCACUCACUUCUUUCGAGAGAAAACUCCUUCUCUAGAAAGGAUCCAUUCUUAGCAACGAAUGUCUUGACUUCGGAUCUGUGGUAGAAGGUGUACCCAACUGUCUCCUUUGGGUAUCCUAUGAAAACACAUUUCUCCGAUUUAGGUUUGAGCUCAUCAGGAUGAAACUUUUUCACGUAAGCAUCACAACCCCAAACUUUAAGAAACGACAACUUUGGUUUCUUGCCAAACCACAGUUCAUAAGGCGUCGUCUCAACGGAUUUUGAUGGUGCCCUAUUUAAAGUGAAUGCAGCUGUCUCUAAUGCAUAACCCCAAAACGAUAGUGGUAAAUCGGUAAGAUACAUCAUAGAUCGCACCAUAUCCAAUAAAGUGCGGUUACGACGUUCGGACACACCAUUACGCUGUGGUGUCCCAUGUGGCGUGAGCUGUGAAACUAUUCCACAUUGUUUUUAAAUGAAGGCCAAACUCGUAACUCAAAUACUCUCCUCUACGAUCAGAUUGUAGAAACUUUAUUUUCUUGUUACGAUGAUUCUCCACUUCACUCUGAAAUUCUUUGAACUUUUCAAAUGUUUCAGACUUGUGCUUCAUUAAGUAGAUAUACUCAUAUCUUCUCAAAUCAUCUGUGAAGGUCAAAAAAUAACGAUACCCGCCACGAGCAACAAUACUCAUUGCACCGCAUACAUCGGUAUGUAUUAUUUCCAACAAGUCAGUAGCUCGUUCCAUUGUUCCGGAGAAUGGAGUUUUAGUCAUCUUGCCCAAAAGCCACGGUUCGCAAGCAUGAAAUGAUUCAUAACCAAGUGAUUCCAAAAGUCCAUCUUUAUGGAGUUUCUUCAUGCGCUUUACACCGAUAUGACCCAAACGGCAGUGCCACAAAUAAGUUGCACUAUCAUUAUCAACUUUACAUCUUUUGGCAUCAAUAUUAUGAAUAUGUGUAUCACUACGAUCGAGAUCCAACAAACUAUUUUCAUUGGGUGUAUGACCAUCGAAGGUUUUAUUCAUGUAAACAGAACAACAAUUAUUCUCUGACUUUAAAUGAAUAACCGUAUUGCAAUAAACAUGAUCAAAUCAUAUUCAUGCUCAACGCAAACGCCAAAUAACAUUUAUUUAGGUUUAACACUAAUCCCGAAAGUAUAGGGAGUGUGCGAUGAUGAUUAUAUCAAUCUUGAAACCACUUCCAACACACAUCGUCAUUUCACCCUCAACUAGUCUUUGUUUAUUCUGUAACUCCUGUUUCGAGUUACUAAUUUUUAGCAACCGAACAAGUAUCAAAUACCAAGGGGCUACUAUAAACACUAGUAAGGUACACAUCAAUAACCUGUAUAUCAAAUAUACCCUUGUUCACUUUGCCAUCCUUCUUAUUCACCAAAUAUUCAGGACAUUUCCGCUUCCAGUGACCAUUUCUUUUGCAGUAGAAGCACUCAGUUUCAGGCUUUAGUCUAGCUUUGGGCUUCUUCACAGAAGUGACAACUUGCUUGCCAUUCUACAUGAAGUUCCCUUUCUUUCCCUUUGCCCUUUUCUUGAAACUAGUGGUCUUGUUAAUCAUCAACACUUGAUGCUCUUUCUUGAUUUCUACCUUCAUCGAUUUCAUCAUCAUGAAAAGCUCGGGAAUCGUUUUCGCCAUCCCUUGCAUACUAUAGUUCAUCACGAAGUUCUACUAACUUGGUGAUGGUGACUAGAGAAUUCUGUCAAUCACUAUCUUAUCUGGAAGAUUAACUCCCACUUGAUUCAAGCGAUUGUAGUACCCAGACAAUCUGAGCACAUGCUCACUGCUUGAGCUAUUCUCCUCCAUCUUUUAGCCAUAGAACUUGUUGGAGACUUCAUAUCUCUCAGCUCGGGUAUUUGCUUGAAAUAUUAACUUCAACUCCUGGAACAUCUCAUAUGGUCCAUGACGUUCAAAACGUCUUUGAAGUCCCGAUUCUAAGCCGUUAAGCAUGGUGCACUAAACUAUCAAGUAGUCAUCAUAUUGAGCUAGCCAAACGUUCAUAACGUCUGCAUCUGCUCCUGCAAUAGGUCUGUCACCUAGCGGUGCAUCAAGGACAUAAUUCUUCUGUGCAGCAAUGAGGAUAAACCUUAGAUCACGGACCCAGUCCGCAUCAUUGCUACUAUCAUCUUUCAACUUAGUUUUCUCUAGGAACACAUAUAAAACAUAGGGAAGCAACAACGCGAGCUAUUGAUCUACAACAUUAUUUGCAAAAUACUAUCAGGACUAAGUUCAUGAUAAAUUAAAGUUCAAUUAAUCAUAUUACUUAAGAACUCCCACUUAGAUAGACAUCCCUCUAAUCAUCUAAGUGAUCACGUGAUCCAAAUCAACUAAACCAUGUCCGAUCAUCACGUGAGAUGGAGUAGUUUUCAAUGAUGAACAUCACUAUGUUGAUCAUAUCUACUAUAUGAUUCACGCUCGACCUUUCCGUCUCCAGUGUUCCGAGGCCAUAUCUGCAUAUGCUAGGCUCGUCAAGUUUAACCCGAGUAUUCUGCGUGUGCAAAACUGGCUUACACCCGUUGUAUGUGAACAUAGAGCUUAUCACACCCGAUCAUCACGUGGUGUCUCAGCACGAAGAACUGUCGCAACGGUGCAUACUCAGGGAGAGUACCUUGAAAUUUUAGUAAGGAAUCAUCUUAUAAAGCUACCGCCGAACUAAGCAAAAAAAGAUGUAUAAAAGAUAAACAUCACAUGCAAUCAAAAUAUGUGACAUGAUAUGGCCAUCAACAUCUUGUGCCUUUGAUCUCCAUCUCCAAAGAAUCGUCAUGAUCUCCAUCGUCACCGGCAUGACACCAUGAUCUCCAUCAUCUUGAUCUAUAUCAAUGUGUCGUCACAUGGUCGUCUCGCCAACUAUUGCUCUUGCAACUAUUGCUAUCGCAUAGCGAUAAAGUAAAGCAAUUAUUUGGCGCUUGCAUCUUAUGCAAUAAAAAGACAACCAUAAGGAUUCUGCCGGUUGCCGAUAACUUCAACAAAACAUGAUCAUCUCAUACAACAACUUAUAUCUCAUCACGUCUUGACCAUAUCACAUCACAACAUGCCCUGCAAAAACAAGUUAGACGUCCUCUACUUUGUUGUUGCAAGUUUUACGUCGCUGCUACGGGCUGAGCAAGAACCGUUCUUACCUUCGCAUCAAAACCACAACGAUAUUUCGUCAAGUUAGUGCUGUUUUAACCUUCUCAAGGACCGGGCGUAGCCACACUCGGUACAACUAAAGUUGGAGAAACUGACAGCCGCCAGCCACCUGUGUGCAAAGCACGUCGGUAGAACCAGUCUCGCGUAAGCGUACGCGUAAUGUCGGUCCGGGCCGCUUCAUCCAACAAUACCGCCGAACCAAAGUAUGACAUGCUGGUAAGCAGUAUGACUUGUAUCGCCCACAACUCACUUGUGUUCUACUCGUGCAUAUAACAUCUACGCAUAAACCAGGCUCGGAUGCCACUGUUGGGGAACGUAGUAAUUUCAAAAAAAAUUCCUACGCACACGCAAGAUCAUGGUGAUGCAUAGCAACGAGAGGGGAGAGUGUUGUCCACGUACCCUCGUAGACCGAAAACGGAAGCGUUAGCACAACGCGGUUGAUGUAGUCGUACGUCUUCAUGAUCCGACCGAUCCAAGUACCGAACGUACGGCACCUCCGAGUUCAGCACACGUUCAGCUCGAUGACGUCCUGCGAAUUCCGAUCCAGCAGAGCUUCACGGGAGAGUUCCGUCAGCACGACGGCGUGAUGACGGUGAUGAUGUUGCUAUCAACGCAGGGCUUCACCUAAGCACCGCUACGAUAUGACCGAGGUGGAAUAUGGUGAAGGGGGGCACCGCACACGGCUGGGAGAGAUCAACAGGUCAACUUGUGUGUUCUAGGGUGCCCCCCUGCCCCCGUAUAUAAAGGAGCAAGGGGGGAGGCCGGCUGGCCCCUGUAGGGCGCGCUAGGAGGAGUCCUCCUCCUAGUAGGAGUAGGACUCCCCUUUCCUACUCCUACUAGGAGGAGGAAAGGAAGGAGGAGAGGGAGAAGGAAGGAGAGGGAGGAAAAGGAGGAAAGAGGGGCCGGCCCCCUAGUCCAAUUCGGUUUGGGCUAGGGGGGCCGCGCACCCUGCCUCCUCUCUUCCACCACUUGGCCAUGAGGCCCAUUACUUCUUCCUCGUAUUCCCGUAACUUCCCGGUACCCCGAAAAAUACCCGAAUCACUCGGAACCUUUCCGAUGUCCGAAUAUAGUCGUCCAAUAUAUCGAUCUUUACGUCUCGACCAUUUCGAGACUCCUCGUCAUGUCCUCGAUCUCAUUCGGGACUUCGAACAACCUUCGGUACAUCAAAUCACAUAAACUCAUAAUACCGAUCGUCACAGAACUUUAAGCGUGCGGACCCUAUGGGUUCGAGAACUAUGUAGACAUGACCGAGACACGUCUCCGGUCAAUAACCAAUAGCGGAACCUGGAUGCUCAUAUUGGCUCCCACAUAUUCUACGAAGAUCUUUAUCGGUCAAACCGCAUAACAGCAUACGUUGUUCCCUUUGUCAUCGGUAUGUUACUUGCCCGAGAUUCGAUCGUCGGUAUCUCAAUACCUAGCUCAGUCUCGUUACCGGCAAGUUUCUUUACUCGUUCCGCAAUACAUCAUCUUGUAACUAACUCAUUAGUCACAUUGCUUGCAAGGCUUACAGUGAUGUGCAUUAUCGAGCGGGCCCAGAGAUACCUCUCCGAUAAUCGGAGUGACAAAUCCUAAUCUCGAUCUAUGCCAACUCAACAAGUACCAUCGGAGACACCUGUAGAGCACCUUUAUAAUCACCCAGUUACAUUGUGACGUUUGGUAGCACACAAAGUGUUCCUCCGGUAUUCGGGAGUUGCAUAAUCUCAUAGUCAUAGGAACAUGUAUAAGUCAUGAAGAAAGCAAUAGCAACAUAUUAAACGAUCAAGUGCUAAGCUAACAGAAUGGGUCAAGUCAAUCACAUCAUUCUCUAAUGAUGUGAUCUCGUUAAUGAAAUGACAACUCAUGUCUAUGGCUAGGAAACUUAACCAUCUUUGAUUCAACGAGCUAGUCAAAUAGAGGCAUACUAGUGAAACUCUGUUUGUCUAUGUAUUCACACAUGUAUCAAGUUUCUGGUUAAUAUAAUUCUAGCAUGAAUAAUAAACAUUUAUCAUGAAAUAAGGAAAUAAAUAAUAACUUUAUUAUUGCCUCUAGGGCAUAUUUCCUUCACCACUUACUAAAGAAUUAGGACCUAAAGGUGCAUUUUGAAAGAAUUAGGACUAAAGUGACACCCCGAUGAAACUUUUAGGACCUCCAGUGCAUUUAACUCUUUUUAGAUCUGUUCGCUUCAUUUAAGUCAUUCAAUACAUAUCUACAAAUUUAGUUAUGUUGAUAAAAAUUUAAAUUGUAAAUGCAUGAAAAAAAGAAACAAUUGAGUUAAAAAAAUCAUAUUUGUGUUCUCGUGUCCAUGUUUAGUCCUUAUCAAAGAAUGAAAAUGAAUUCCAAACAUGAGGGUGCCAGGAGACAACCCCGAACAUUAAGUUUUUUUUAGUUGUGAAAAAUGGAAACGAAGUCAGAAAAAAGAAUGAAACUUGGCAUGAUGCCCACAUAUCACACCUAGAGGCUAAAUUAAAUGUUUGAGAAUGUUCUCAAGAGUUGUGCCGUACAUUACUUAGAAAGCGGACAAUCUUCAAGAAAAGAUCAUGGUUUCGAAAUGGAACAUGUAAUAUUUGAAGGCAAAGCGGCUGCUGCUUCAUCCGCUGGCCUUGAAUUUUUUGCAUGGCAGUGCACGGCCUAGCUAGCUCUCGGUGUAUGUAUCAUAUCUUGAGUUCGUUGUUGACACGUUUUGUACCUCUACGUGCCAGCUGCAUCGUUUCACUCCCGGGAGCGUUCCCUCUAUGUAGAGAGGAGAUAUAGAGGAGAGACGAAUACACACACAUGCGAUUUUCAUUAGUGCCGAGCUGUUUCUCCGGCGACCCCAUCUCAAUGACUGCGUGCAAAACCGUCCGAGAGUGCGUGCCUCCAAAAUACGUGCUCCUUGAGAACCCGAUUUUGCCUUUAUUUGCGUGAGUCAAACCAAAUAUGCUAGACACAUGGACCUUUAUGGAUGAGCUGACUUGUCAUUUUCUAAUUAGGCUAAAUAACCCUCUUCUCCUAGUUAAUGGGCCCCCCUGAUUUUAACUGAUGGGGGUGGGCGCUAAGGCCCGUAAAGCCCCGUAAUCCUCUGUUGAUGUAGCGAAGCCGGAGUCAAACUGUUGAAAAAUAUAGGGUACAACCCGAGUUGUCUUUCCGUACUGUUGUCCCGAAGAGAAAUUUGACAGGAGAGAAAAAAAACAACGACCACAGGGGAGUCGAACCCAAGACCUUCUGAUCCGAAGUCAGACGCGCUAAUCCACUGCGCUAUGCGGUCACUAUGCUGGUAAAACAUUAACACAGUACUGGAGAUCGCGGUUUAUCAAGUUCAGAGUAAGGACGUACACACAAAGAAAGCACAACACGUAAUCCACUGCGCAAGGCCAGAACCAAUGAUCUCCAGGAGCUAGUAAUAAUUGCAAACCGUUCAACAGAUAAAUGCAAUAAGAUAUUCACAGAUUUCAGGGGGCGCAGAACAAUACCAUCCUGGUUACAACCAGAAACACAGACAAUCACCAUUCACGGUGGUAGAUGCAGUAGAAAACUGAAUUAUAACAGAAUGCUUCAUUGACAAGUCUGGAACUACGAUGAAACAUGCAAGUAAUUAAAUUUAAAAAAUUGUACCCCAAGGUGUUCUACAAGGUAGCAAAGGGAAAAAUCUGCAGCUUCUCAUUGUCAGCUACAACAAAGGGUGCAAACAGGAAACACACUAAAAGUUGACUAUUAAGAUGACCACUUAUCAAGCGGUCAAAUCAAUUCUCCAGUAAAGCAAAGCAAGUAGUGAUAUGAGGCAUAAAUAUUGCUAAAUAUCAAAUACAGAGAAGACCAUAAGAGCAUCUCAACUAGCCUCCUCAGGACGCCCCACAGGACACCUUUUUAGGCUCGGUUUUAGGCUUGGACGGCACUUUUCGUCGAAAAACGGCCCAGCCACGCCCCCAACGCCUCCCAGGACGUCAAAAUAGCGCCGGCAAACUCAGGCGAAACCCGACGCGUUGGGGUCUCUUGGGGGCGCCGCCGGAAGUUUCGGCGAAUCCUGUCUCACCAGAUGUCCUUUUUCUUGGCCCACUUAAUCAUUCUCCUCACAAACUUUUGCGUGGGGUGGGGUGUGACUGGGAAGAUGCCCUCUUUAUUUCGCCGGAUGACCCCCAAGACACCAACUUUUUUGGUUCGGUGAUGUUCUUGAGGGUGCCAACGGCUGGAGAUUCUCUAAGGCGGAUUGGCAAAUAUUUCAGGAGCAAAGUAAAACGACUUGGUAACUGUAGCAUCAACACAACCAAUAGCCCCUUUCAGCCGGAAAGUUCAUCGAAACAAGAAUCCCAUUGUUAGAUUGUGGAGGAAAAUGAAGCCUUCUCAGGAUGUUUGCUCUCUGAGCCGUCAGAUUGGCCGUCCAAAAAGAUCCAGGCCGUUGGAUCUUGAUGGAUGGAUGUGGGCCGUUGGACGAAACUGAUGUUACAACCAAUGAAUAGUGCUGCAUCUUUCUUACUUCUGGUUUUUUUCCAUAUCUCGCUGACUGGUGAGCCAAGCCCUGGGUGGUCCACCACUCUCAGUGACUCUGGAGCCCUGUGCGACCGGUGCAAUUUCAAGUGGGCGCGGGGUCAUGCCACCGCGUGUAAAAUUGGGUGGCCGCCGAGGGUAAUUUCGUCAAUCCAUGUUAUUGCCCUCGCGUGGCGCUUCAUGUAUGGCUGGUCAUGCUUAGAGGCGAGACAGUGAUUGGAAUCGGAGGAAUCCUAGCCGACGGCAUCGUUCCUCUGCCCUUCCUCUCUCUGGCCCGAGCCACCACCUCUCUGCGCCUCCCCACCGGAUCCUAUUGCCAAUGCUCAAGUCUUGGCGAACACCCGACGAUGGUCGAUAAGGAGAUCCAGCGCGAGUCGCUGCCGCCGCAUCUUCUCCACCUCCAGCGCAUCAUUCCCCGAUCUCUUGUGCUCCCCCGCUCCCCUGUCUGGCGGUGCUCCCUACCGCCGCCGUCACGACAUCUUCUCCUCCCCCACCGUCGGUCAAAGGAGAAAGGAAGAAGUGGUCGAACAGGCCCGGGGCAGCAACCUCACGAAAUGAUUACAACAACAAAAAUAAUGAAGAUCAGAGCGUCGAAUAUAGAAGACACGAAGGAGGAAAGGAAGAUGCGCCGCCUGGCCGCUGCUGCUCAACAAGCGAGUACAGAUCAAUCUGAUCUCCACGCUAUGUCUAUCUCCGCUUGCCUAGAUCAUAUCAAUCUUAUCUCAACGCUAUGUCUAUCUUCGUUUGCCUAGAUAAUAUCAAUUUGAUCUCCACGCUAUGUUUAUCUCGGAUUCUCCGUUUGCCAACAAUAUUCAUGGAGAGAUGCAUAUCAAACUCAUGGAGAAUGAUGAAUUCCUGCCUCGGGAAUCCAUAUCAGUUAUGACAGAGGCGUGAGGAUUUACAGCUCGGCCAGAUCUUUCUUUCUUGUUUGCAAUCACGUAAUAAGAGGGGGCAUGUUAAAAAACCCUCAUAUAAAUAAGAUAAGAUGCACGUGAGAAAAAAAAUAGUGUAUGUCAUAGGUGGGUAAUUUUUUUCCUUCUUUUUUUUGCGAGAUAAUUUCUUUCAUCUUUAAUGUAAAUAGGUAAUGGUUGAGAUCCAACAGCACACAUGCACACCCUAUCCCUAUGAGUACCUCCGAAAGACUGAACCAACAUAUCAUCUUAAAAUUUACGAAGUCACUGUAGGCACAUCGUCGUCGACGGGAACGGCUCCUUUCACUGAAUGAGCAUCGUCGGAAAUCCUCAAAUAAAUCCAGCAAUAAAUGCGAGCAUCAGGAUUUGAACCCUGGUAGGCUAGGGAUACCACAGUCCCUCUAACCGUCUCGUUUUUUAAGAUAUUAAAUUGAGGGUCGGAUAUUUCUGAUUAACAUGAGCAUUUCUAGCUUAUUUCCCUAUUUUUGAACCGUAUUUUUGUUUCAGUAUAUUGUAGAUAUACGCUCCAAAUACUUGACUAUGUUUUACUGCGGUUGACAUAUCGGAACAACACAGUGACGAUGUUGUGUACACAUCGUAAAGUCAGCGGCCUUCUCUCGCUGGUCGCUGCAGGAGAAGUGCUCGUCAAUUUCUGCGGACCGUGCUUUUGCUCGGCCGCCGCACAUUGGAAGCGACGAGAGAGCGAAAGUUUGGCGGCUACAAGAGAAUGAACAAUCUGGUGGGUAGUGGGCUCCAUACAUAUAUGCGAGUAUACUUUUUCAGUUUGUCUAAUUUACAUCUAGAUGUUUUUUAAUAAUGUCAUAUAUAAUCUUUUACAAAUACAUAAUGCAACAAUAAAAAAUAAAAAAAACUAGAAAAAAAAAUCACAAAUAGAGUUGACAUCAGUUUAGAUGUGACAUAACUAUGUCAUAUGUAGAUGUGUCCUAAACAGACCUAUACUUUUUUGUGCAAUCCAAUAGGGUCAAGCAUGGUUUGUCUACGCACAUUGCAUGCAUAUCUUCCCGCUUGCCACGAAUCCGGUGUGCAAAGAUCACACUUGCUCCGUAGAAUCCAACCCACCAUAUAAUGACACGCACACGCGUCGAUCCAGACAUCCACUUCCACACUGACAAACAAAGAUGACACGAGUGCUCCUCCUCGUCCUGGCCGCGUCGCUCGUUGCGCUGGCGUAUUCGUCAAAAACGCGAGUUUUCCUCUAAACCCUAGAACCCCUGGCGGCGACUAGGUUUUGGGUGGAUCUCGACGGCGGCCGCUGAAUCCAUCGGCGGGCCGCAAGGAAAAGCUCGGGGACGAUGGCAACAUCGGCUGCCGGCAAAGGAUGGAAGAGGAGCGGUGCCCUAUCCCCUCGCUCCGCGCGGGCGCAGAUGGAGGAGGCACUUGGCAAGCUGGACAUCUCCGAGGAGGAGGCGACGCCUCUGGUGAUCGACGAUGCCAACGAUGAUGCUCCGGCAAAGUGGCUACUGGCAGGGAAGGUUUUGCACCGGAAUCUCCUCCACAUACAAACGAUCUGCAACGCCUUAUGUCCUGCAUGGGGAAACCCUAGGGGGCUGGAAUUCCGGCCCCUAGGGGAGAACUUGUUCGCUGCUGAAUUCGACUCCAAGCGAGAUCGAGAUCGCGUCUGGGAAGGCGCUCCUUGGCACAUUAGCAAAAACGCGGUGAUCCUGGAGUACUUUGAAGAGCACAUGCAGCCGUCGGAACUCAAGUACGACAGGUUGCCGGUCUGGGUUAGGGUAGUUAAUCUACCUUUUAACCUCAGGAAUAACACAAGAGGCUUGGCGAUAGCGCGCCAGAUUGACAAAAAUGCUGCCAUCGCCCAGAUUGAUCCAGUGGGGGGGGGGGUUCCUCAGGGCACGAGUCACCAUCGACGUGCUCAAACCCCUCCGCAGAUGGAUUGUCAUUGAAUCAACCAAGAGAGAUCAAGUGGACUGCUAUGAUAUUGAGUAUCAAUAGAUACGCCACUUCUGUUUCUCUUGUGGACGAUUAGGUCAUGCCGAUCUCUUCUGUCCCACCCCAGGGACAAGGGAUGCUAAUGGCGAUCUUCCCUUCAAGGUAAGCCUCCGGGCGCCCGAGGAUCGGAAGAAAGGUUUUUCUGGGGAGAACUUGACAAAGGCGAAGCCAGAGUCGCAGCGCAGCACACGAGAAUCACGCUCGUCUAGUUCCAAGCAGAAAGAUGGGGUUGAAGUGACCUCUCCUGUCAAGAGCCCAUCUCUGAACAAGAGGAAAGGAGGGCCACCUACUCAAGUCUAUCAGAAAGUGGUGACAACUCCCCUUGCUAUCACAUAGAAAGGAGAAGCGCUUGAAAACGAAAAUGAUCAGCGGGGAGUGGCUCCAGUUGGAGAGACAGAGGAUCUGGGAUCCGUCUUUGUGGAGAGAGAAACAAAGAAGAAGAAACCGACACCCCCUUCGUCGGAAACAUCGGCAGCGACUGCUAGUCAGCGCUGCCAGUCGCAAUGAGUACUAUCAGCUGGAACUGUCGAGGGCUUGGGAACCCUCAGACAGUUCGAGAGCUUCGCAAGAUUGUGAAGCAAGAAGGACCCGCCCUUCUGUUCGUAAUGGAGACCAAGAUCAAGGGCAAAAGAGUGGAAGAUCCGAAAUUUACUUUAGGUUUUUCUGGUUGUUAUGCCGUCGACAGCGACGGGCUUAGUGGAGACGUUAGUCUGAAUAAUUUCAGUCAAUCUCACAUUGAUGUAUCUGUCAAACAGGAUAAUAAAACUUGGCGUUUCACUGGUUUCUAUGGAGCGCCACGAGUGGAAAAUAGACAUCACAGCUGGCGGUUUCUCUGCACGCUUUUUGCUGUCCCGCAUGAUGCAUGGAUCUGCAUGGGUGAUUUUAAUGAAACGAUGCAAGCGGACGAGCAUUUCAGUGUUAAUGCGCGGCCGGAAUACCAGAUGAGGGCGUUCCGGGAUGCGGUUGACGAUUGUUCCUUACAAGACUUGGGAUGGAGAGGUAUUCCCUAUACAUGGGAUAACAGAUAACCUGGACUCGCAAACGUGAAAGCCAGGUUGGAUCGAGUGCUUGCCAAUGCGGGGUUUCUGAACCUGUUUCAGUUUACUUCGGUCAAGCAUUUAAGCAGUGUGGAGUCAGACCAUUGCUUCGUCGUAGCCGAACUCAGAACAAGUUUGAAUAACAGUUGGCCUCGAGCAAAACGAAGCUUCAGAUACGAAGAUGUAUGGCAAUCUCAUAGUCAGUAUGACCAGCUCGUGCGCAAUUUAUGGCAAGCCGGUGCUGGCCAGAGAGGUUUGCAAGGUGUAGUGGAUGCACUAGGGACAGUGUAGAAAGAUCUAGGAGCCUGGGGCGAGCGAGAAUUUGGAAAUCUCUCAAAGAAAGUUCGCAAAUUUCAGAAGCGCCUAGACCGGCUACGGAGCGCCUCGAUGGGCCGAGGGCCUACGGAGGAGGAGCUAGCGGUAGCAUCGCAACUGCGAGAAGCCAUGAGACAAGAGGAGAUCUGGCUUAAGCAAAGGUCGCGAGUGCUCUGGUUACGGGUGGGAGAUCGCAAUAACGGAUACUUUCAAGCUCAAGCCGCCCAUCGCAAGAGGAUUAACCGUAUCACUUCUCUGGAAAAUUCACAAGGCCAAAUUCUGCAAGAUCCAGAGGAGGUGAAGGAGGAAAUUAGCAACUUCUAUCACGCUUUGUAUCAGACACAAGGUUUCGAACCCAUGGAUGAACUUUUGAACUGCGUGCAACCCAGCAUCACCGAGCAAAUGAACGAUCAUAUUAAUAAACAAUAUGUGGCGGCAGAAGUGAAAAAGGCCCUGUUUGACAUGGCGCCAUCCAAGGCCCCGGGGGUCGAUGGUUUUACAGCAGGUUUUUACCAACGGCAUUGGGAGAUCCUUGGCGAGGAUAUUACAAUGGCCGUGCUAGAGUUCCUGAACGGAGGAGAAUUACCUUUGGGACUGAACGACACUUCCAUCACAUUGAUUCCCAAGGUACGACAUCCACAAAAAAUUUCUCAGUUCAGGCCGAUUGCACUAUGCCCUGUCCUUGAUAAGAUUGCAGUGAAAGCAAUUGCAAAUAGAGUUCGAGGGAUUUUGGAUGAGGUGAUUGGAGAGGAACAAAGCGCCUUCGUCCCGGGACGCUUAGUCACAGAUAACAUACUGGUGGCGUACGAAAGUAUUCAUGCUAUCAAGAGGCGAAAGAAGGGGAAAAAUGCAUGUUGCGCGGUGAAGCUUGACAUGCUCAAAGCAUAUGAUAGAGUGGAAUGGCAUUAUCUCAAGGCGAUGCUCUUCAGGCUGGGCUUCGGUGAUAACUUUAUUCGUUUGAUUAUGAAGUGUGUGACUUCAGUCCGGUUCACGAUCAAGGUUAAUGGAGAUCUUCUCCCUUAUUUUACCCCUUCAAGGGGGCUUCGUCAAGGAUGCCCCAUGUCACCAUACUUGUUCUUAAUAUGUGCUCAGGGCCUUACAUCACUCCUGAAUAAUUUUGGUGGCGCAUAUGUUGAUAGAGGCAUCCGGGUGAGCGUUCAUGCACCGUGGGUUAACCACCUACUAUUUGCUGACGACAGCUUGAUUUUCCUCAGUGCAAAAUCUCAAAGCACAGAGAUGCUCAAUGAGAUUCUCCGGAUUUACGCUGAGUGUUCUGGACAGGCAAUGAACCGAGAGAAAAGUUCGAUCUAUUUCAGUGCCAACAUGGGACAGCCCCUACGACAGAGUUUGAAGCAAUCCCUUGGCAUUUUCGUGGAAGCUUUCUCUGAACGUUACCUGGGCCUCCCGACGGCGAUUGGCAAAAUCACCAGUGGGACUUUUGAUCACAUGGUGGACAGGUGUCGCGAUAAAAUGCGUGGCUGGUCAGAGCGAAACAUGGCCUGUGCGGCUAGGGAGGUUCUUCUCAAGACAGUCGUCCAGUCGAUUCCCACUUUCAGUAUGAGUUGUUUCCUCCUGACUAAGAAAGUUUGCAAGUCGAUCACUUCCUGUAUGGCUAAGUACUGGUGGGGCAGUUCGAUCGACAAACGUUCCCUACAUUGGCUCUCUUGGGAAAAGCUGGAGGUGCCGAAAGUGAAGGGCGGCAUGGGUUUCCGCAACAUGCAAGGUUUCAACCUAGCGAUGCUUGGGAAACACGGCUGGCGCCUUCUCACCAGACCGGAUUCUUUGUGUGCUAGGGUACUGAAGGGCAAAUAUUAUCCUCACACGGAUUUUCUUAAUGCGACAGUUCCGGCCAGAGCUUCGGCAACCUGGAAGGCCAUAGUUGCAGGGCGAGAUGCAUGACAUGUUGGUCUCAUUCGUCGAGUAGGCGAUGACUCAACCAUCUCAACAUGGACAGAUAGUUGGAUUCCGAAUACGACCGCACUGAAACCCUCGGGGCGCAUCGGCACUGCGUCGUUAACAAGGGUCUCAGAUCUUAUUGAUGAAUACACGGGGAACUGGAAUGAACAACUUGUCCGUCAGAAUUUCUUGCACCCGGACGCGGUAGCCAUCCUAAAUAUACCACUCAAUCCGGCGGGUGGUGAAGAUACUUUGGCCUGGGCUUUGGAGAAGUCGGGUAUCUACACUGUGAAAUCAGCGUAUCGUUCUCUUAUGACUCGCAAUGAGCUUGGCUCUUUAGAGGAAGGGGCGAUUACAGAAACUUCAUCAGCUAACAAACAGUUGUGGACUGCUUUAUGGCGACUACGAGUCGUUCCCAAAGUUCGGGUAUUUUGGUGGAGAGUUCUCCGAGGGAUACUCCCUGACUCGACCACCUUGCGCUAUCGUCACAUCAAGCAGUUGGGUCUGUGCGAUGUUUGCAAAGCGAUGGACGAGGACAUGCUACAUGCACUAAUCCAUUGUACUCAUGCAAAGGCUUUCUGGGCUGCCGCUAAGGACAGAUUCCAGCUCUCUCUCCCACGCUUGCACCAUGACACGUGGGCACCUGAUAUUCUGCUUGAUCCUAUGUUCAUUGAUGAGGAAAGAUGCAAGAUAAUUACCAUUAUACACAACAUUUGGUCGUCACGGAACAAUUGGACUCAUGAUCGUGAAGGUUACAACCCUGUUCAAGCGUUGAAGUGGAUUCACGAGACCUUGGCGAUCCUGGAACUUCCUUCCUUGGUAAGGAAAGCGAGGGCGGGUCAGUGCUGGAGGCCACCUGAAGCUGGUUGGCUCACUAUAAACACUUACGGCGCACUUAUGUUGAGGACAUGAAGGGAGGAGCAGGAGGCGUGGCUAGGUCACACAUUGCGUUCCUUGGUGCCUGGUGCAAACCUCUGGUUGGCAUUACGGACCCCUUCAUUGCGGAGUUGUUUGCUCUUCGAGACGGGAUGAUUUUUGCGCAACUUCGUGGUUUCUCACAUGUGAUCAUGGAGAUUGACUGCCUGGAGCUAGUUGAUCUAUGAAAAUCGCGCAGCAACACAAGAUCAGUUGCUGCGCCUAUCUUGAAUGAAUUAGAGGAAAUUGGUGCUACCUUUGCUUCUCUUUCGGUUACUCAUGUGAGUAGGGAAGCUAAUAUGCCGGCGCAUCAGUGUGCUCGUCUAGCUAGUACACUGGAUGGCACCGAGAGUUGGCUUGAUGCAAGCCCUGAUUUUUUGGUUUCUUGCCUGCGGGCUGAUUGUAACACUAUGAUCCUACGUUAAUAAAGUUCCUGAAUUCGACGAAAAAAAAAGGACCCCGCUACCUCCCUCUACACAAUCCCCUUCCACCAGGGCGCCAGCCUCGUCCUUGACAUAGCCGGCCCGCUGGUCUGGUCCACGUGCCAGCGCGGCGAUCUGCCGACAGAUAUCCCGUGCAGUAGCCCCAGCUGCCUCCUCGCCAACGCCUACCCCGCCCCGGGCUGCCCCGCGCCCAGCUGCGGCAGCGGCAGCCACGACAAGCGGUGCACGGCGUACCCAUACAACCCGGUCACCGGCGCGUGCGCCGCCGGGAGCCUCGCCCGCACGACGCUCGUAGCCGACACCACCGACGGGAAUAACCCGGUGAGCGAGGUGUACGUCCGGGUCCUGGCGGCGUGCGCGCCGAGGAAGCUCUUGGCGUCGCUGCCCGGCCCGGGGCUCCACGGGUGUAGCCGGGCUCGGGGGCUCCGGCCUUGCGCUGCCGGCUCAGGUGGCGUCCACCCAGAAGGUCGCCAACAAGUUUCUCCUCUGCCUCCCCAGCGGCGGCCCUGGCGUGGCCAUCUUCGGCGGCGGCCCGCUCCCGUGGCCGCAAUUGACGCAGUCGAUGCCGUACACGCCGCUCGUCACCAAGGGCGGCAGCCCCGCGCACUACAUCUCCGUCAAGGCCAUCCAAGUGGAGGACACCCGCGUCUCCGUCUCAGAGCGCGUGCUCGCCACCGGCGGCGUGAUGCUCAGCACGAGGCUGCCCUACGCCUUGCUCCGCCACGACGUGUACCGCCCGUUGGUGGACGCGUUCACCAAGGCCCUGGCGGCGCAGCCUGCCAACGGAGCGCCCGUGGCGCGCGCCGUGAAGCCUGUGGCACCGUUCGAGCUGUGCUACGACACGAAGUCGCUGGGCAACAACCCCGGCGGGUACUGGGUGCCGAACGUCGGGCUGGCGCUCGACGGCGGGAGUGACUGGUGGAUGACUGGGAAGAACUUCAUGGUGGACGUCAAGCCGGGGACGGCGUGCGUUGCGUUCGUGGAGAUGAAGGGGGUGGAGGCCGGCGACGGCAGGGCGCCGGCGGUGAUCCUCGGAGGAGCCCAGUUGGAGGAGCUCGUGCUCGACUUCGACAUGGAGAAGAAGCGGCUCGGGUUUCUCAGGUUGCUACACUAUAUGGAUUGCAGCAGAUUCAAUUUCACUCGAAGCGCUUAGAACUGUCACUGCCUGUAAUGAUAAGUUUGUAUAUCUACGGUAUAUUAUUCGACCACUCCCUGAAUAAUUCAGGAUGGACGCGGUCCGGGCCGGACCGGUCCGGUCCCUAACCGAGCCUCCCUUUGGACCGGCCGAAACUGGCACGGACCGGAUCCUGUUUCCUAGGACCGGACCGGCUGCGCCUCAGCUCGGUGCGGACCGAAGGGACCGACUGGACCGAGUACAGUUUGUGCGUGGGAGUGCGCUGGAAGCCUUUUUAGAACUAUUUUGACAACAAAUUUGAACGUAUAGAUCAUUAGGUUGCAAAAGAGGUUCAAAUGGACGAAAAAUAAGCAAGUUUGCAACAAAAACAGCACAGGAAGGUGUCCAACUGAAGAAAGUUCAGAGGGACUGAACAAAUACCAACUGAAGAAAGUUCAGAGGGACUGAACAAUUACCAACUGAAGAAAUUUCAGAGAGAUGGAACAAGUACAAACUGUCGGCGUGGACAUGCAGGACUUCAGGUGCACGUGCAGCAGCUCCGACCCCCGCGUCCUCCAGCUUUGUGCUCGACGGCGGCUAACAGGCGAGGAGGUGGUCGAAGACGGGCAGGUGGUGUUGGGGAACGUAGUAAUUUCAAAAAAAUUCCUACGCACACGCAAGAUCAUGGUGAUGCAUAGCAACGAGAGGGGAGAGUGACGUCCAUGUACCCUCGUAGACCGUUAAGCGGAAGCGUUAUAACAACGCGGUUGAUGUAGUCGUACAUCUUCACGAUCGACCGAUCCUCAGCACCGAACGUACGGCACCUCUACGUUCAGCACACGUUCAGCUCGGUGACGUCCCGCGAACUCACGAUCCAAUAGAGCUUCCGGGAAGAGCUUCGUCAGCACGACGGCAUGGUGACGGUGAUGAUGAUGCUACCGACGCAGGGCUUCACCUAAGCACCGCUACGAUAUGACUGAGAUGGAUUAUGGUGGAGGGGGCACCACACACGGCUAAGAGAUCAAUAGAUCAAUUGUUGUGUCUUUGGGGUGCCCCCCUACCUCUGUAUAUAAAGGGGGGAGGAGGAGAGGGUCGGCCAAGGGAGAGGCGCGCCCAAGGGGGGGCAAUCCUACUCCAAUUAGGUUUGUCCUCUACCUUUCCUAUUCCAAGAAGGAGAAGGGGGAAGGAGGAGGUGGAGAGAAGGAAGGAGAGGGGGGCCGCCGCCCCUUCCCCUUGUCCAAUUCGCAUUGGGGCAAGGGGGGCCGCGUGCCACCUCCUGGCUGCCCUCUCUCNNNNNNNNNNNNNNNNNNNNNNNNNNNNNNNNNNNNNNNNNNNNNNNNNNNNNNNNNNNNNNNNNNNNNNNNNNNNNNNNNNNNNNNNNNNNNNNNNNNNNNNNNNNNNNNNNNNNNNNNNNNNNNNNNNNNNNNNNNNNNNNNNNNNNNNNNNNNNNNNNNNNNNNNNNNNNNNNNNNNNNNNNNNNNNNNNNNNNNNNNNNNNNNNNNNNNNNNNNNNNNNNNNNNNNNNNNNNCGGUGUCCAAACAUAGUCGUCCAAUAUAUCGAUCUUUACGUCUCGACCAUUUCGAGACUCCUCAUCAUGUCCGUGAUCACAUCCGGGACUCCGAACUACCUUCGGUAUAUCAAAACAUAAAAACUAAUAAUACCGAUCGUCACAGAACUUUAAGCGUGCGGACCCUACGGGUUAGAGAACUAUGUAGACAUGACCGAGACACGUCUCGGGUCAAUAACAAAUAGCGCAACCUGGAUGCUCAUAUUGGCUCCUACAUAUUCUACGAAGAUCUUUAUCGGUCAAAUCGCAUAACAACAUACGUUGUUCCCUUUGUCAUCGGUAUGUUACUUGCCCGAGAUUCGAUCGUCGGUAUCUCAAUACCUAGCUCAAUCUCGUUACCGGCAAGUCUCUUUACUCGUUACGUAAGGCAUCAUCCCGCAACUAACUCAUUAGUCACAUUACUUGCAAGGCUUAUUGUGAUGUGCAUUACCGAGAGGGCCCAGAGAUACCUCUCCGACAACCGGAGUGACAAAUCCUAAUCUCGAUCUAUGCCAACUCAACAAGUACCAUUGGAGAUACCUGUAGAGCACCUUUAUAAUCACCUAGUUACAUUAUGACGUUUGGUAGCACACAAAGUGUUCCUCCGGUAAUCGGGAGUUGCAUAAUCUCAUAGUCAUAGGAACAUGUAUAAGUCAUGAAGAAAGCAAUAGCAGUAAACUAAACGAUCAAGUGCUAAGCUAGCGGAAUGGGUCAAGUCAAUCACAUCAUUCUUCUAAUGAUGUGAUCCCGUUAAUCAAAUGACAACUCAUGUCCAUGGCUAGGAAACUUAACCAUCUUUGAUUAACGAGCUAGUCAAGUAGAGGCAUACUAGUGACACUAUGUUUGUCUAUGUAUUCACACAUGUAUUAUGUUUCCGGUUAAUACAAUUCUAGCAUGAAUAAUAAACAUUUAUCAUGAUAUGGGGAAAUAAAUAAUAACUUUAUUAUUGCCUCUAGGGCAUAUUUCCUUCAGUCUCCCACUUGCACUAGAGUCAAUAAUUACACAGUAGUGAUUCUAACACCCAUUGAGUAGUGGUGUUUAUCAUGUUUUGCUCGUGGAAGAGGCUUAGUCAACGGGUCUGCAACAUUCAGAUCCGUAUGUAUAUUGCAAAUCUCUAUGUCUCCCACCUGGACUUGAUCCCGGAUGGAAUUAAAGCGUCUCUUGAUGUGCUUGGUUCUCUUGUGAAAUCUGAAUUCCUUUGCCAAGGCAAUUGCACCAGUAUUGUCACAAAAGAUUUUCAUUGGUCCCGAUGCACUAGGUAUGACACCUAGAUCGGAUAUGAACUCCUUCAUCCAGACUCCUUCAUUUGCUGCUUCCGAAGCAGCUAUGUACUCCGCUUCACACGUAGAUCCCGCCACGACGCUUUGUUUAGAACUGCACCAACUGACAGCUCCACCGUUCAAUGUAAGCACGUAUCCGGUUUGCGAUUUAGAAUCGUCCGGAUCAGUGUCAAAGCUUACAUCGACGUAACCAUUUACGACGAGCUCUUUGUCACCACCAUAAACGAGAAACAUAUCCUUAGUCCUUUUCAGGUAUUUCAGGAUGUUCUUGACCGCUGUCUAGUGAUCCACUCCUGGAUUACUUUGGUACCUCCCUGCUAAGCUAAUAGCAAGGCACACAUCAGGUCUGGUACACAGCAUUGCAUACAUGAUAGAGCCUAUGGCUGAAGCAUAGGGAACACUUUUCAUUUUCUCUCUAUCUUCUGCAGUGGUCGGGCAUUGAGUCUGACUCAACUUCACACCUUAUAACACAGGCAACAACCCUUUCUUUACUUGAUCCAUUUUGAACUUUUUCAAAACUUUGUCAAGGUAUGUGCUUUGUGAAAGUCCAAUUAAGCGUCUUGAUCUAUCUCUAUAGAUCUUGAUGCCCAAUAUGUAAGCAGCUUCACCAAGGUCUUUCAUUGAAAAACUCUUAUUCAAGUAUCCUUUUAUGCUAUCCAGAAAUUCUAUAUCAUUUCCAAUCAGCAAUAUGUCAUCCACAUAUAAUAUUAGAAAUGCUACAGAGCUCCCACUCACUUUCUUGUAAAUGCAGGCUUCUCCAAAAGUCUGUAUAAAUCCAUAUGCUUUGAUCACACUAUCAAAAAUUUUAUUCCAACUCCGAGAGGCUUGCACCAGUCCAUAAAUGGAUCGCUGGAGCUUGCACACUUUGUUAGCUCCCUUUGGAUCGACAAAACCUUCCGGCUGCAUCAUAUACAACUCUUCUUCCAGAAAUCCAUUCAGAAAUGCAGUUUUGACAUUCAUUGGGAAAAUUUCAUAAUCAUAAAAUGCGGCAAUUGCUAACAUGAUUCGGACAGACUUAAGCAUCGCUACGGGUGAGAAAGUCUCAUCGUAGUCAACUCCUUGAACUUGUCGAAAACCUUUCGCAACAAGUCGAGCUUUGUAGACAGUAACAUUACCGUCAGCGUCAGUCUUUUUCUUGAAGAUCCAUUUGUUCUCUAUGGCUUGCCGAUCAUCGGGCAAGUCAACCAAAGUCCAUACUUUGUUCUCAUACAUGGAUCCCAUCUCAGAUUUCAUGGCCUCAAGCCAUUUUGCGGAAUCUGGGCUCACCAUCGCUUCUUCAUAGUUCGUAGGUUCACCUUUGUCAUGUAACAUGACCUCCAGAAUAAGAUUAUCGUACCACUCUGGUGCGGAUCUUACUCUGGUUGACCUACGAGAUUCGGUAGUAACUUGAUCUGAAGUUUCAUGAUCAACAUCAUUAGCUUCCUCACUAAUUGGUGUAGGUGUCACAGGAACCGGUUUCUGUGAUGAACUACUUUCCAAUAAGGGAGCAGGUACAGUUACCUCAUCAAGUUCUAUUUUCCUCCCACUCACUUCUUUCGAGAGAAAACUCCUUCUCUAGAAAGGAUCCAUUCUUAGCAACGAAUGUCUUGACUUCGGAUCUGUGGUAGAAGGUGUACCCAACUGUCUCCUUUGGGUAUCCUAUGAAAACACAUUUCUCCGAUUUAGGUUUGAGCUCAUCAGGAUGAAACUUUUUCACGUAAGCAUCACAACCCCAAACUUUAAGAAACGACAACUUUGGUUUCUUGCCAAACCACAGUUCAUAAGGCGUCGUCUCAACGGAUUUUGAUGGUGCCCUAUUUAAAGUGAAUGCAGCUGUCUCUAAUGCAUAACCCCAAAACGAUAGUGGUAAAUCGGUAAGAUACAUCAUAGAUCGCACCAUAUCCAAUAAAGUGCGGUUACGACGUUCGGACACACCAUUAUGUUGUGGUGUUCCGGGUGGCGUGAGUUGUGAAACUAUUCCGCAUUGUUUCAAAUGUAGACCAAACUCGUAACUCAAAUAUUCUCCUCCACGAUCAGAUCGUAGAAACUUUAUUUUCUUGUUACGAUGAUUUUCCAGUUCACUCUGAAAUUCUUUGAACUUUUCAAAUGUUUCAGACUUAUGUUUCAUUAAGUAGAUAUACCCAUAUCUGCUCAAAUUAUCUGUGAAGGUGAGAAAGUAACGAUACUCGCCGCGAGCCUCAAUAUUCAUCGGACCACAUACAUCAGUAUGUAUGAUUUUCAACAAAUCUGUUGCUCGCUCCAUUGUUCCAGAGAACGGCGUUUUAGUCAUCUUGCCCAUGAGGCAUGGUUCGCAAGUACCAAGUGAUUAAUAAUCAAGUGAUUCCAAAAGUCCAUCAGUAUGGAGUUUCUUCAUGCGCUUUACACCAAUAUGACCCAAACGGCAGUGCCACAAAUAAGUUGCACUAUCAUUAUCAAUUCUGCAUCUUUUGGCUUCAACAUUAUGAAUAUGUGUAUCACUACUAUCACAAAUAGACCACUCUUUAAGGGUGCAUUACCAUAAAAGAUAUUACUCAUAUAAAUAGAACAACCAUUAUUCUCAUAUUUAAAUGAAUAACCGUCUCGCAUCAAACAAGAUCCAGAUAUAAUGUCCAUGCUUAACGCUGGCACCAAAUAACAAUUAUUCAGGUCUAAAACUAAUCCCGAAGGUAGAUGUAGAGGUAGCGUGCCGACGGCGAUCACAUCGACUUUGGAACCAUUUCCCACACGCAUUGUCACCUCGUCCUUAGCUAGUCUUCGCUUAAUCCGUAGUCCCUAUUUCGAGUUGCAAAUAUUGGCAAUAGAACCAGUAUCAAAUACCCAGGUGCUACUGCGAGCUCUAGAAAGGUACACAUCAAUAAUAUGUAUAUCACAUAUACCUUUGUUCACCUUGCCAUCCUUCUUAUCCGCCAAAUACUUGGGGCAGUUCCGCUUCCAAUGACCAGUCUGUUUGCAAUAGAAGCACUCAGUCUCAGGCUUAGGUCUAGACAUGGGUUUCUUCUCUUGAGCAGCAACUUGUUUGCCGUUCUUCUUGAAGUUCCCCUUCUUCUUCCCUUUACCCUUUUUCUUGAAACUGGUGGUCUUGUUGACCAUCAACACUUGAUGCUCCUUCUUGAUUUCUACCUCCGCAGCCUUUAGCAUUGCGAAGAGCUCGGGAAUUGUCUUAUCCAUCCCUUGCAUAUUAUAGUUCAUCAUGAAGCCCUUGUAGCAUGGUGGCAGUGAUUGAAGAAUUCUGUCAAUGACACUAUCAUCCGGAUUAACUCCUAGUUGAAUCAAGUGAUUGUUAUACCCAGACAUUUUGAGUAUAUGUUCACUGAUAGAACUAUUCUCCUCCAUCUUGCAGCUGUAGAACUUAUUGGAGACUUCAUAUCUCUCAAUCCGGGCAUUUGCUUGAAAUAUUAACAUCAACUCCUGGAACAUCUCAUAUGCUCCAUGACGUUCAAAACGUCGUUGAAGUCCCGGUUCUAAGCCGUAAAGCAUGGCACACUGAACUAUCGAGUAGUCAUCAGCUUUGCUCUGCCAGACGUUCUUAACAUCGUCAGUUGCAUCUGUAGCAGGCCUGGCACCCAGCGCUGCUUCCAAGACGUAAUUCUUCUGUGCAGCAAUGAGGAUAAUCCUCAAGUUACGGAACCAGUCCGUGUAAUUGCUACCAUCAUCUUUCAACUUUGCUUUCUCAAGGAAUGCAUUAAAAUUCAACAGAACAACAACACGGGCCAUCUAUCUAGAACAACAUAGACAAGCAAAAUACUAUCAGGUACUAAGUUCAUGAUAAAUUUAAGUUCAAUUAAUCAUAUUACUUAAGAACUCCCACUUAGAUAGACAUCCCUCUAAUCAUCUAAGUGAUCACGUGAUCCAUAUCAACUAAACCAUAACCGAUCAUCACGUGAAAUGGAGUAGUUUUCAAUGGUGAACAUCACUAUGUUGAUCAUAUCUAUUAUAUGAUUCACGCUCGACCUUUUGGUCUCAGUGUUCCCAGGCCAUAUCACACCCUACACAAUGAUAUCGUCAAGACGAGAACCAUUAAACUGCGCCAAUUAGGGGUCUCAAGCAUGAUUCCUCUUUUUUUCGCUGCAAUAUGUGAAAUUUGCAGUAGAUAGAUCAAUCCGAGAAUGACGUUUGGCUCCCGGGUUCGCGCACUCCCAUGUGAAUAGUAAACAAAAAUAUAUAAUAAAUGUUUUGAAAAAAUUCUGAAAUAUUUUUUAGAUGUUCGUGUUAGUGUCGGAAGCGUACUUGAAAUUUUUCAUGCGAAACGAAGCAGUUGUGUUUCGCCAGUGAAAAAAACAAAUUUAGGGUGAAAUUUUGGGGUAACAUUUGGUGUUUAUUUUUUUGGCCUGCAAAUUUGUGUAGGGUAACGCAGCAGAAAACAAAAAAAUCUCCGACCUACACAUCAGCCCAGGACCACUAUGGAGACUGCAUACAAGGUUUGAUCUUUUUCAUUACCGACUCAUAGCGCAGCGGAAGUAGAGUCGAUGACGAUCGGCGGUGCAGAUCCCCGCAGCAAGGAUUUACAACCUCCCAACCGCGAGGAUGUAUACCCUCACCUGCCCCUCGGACAGCCCCCCGGGAGGCGGUCGGACAGUCCCCCGGACGGUGUCGCGGACAACCCUUCGGGAGGAGCUUCGAAACUCGGGCGAUCACUCGGACAGCCCUUCGGGAGGACCUUCGAAACUCGGACGGUCACACAGACAGCCCUUUGGGAGGCACUCUCGAACUAAGAGCGAAACCACGAUCUCUCUACAGAGUUGCACACAUACGGUGUCAUCUAUCCGGCAGGGCUUCGCUGUCCAGAACUAGUUCCUCUCGGAACCCAUACAGCCUUUCGGCUCUACGAAACUAUUUCGCUGGGAGGGAGAGAGAAAUCCAGAUCAUGCAUGGCACUUGUAUGUGAGAAAGAGUGAGUGUGGAGAGUGCAUCUCCAUCUCUAUUUAUAGGAAAACCCAAGGGGAAAGGUGGGACAUGGAAACCCAAAAUACCUAUGUUUUAUGUCACACAUAAAGGGCAUUAUGGGGAAGCAAGUGGGGCUCCAUGGAGCAGCCCCUCUUGGACGUCCAAAACCCUUGUGGGACCCCCCAAAAUGGGUUCCCGUCCUUCCAUGUCAUCCCUAGAUAUUUUAGGGCAAAGCCCAAAAAGGUGGCUUUCCAUAAAGUAACCAAGCUGAUUUCGCUAUUCACGACGACAUUUUUCAGUGUCCGUUCGAACCGAAAAUAUUUAUGUGGGCUUAGAAUAUUUCCAGUACCCACUAAAAUAAUUUUCGACGUGUUCCGAAACAAUUCCGGAUUAGUGAUUUUCAUCUGCGAAAAGCAACCAAACCGGUUCCGGCAGCUCCAGAACAUUUCCGGUUUUUAUCCCGGAAAAUUCCUAGAAGUUUCCAGAAUAAUUCUGGCACCCUCCAAGAAUUAUCAGGCGUGUCCCGAAACCAAUUUAACAAUGGUAUACCCCGAAACAACGUUUCGGCCGGCUUUACGAAACUAUUUCGAUGUUCUCUCUCCGGAACUCUUCCACUGUCUCCGAAACUUUUUCGGCGAAUUUCUCUCAGACUCCCUAUCUAGUAUUCAACAGAUAGAUGACCCUUAAGCAUGUGACCCUAUAGGUUCGGUGAAGUAUAGACAUGACCGGAACCCUUUCCGAUCAAUGAUCAACAUCGGAGCCAUGGACACCCAUAUUGACCCCUAUACCCACACACAUGAAUAUUCGAGUGAACCUCCAGUUGCCGUGUGCUAUUCCUGUUGCUUCGCGAUAUGUUACAAAUACCCGAGGUGAGAUGUAUUGGCAUCCCCGUGGAUCAACAACUUUGUCCACUAUGCCAGUUACCUCGUUACCGGUAUUGUUCUCUUUUCUCGUUCCUGUGUUCCGGCAUCCCUGUGAUCAAAUCACAAUGUGUCUGGCCAGACGAUGAUGGAUACCGUAACACCAAGAGGGCCCAGAGAUAUAUCUCCAUCAAUGGAGGAGCAAAUCGCAAUCUUGAGCUAUCAAGUUACUUGACAUACUUUUCAUGAACACGCAAGCCGCCGUAAUAGCCACCCAUUUACGGAUGACCUUUAACAAACCCCAAAGUUCAUGAAGCAAGCAUGAAGAAACUCGAUACUCUCAUGGUCUAAGGAAUUAUCCAAACGUAAACUUCCUCUGUGUUAUUAACCAUUAACUUGUGACGAAGGUACCUCAUAGCAUAACAUUAAAUGGGUUGAUUCAACCACAAGUGUUCUACUAACAUUGUGUCCCCAAAGUUGCCGGCAUAGUCAUGCCCAUGAUCAGGAAAAUAGAACCAUCAUGCAACACUUGAGCUAGUCUUAGAGGCCAGACUAGGAAUACAUUUUGCCGUUUAUUAUUCCAUACGUGCAUAUGAGUCUUCCUCCAAGCCUCGUGUCACUGUAGACUCGAGAACCAUAGCAGUUAUAGCAUGGAACAUAAACAUAAUGAUGAACAUGGAGAUAAAUAAUAAGAUUUAUUAUUGCCUCUAGGGCAUAUCUCCUACAAUUUGUAUGUAGGAUUUGGAUGUGACAAGUAACACAUAGAAUUUCUGUUGAUUUUUUUAUAUUUAAAAAUAUAUUUUCACGUGCUCCCGGGAGCACUAACGGAUUUCGGGAUCCAUGUAAUUGUGUCAGCAAGAUAGCAGUGCAGGUUCUUUGCGUGAGCGAGCUAGCAUGCAUCGAACAUCGCCUUUGCGCGAAAGAGUGGGAGCAAUAACGCAUUGGACCACGGCCAUCCGAUCCAAGCUUUCUUUUUAGUUCUGCUCAUCAAUCUGGCUCCACCCGGGGCAGGGCAUCUGAGCUACUCGUAUCUGACCAAUCUUGGCUACUAUUAUCUGAAGUGUUCUCGCCAUUUUUUGUUCCGAUGAUCAGUGAUAUUAGCCCACAAGUUUGCCCACUUUAUGUUUUGUAAGUUCAAUGCGUGAUUGCUUUUAUUUUAGUUGUAUGCCCCUUGAAUUGAAAUAUGUGUUCAGUGCGAGUUGGAUGCGAUUCGAUGAGGUUAGCUAGAUAUUGACAUCCCUCUCUCAUUAUUUUGCAAUAGAGAUUGGGUUAGGCAGGGAAGGGGAGUAUUUAUAAAUUUCUAAAUUGUUAGAAAUCAUAUUCUAGUUCACAUAUUGCCAAAAUGCAGAUGAAGAUGUAGCCAUGGCAAAUGGGGUUUACAAAGUUUUAAGUAGCAAUUUUUAGAUGAUAACUCCUAGGUUUGUGACAUGGCAAAUUGGGUUUUGUAGAGUAUUAAGAUGAUAACUCCUUUUGUUUUGUGUCAUGGCAAUUUUUGGUUCACGAGGUGAAAAUUGUUGGAAGUCACAUGGGCAAUUGUAGAAAACCUUUUUUAUGUUCUAAAUCUGAAAGCAAUGCAUACAACCUAUAUUUUGUGGGCAAACACUUCGGAAUUUGUCCCAUUUUCCUUCAUUUUUUCUGCCCCAUUUUCCCUUAAUUUUUUCCAUGGACACUUAUGUUUAGUACUACAUCUAUGUAAUAGCAUUGCAACUUCAACAUGUUUUUGCCAUGUUCCCUUCAGUUUUUUUUGUUAGAUCUACCUUCACUAUAUGUCAAUUUUACUUGCGUUUCUAGCUACUAAACUAUACAUGGAAAACUUUUCUGAUUCUUUUGCCAUAUGCACUUGAAGUUCUAUACUAUAUUCUCAAUAACUUUCCAUAUGCCAUUUUCCUAUUGCUUUGUUCUUUUUCUAAUGAACAAAAUCCUUUAGAAGUUGCCAUCUUCUAUGAGAACAUUUCUCUUCCUAAAAUUUUCCAUUUGCAAAUGAAACUUGUGGCAAAUUCAUAUGCUACCAUAAAAGCAAUUUUCCAAGGAAAAAUAUUUAUGACAAAUUUAGUUUAUAGAUCAUGGCAAAUUUAGUAACUGACCAUGGAAAAUUUAAUUUAUGUAUCAUGGCAAACUUGUUCUUACCAUGGCAAUUUUCACUUUUCAAAUCACGUACACUUUAGUUUCAUGGUCUUCUUUUGAGAAUCAUGUAAAUUGGGUUCUAUCUAGCAUGGUUAGUUUUACCAUCAUGACGAAAUUGACCUAAAUCUACCAUCAUCACGAACUUGCAUACAUUCUUUGGAUUAAUGCCAUUUUCCUAACCACAGGCAAGCAUCUCAUGUGCAUCAUGACAAAUUUACACCACUUUGUCCACCAUGGCAAACUUACACACAUGUUUUUUGCCAUUAACAUGUGCUUUUAAGACCGUCGCAAUUUCUUUUCUUUUUGCAACAUGGCAAAAACUACUUUUUAUGGGACCAUGGCAAUUUUAUUUUAUGGGUCAUGGCAAUUUUAGUUUAUGCAUCACAGCAAAUUUAGUGCAUGGGCCAUGGCAAUUUUCAUUUUUUAUGGACCAUGGCAAGUUUGCUUUCUGGGCCAUGGAAAAUUUGAUUCAAACAUCAUGGCAAUUUCAGUUAAUGUACCGUGACAAAUUUAUUCCAUUUUUUGCCAUGGAAAUUUUGAUAUUGGACCAUGGAAAUUGUUUUGCUUGUUUCAUACACAAAACCAUGUAGUUUUUGCCAUGGAGAUUUGUGUUCACUUAAAAAAUGCCAUAGUAUUUGCAAUAGAUUUACCACCAAUAUUAAAAAAAAUUACAAUGUUCCUUUCAUAAAAAUUUCUCCAUAAAAUAAAUUACCGUAAACUCAAAAAGCAUCAUGACAUGUCAAUUAUCAUGUGUUUUUGCCAUUGUAUUUUCUGACACUAAUUUUUUUGUUGAAAUUGAUACUAAAAGUGACAACAUAAAAGAAUUUUUGGCAAGGAAAAACUGCUCAUGGCAAAUUUGUAGUAGCCACAGGAAUUUUAGUAAUUAACCAUCGCAAAAUUUCUUUUAAGUUUAUGGAUCAUGUUAAAUUUUCAUAAUUAACCAUGGCAAAUUUAGUUUCUGAAUCUUGUAAAAUUUAGUAAUUCACCAUGGAAAAUUUAGUUUAUAGAUCAUGGCAAAUUUAUUGUUCUCAUGACAAUAUUCACUUUUUGUGAUCUUGGCAAUUUAGUUGUUGAUUUCUUAUUUGAGCAUCAUGGCAAAAUAUUUGUACGCAUCAUGAAAUUUUUAGUGUAUGGAUCGUGUAAAUUUUUUGGAUCAACUAAAGUUUUAAAUUUAUCUCGACAAAUUUAUUUUUUAUAGGACGUCAAUUUUAUUUUUUCUGUCAUUGUUUCGUACAUGGAGAAUUUCUCAUACUGAACAUGGAAAUUUUAAUUAAAAUACCACCUUAGUUUUUAUUAUGAAUCUGGCAUGGCAAUUCUUUGUUUCAUAUUUUGGUUUUCAUUUGUUCAUUUGAUAUUUUUUUUGGACAUCAGUGAGUCCCGAACCAAUUUGACCAUGUCGAAUCGAAUGUUUUUAUGGCAAUUUAUAUUUUUUGACCAUGGCAAGUUUAGUUGGUAAGCAUUGCAAAUCCGCCCUCAGUUUGUUUUUGCAAAAAAAAAUUGUGCUUGCCAACUAAUCUUGGCAUCCUUGUGUCAACUAAAGUUGCUAUAAAAAACGUUCGAAUUGCCAUGGGCAAAUCCCGAACUUUGGGAUUUAUCAUUUCCAAUAUAUUUUUCGUGGUAACAUUUGCCAUGUCAUUUUUCUAAAUAUAGAUUCUCUUCCAUGACAAUUCUAGAAAUUUGCCAUGUGAUCAAGAUCAGUGUUAUUGUUAGAAUAUUUCUGUUUAUAUUGUUUGGCAUUUUUUGGCUGACCACAUAGCAAUUUUUCCCUAGGGAAUUUGGGUCAGUUUUGUCUAGUUUUUGGCUUAGGUAAUUAGUGAGAGAACUGGGGAGUAUAAAUCAGUGUGCACAAACUCGUUGUUUUUGUGUAGCUAUUCAAAAUGAGUUGAAGUUUUGUUUUGGACAAAAUAUAAUUUAAAAUGUGGAAAACAUGUGUCAUGGAAAUUUUGUUGGAUUUUGUCUAGCUAUUAAAAAUGAGGUCCAAACACCAAUUUUGAAGUCUUGAGUCGUAACAAACAAUGAGCCUUUUUUUGGCCCAGUUGGAGGCUGUUAAGGCCCAGCCGAAGUCUGUUUUCGUGCUGCUGGGGGAACUGUCGAAAUCAGUAAUUAACUAGAAGAACGCCCGUGCGUUGCAAAGGGGCCACAUUAAAUUUAAAAGUUCAAUACCAAUUAUGUUAAUAUUAUAUUUAAUAUUCUCAUACAUAUUAAGUGACAUUGACGACUUUUUUACCAUCAAAUUCUCACACACACACCCUCUCCCUCCCUCUUCCUCACUGUCUCUCCCCCUCUCCCUCACUCGGGAGGUGGGACGAAAAUAAACCCGGAACGGAGACUACCAACUGAGACAUUAGGAGUAGAGAUCAUUUAGUUGAUAAGAAUAAAUAAAAAACGGUAUUAAAAAGGAGAAACAGAUUAGAAUACAUUGAAAAACCAAAAGGACGACGUAAAAGGGGAUUCGCCCUGCCCCCCGGGCCUUGCCACCGAACCGGCUCAGUGGUCCAGUCCCCGCGCGGUCGUCUUCUCUUGUUCCCCGAGCCGUGUCACUACAGAGCCGGGCUCCCGCCCGACCACCUCGCUGGCAUCGAAGGGGAAUGGAUAAGGGUGACGCCCUUCUUCCCUGCCCCCAUGGCCUCACUCCUCCUCGACGCCCCCUCCCAAAUCCACUACUCCUCCUCGCUCGCUCGAUCCCGUCGAUCUGGACGAAGUCAGACGCCACGGCCACCAUGACCGACCCCGUCCACAUGGCCACUGCCCUCCCUGCGGGCUAGGAGCUUGUCGAGGAGCUCCGAACGCCUUCGCUACUUCGUCUGCGCCAAUGAGAUCAAGUCCAGCACCCCCGCAUCGACAUCGCUGCCGUCUUCCUCAACCUUGGGCCACCGCGACAUUGUCGUUCGAUCCGCGCCGCCCCGAGCUCCCAUGUCUUCCCCUAGGGCGCCAUUGACACCGCCAUGAUCUCCUCUUGCCUUUCCCUGUUUCCCCUCUCGUUUGCUCUCGUUAGGUAUUUCGCCGUGGCCGAGAACCACCGUCCGCCAUGGCCAUUGCAGGGGUAGCCACCGAGCUCCUCGGAUUGACCCCGUGGCACAUGCCCGCUCCUAUGCACGCCCAUGCCCGAGCCUGUCGCUCUUCUUCCGCGCCCGCGGGGCCACUCCCUCUCCAUGCCCACGCCCGUGCUACACCGUGUCGGUCGCGCCCGCCGCUGCCGUCGUGCUGGCCGCAGCCACCGCACCACUGAGCCCCGCGCGACACACACCCUGGUCGUGCGCCACACUCUCGCUGGCUGCGCUCGCCCCGUCUACUGCCGCCUAGCCCUUCGCUCGCCCCGCUGUCGCGCCCCUGCCUCACGCCGCCUCAAGUCGUGGCCAUCUUCUGCCGGCCGCCCCCUCAGCAACGCCGGCCGCAUCUCUGCCCUCCACCGUCGGCCGCUCGCCUCGCCUGCUGCGUGUUGCUUCCUGCUGCUAUGCACUGCUCUACUGCUGGUACGCUGCUGCGCCAUGCUCUCGACACCACCGUGGACAAAUGUGGCGGAGGGAUUGUUAAUGGAGUACGAGAAGGAGGUGGCGGAGAAGGUGUGGAGAGGCAGGAGGUCUGGGGCGGUGUCACCUGGCUGUGGUGGAGGUGUUUUUGCGAGAAGGAGCCGGAGUGGAAGGAGAGGUCACAAUUGGAAAGAAUCUUAAAAAAAACAUAACCCGGAGAUCUCAGUUCAAAAAAAUGCUAAUAUCGAUGGAGGGGUGAUUUCCUUCAAUAGGUGGAAAACAUAGGAAAUAUUGGUUGUUAUCAAGGAAAGUAAAAAUUUACGAAAGUUAGGAUUUUUGAACCGAUUUCUAUGCAAAUGGGGUUUUAUUGUUUGGUAACGUGAUAUCAUUACCUGCCUGUUUGUGACGUGUCUGAUUACGAAAGUUUGCAAAUGUUAAGAAACUAUUUAUUGGGAGGAAAGUUGUGACGUGUCUGUUAUUUGUUUCCUAAAACAAAUUUCACUAAUAAGAGAAAUCGAUUGAUUUAGAUAAGUUAGGAAAAUUAGAUUAAAAUGUAUUAUUUGUUUCCUGAAAAUCUGUUAUUUGUUUCCUAAGACAAAUUGAACCAAUAAAAGGAAUCGAUUGAUUUGCAUAAUUUAAGGAAGUUAGAUUAAAAUGUAUUAUUUGUUUCCUGAAAAUCUGUUAUUUGUUUCCUAAGACAAAUUGAACCAAUAAAAGGAAUCGAUUGAUUUGCAUAAUUUAAGGAAGUUAGAUUCGUGAUUUGUUAUACUUUAGGAAAGUUCUGGUUGUAACAAAGAGUGGAGAGAAAAAUAAACCGAUGGACCAGGGUGGGAGGGGGUGGUGGGAGGAGAGACAAAAAAAAACAGCGAAAAUAAACCGCGGAUCAGGGUGGGAGGGGGUGGUGGGAGGGACGAAAAAAAACCAGCGAAAAUAAACCGCGGAGACGAUUCACCAACUCGUCCAUUAGGAGUAGAGAUAAGUACUCCUUCCAAAGAUUACUCCCACCUCUUCAGGUUGCGACAAGUGGCGAUCCGUUUAUUCAAAAUGUUUUAUGUCUUAAACUGUGCGUAUAAAUCUCGAACCGUUCUCACCAUUGGAUUCCUCGUAUUGAGAUCUUAAAAACUAUAUCUCAUAUUGAUAGGUUUUGAUGAAGUCCUCUGUCACGAAAAAAUGGACGAAAAACCCGAAUCGAGAGCCUCUUUUUUCCCGUUCCGAAAGCCGUUCUCGAGACGCAUGGCCGUGUCUCUCAUGGAAGUAAAUCCGUGGCUCUCGCGAAAGCAAAACCGUGCCUCUCGUGAAAGGGAAAUAACACAUUUGUCUUUGUUUUUCCUUUUGUGAGAGGCAUGGUUUUGCAUCCGUGAAAGCCACGAUUUUGCUUUUGCGGGAGGUGCGGCCAUGCCUCUCGCAAACAGAACAUUGCCAAAAAAAAGUGUUUUUUUUCAUUUUUGAGAAAAUGUGUUUUUUUUCAUUUUUGAAAGGUACGGCCGUGCCUCUUGAGGAAGCAAAACCCUGCCUCUCGCGGAAGCAAAACCGUGCCUCUCAUGAAAAUAAAAAAUAUGAGAAAAUGCGUUUUUUUGUUCCGACAGGCCUCAUCGAACAAAACCGUUCGGUGGGGCGAUCGGGGAACGACUAGUUCGGCGUGAGGUGGUUAAAAAUCUGACGUUCUGUGGUUAUCCUAGUUGAUGGCCCAUCGAAUUUUACUGGCAGCAGGAGAGAAGUGCAUAGGAAAGGACUUCAGAGCGAUAGUACGGCGCCUACACGAGAGAAAGAACAAUGUUUCCCUCAAAAAAAAAGAAAAAAAAAAGAACAAUGUGGUGGGGUACUGAGCCCCACAUGCGUGGACUGGAUGCGAGUCCGAUUUGACCGCAACUUGUGGGAUCAGGUUGACGCCUAGGUUCAGCAUGGUUUGUCUACACACAUUGCAUGCAUAGCUUCCCGUCAUCAUCCCGUGUCGCCGUUGAAUCCGGCGGGCCGAGCUCGCACUCGCGCUCACAUGCUCCGGAACCCACUAUAUGAAGAGACGCACACGCACAUGCUCCAGACCAUCUCCCCCCACUGGUGCGAGCAAAGAUGGCACGGGUCCUCCUCCUCUUGCUGGCCGCCUCGCUCGUUGCGCUGGCGUCGUCCAAAGGUCUUCCGGUGCUCGCUCCGGUCACCAAGGACACCGCCACUUCCCUCUACACAAUCCCCUUCCACGACGGCGCCAGCCUCGUCCUCGACGUCGCCGGCCCGCUCGUCUGGUCCACGUGCGACGGCGGCCAGCCGCCGGCGGAGAUCCCGUGCAGCAGCCCCACCUGCCUCCUCGCCAACGCCUACCCCGCCCCGGGCUGCCCCGCGCCCAGCUGCGGCAGCGACAAGCACGACAAGCCGUGCACGGCGUACCCGUACAACCCGGUCACCGGCGCGUGCGCCGCCGGGAGCCUCUUCCACACCAGGUUCGCAGCCAACACCACCGACGGGAGCAAGCCGGUGAGCAAGGUGAAUGUCGGGGUCCUGGCGGCGUGCCCGCCGAGCAAGCUGCUGGCGUCGCUGCCCCGGGGCUCCACGGGCGUUGCCGGGCUCGCGGACUCCGGCCUGGCGCUGCCGGCGCAGGUGGCGUCUGCGCAGAAGGUCGCCAACAGGUUCCUCCUCUGCCUCCCCACCGGCGGCCCUGGCGUGGCCAUCUUUGGCGGCGGCCCGGUCCCGUGGCCGCAAUUCACGCAGUCGAUGCCGUACACGCCGCUCGUUACCAAGGGCGGCAGCCCCGCACACUACAUCUCGGCCAGGUUCAUCGAAGUGGGGGACACCCGCGUCCCCGUAUCGGAGGGCGCGCUCGCCACCGGCGGCGUGAUGCUCAGCACGAGGCUGCCCUACGCCGUGCUCCGCCGCGACGUGUACCGCCCGUUGGUGGACGCGUUCACCAAGGCCCUGGCGGCGCAGCAUGCCAACGGAGCGCCCGUGGCGCGCGCAGCGGAGCCUGUGGCGCCGUUCGGGGUGUGCUACGACACGAAGACGCUGGGCAACAACCUCGGCGGGUACUCGGUGCCCAACGUCCAGCUGGGGCUCGAUGGCGGGAGUGACACCUGGACGAUGACCGGGAAGAACUCGAUGGUGGACGUCAAGCCGGGGACGGCGUGCGUUGCGUUCGUGGAGAUGAAGGGGGUGGAGGCCGGCGACGGCAGGGCGCCGGCGGUGAUCCUCGGAGGGGCCCAGAUGGAGGACUUCGUGCUCGACUUCGACAUGGAGAAGAAGCGGCUCGGUUUUAGCAGGCUGCCGCACUUUACGGGCUGCGGCGGCCUGUAAUAAUAAGUCUGUUUAACGAUAUAGUGUAUUCGUCGACUACUGCGUGUAAUAAAUAAGGAAAACACUUUCCAUCAAAGGUCUGAUAAGAACCAGUCAUCAGACCCAUCGUCGUCCGUCGAUUCUGGUUGAAUCUCACGGUCAAGAUACCUCUUAUCCAGUCGCCCUUUAAAGAAAAAUCAUGUCAUUCCUAAUGACCCGCAUUCGCCGCCCAUAACCCCCUCCAAAAUCUCCCGCACGAAUAUCCCUCCUAGGCUCCGACCCUCUCCCCUCCGUAUCUCUUGCCUCACACACCUCCCUAAUAUCGCCGCCAACUGCACCGACCUCGCGUCCUCGUCCUAUGCGAUUGCGUCCCCCAUUGCAUGCUACAUCCACGCGUCCUCGUCGACCAAACCAGGCACCUCAACGCCCAGAUUCAUUCUCCUCCUCCUCCCCAUUGAUGCGGCCUCAGUUCAUGUAGCAGUAGGUGCACUACGCCGUCACUAGGGCAUUUCUAACCGAUCCCCUAAAAACAACCCCCCCCCCCUCCCACCCCACCGCGUCGUCUCCUCUGAGGCGACUCGGGGGACAACCCUAGCCGCCGUGUUUAGCCCCCUCCCCUCCCUUCCCCACCCCUUCGUCGCCGUCAGAGGAACCCAUCGGCACGCCCGCGGGGCUCUGAUGAAGGUGGCAGCGGGGAACUCGGUGGCUCCACCCCGUGUGAAGGGGCUUGGCUUCCGGGGCGCCGGCCCCGGGCGGCGGUGCGCGACGUGGCCUGUGCGGCGGGCGGCGGCGGCGGGUGCAGGUGGGCUGCCUCCAUGGCUGUGCGGGCAGCGUGAAGGCGGCAGGCGUGGUCUGCGGCGGUGGCCCCUCGCGGACGAUGUGCCAUGUAGAAGAGACCCUCAACUUCGAGUGCGUUGACCCAUGCCACGUCGACAGAGGGCCCAACCGGCUGGCAAGAAAAUACAUUGGUGAUCCUAAAAGUUUUUGGGUAGUGUCGCUUUAGUCCUACUUCUUUCAAACUGCACGUUUAGGUCCUAAUUCUACUGUAAGUGGCUCACCCGAUGUCCUUUUUCGCACGAUCAUUCACAGACCUGCUUGGUUGCGCGUUGACCCACGCCACGUCCAUUUAGGGUCAUUAGCAGAUGAGGAACAUUGCCAAAAACCCUAUUUUUUUCGCUGUUAUCGUCCCGUAGCUAUGUGAUUUCCUCUAGUCUGCCACAAUCACUAGCUGUAGGCAUUGAUUUAGUUCGAUUUGCACUGUUUUAUUAGGUUCCUCAAACCGCUUGCUUCGAUUUGGGGUUAGGCAGUAGGUGUCGGUGUCAAAACUGGCUGAUUCCGGGUAGGGGGUCCCGAACUGUGCGUCUAAGGAUGAUGAUAACAGGAGACGGAGGACACAAUGUUUACCAAGGUUCGGGCCCUCUCUAUGGAGGUAAUACCCUACUUCCUGCUUGAUUGAUCUUGAUGAAUACGUGUAUUACAAGAGUUGAUCUACCACGAGAUCGUAAUGGCUAAAACCCUAGAAGUCUAGCAUGUAUGACUAUAUCUCUAUCCGGACUAAGCCCUCCGCUUUAUAUAGACACCGGAGGGAUCUAGGGUUACACAAGGUUGGUUACAGAGAAAGGAAUCUUCAUAUUUGGCCACCAGGCUUGCCUUCCACGCCAAGGAGAAUCCCAUCCGGACACGGGUAGGGUCUUCGGCCUUUGUAUCUUCAUAGCCCAUCAGUCCGGCCCAUGUACCAGGUCGGACACUCGAGGACCCCUCAGUCCAGGACUCCCUCGGUAGCCCCUGAACCAGGCUUCAAUGACGAGGUGCCCGGCGCGCAGAUCGUCUUCGGCAUUGCAAGGCGGGUUCCCCUUUCCGAGUACUCCAAGAUAAUCCUCGGUCGAAACGAACGUGUCCGGAUCUGCAAUACAGGUACCACACACACACAACCGUAGAGAGUAUAACAUUUCACGAGUCCCAUCUGCUGACAACUUUUUGCAAGAUGACAUCACGUCUGCCCGGUCAUUAUUUUGAACUGUUUUCUUCUGCCGUUUCAUGUUUCGAGACGCGGUUUCCAUUGGCACGUCUUGUCAAAGCAGAGAUCGUGUCCUCUCAUUGCGGGAUUCUCAUCAAUACGGGCGUGGGUAAUCCAACCGUGCCAUUUGCACAGCCCUUGGGAAUAGACGAGCUUUAAGGCGAGUGGGGAGGAGUUCAAUAUCUACUGCCUUUAUAAGGAGAUAAGGACUCCUUUCUUCACCCACGUCUUCCUUCUUCCUCUGCCCUUCCAUUCUCGAGCUCCAGCGCCCAAGUUCUCGUUUCCUACACCCCGAGCAAGUUCUCAACCGAACUCUUUCCUCAACAUCUCGGCGUUCAUUGUCGUGUGUGAGGCUUUCCUCCGCAUCCAGCCCCACUUCGGCUUGUGGCUGAAGAUCUUGAACGUGAAGCCGAAGGUGGUGGACGGCCAACACUCGUUGUGUGGAGGAGCCAUGGUGAGCAAGAUGCCCAACGUCAUAUGGCCCAAGGGCACGUUUGUGGAGACUGUCAAGGAGUGGCAGAAGCUGUGGUUUUAUAUCACAGAACCCCGCGACACCACCUGGGCCGCGGCUUCCGAAUUCAAGUCCGGAGCUCCAAUGCGGCUGACCUCCUGGAUGGAGAAGGGCCCAAAUUGGUCUUCGUCGAACGAGCUGAUUGCGCUGCAAACGCGCAUCCAAAGAAUGGUGGACAAAAACAUCAAGCUCGUCGACGUGAUCCAGGUGAUGUUAGUUCGCCGGAUCCUCCCCUGCCAAAGCCGAACUUCCCCUUUAUGGGAAUUCGAUCCGGAGAAGCACCCAACCCUGGCGGGGCUCUUCGGAACCACUCACGAAGAUGCCUGGAAGUUGCUCUUCAAGGGCGACGAGAAGCCGCCGGCCAUAGACUCGGACCGUGAGCACGAUCUUGCCCAUCCCGCGAAUGCGGUAAGUCCUCCACAUCUCAAAGUGUACCCUCUACUUGCUUGUUCAAGGAGGGUAACUAAACCUUACUGAUUCGUUCUUUCAGGUAUGGACAGAGAGGGCGGAGCAGAUUCGAAGUUCGGCUCCGCUGCCCGAAGAACCAGUCAUCCCGCUCCUAGCGAUGAUGCUGGUCCCGGCGCCCUAUCAGCCGCUGGAGAAGAAGGCCAAGAAGAAGGCCAAGGGGGGCCGGGGCGGCCCCCGCCGCAAGGGCGCUUCGGACGUGAUGUCCGAGGAGAAGACUCACUCCUCCGUCGCUGAAGAUGACGACGAGGAGGAGGAGGAAAGCAACCCUCCCCUGAUGGGGGGAGGAAGAAGAGGGCGGCCUCCACAAAUUUUGAGGCAGAGGCGCCCAAGAAGGGGAAAGGCUCCCUUGCGGGUAACACCACGUGGGACGUCGACAGCAGUCCGGAGCAACGCCUCCGGGACAAGCCCCUGGCCGCAUCGUAAGCACUGAUAAAUUCGUGUUCGUAUAUCCAGCCUCUCCUCUUCAUUGUAUUAACAUGGUUAGUUAUGCUAUUGCAGUCCGGCCCACGACAGCUCCCCGUGAACCUCAUCGGGAGGUUCGCUGAAUUCAAAGGCGAUGGCCAACGAGUCACCGCCGGCUGCUCACGCUCGCCCGGCCAAGGGCGACACCGAGGUGUCGUCCCGAAGGACCCUCCCUGGCCAGGGAGAGGUUCAGGAGAUCGCCAGCGCAGCGCCAGAGGGUGAGACCUCGGCCGCCGGACACAUGGGGGGACAGAUCCCCAUGGGGACUGAUGAUGGGGGCCAGGUUCAAUUCGGCCCCCAACCGAAUACGGUUUCGGAGACCCACAAGGCUCCGGAAUCCGGCAAGCAGCCUCCCUCGAAAGAAGGAGGUGUGCCCAUCCCGCCGGUGACCUCUGUCCAGCCAGAGGCACCGGGCAAUCUGUUGGAAGCGCUACGAGGCGCUUCCAUUGUGGAUGAACACCGUAUCUUUAUGGGUACGGUGAUUGAGAAGGUUUAGUCCGUCAAAAGCGGACUGACCGAAGCCUGUAGCGGCCUGCUGACAGGUUUUGAGGUAAGCGACGCAAAAAGAGAAAAGUCCCAAUAUAGACAGUAGCCCCUGAGACACUGUCCGGUGUUCGGAAAGAAAAGCCGGACAGGGGAUUAAUUAAUUUUCGCAGGGAACUAACUAAAUGUGUCUUAUAUGAAUAAGCAGGCGUCGUUGCUGGCCGCGACCUCACACACUGCCGAAGUCUCCGGACUAAAGCAGAGGCUGGAGCGGGCCGAGGGAGAGCUCGGCCAAGCGAGGAAGCAGCUGGAAGAGCAGCAAGGUAUGCAAUAAAUCGCUAUAUAUUCCGAAAGAAUAAAUGAUGUGUAUUGACUAUAAUGUCAUGAUUUGUGUAGGAGCGAUGACCAAGGUCGAUGCCCUUAAAGACGCCCUGGCCAAAGCCGAGGAGAAAGUUGCCAAGGAGCAAGCCGCCCGCAAAAAGCUCAAGGCCAAGCUCAACGAGGUCCAGCAAGAGCUCCAGGACGUGGUGAAAAAGUGCGAUGCCUUGGAGGGCGAUGUAUCGGCUCGAGAGACCGAACUUGCCAAGGCUCGCCAAAGUGCGGAAGUGGCCCGGGUUGAAGCCCAGGGCGCCCUCCAGGAGAUCCAGGAGGCCAAGAAGAUUGCGGCGGGUAAGGCAUUUAGUAUGCAAAGAAAGUAUGUGAAGAAGAAGUAUUUCUUACUAACCCGAAUUCGGAGUUCCCCAGGGGCGUUUGCGGACCUGCCGCGCAGCGUGUCAGACGAUGCGGAGUUCUUCCGAGCCGAAGAAGGGAGCUCGACGGAGAAGCUGUUCUGGUCACAGUACCUUGCACCGGAACAUCCAGUGCCCUUCACCGAUCAGCUCAAACAGCUGGUCGAGCUGCAUAGGGUGGCCGAACUAGCCAUGAAGGAUUUGAUAAUCCGGUUGUGGCCUGCCGAAGCUAUACCCAGCAGCUACUUCGGCCUCGUGAAGCGGCUGGUGAAUGCCUGUCCUCGGCUGGACGUCGUCAAGCGGUCGGUCUGCAUCGAGGGCGCGCGCCUGGCCUUCAACUAUGUCAAGGUGUGGUGGGCGAAGAUGGAUGCCGUCAAGCUAGCGACCGAGGGACCGCCUGACGGCAAGGAGCACCGCACACCCGAGCGAUAUUUUGGAGACGUCCUGGAGGGGUCUGAUAUGUCUCCAACGUAUCUAUAAUUUUUGAUUGUUCCAUGCUAUUAUAUUAUCUCUUUUGGAUGUUUAUGGGCUUUAUUAAACACUUUUAUAUUACUUUUGGGACUAACCGGUUGACCCAGAGCCCAGUGCCAGUUCCUGUUUUUUCCCUUGUUUCAGUGUUUCGAAGAAAAGGAAUAUCAAACGGAGUCGAAACGGAAUGAAACCUUCUGGAGGAGUUAUUUUUGGAAGGAAAGCCACCCGAUUAACUUGGAGUGCACGUCAAGAAAGAAACGAGGGAGGCACGAGGUAGGGGGGCGCGCCCUCCACCCUCGUGGGCCCCUCGUGGCUCCCCUGACAUAUUUCUUCCGCCUAUAUAUAUCCAUAUACCCUAAAACCUUCGGGGAACAGAAUAGAUCCGGAGUUCCGCCGCCGCAAGCCUCUGUAGCCACCAAAAACAAAUCAGGACCCUGUUCUGGCACCCUGCCGGAGGGGGGAAACCUCACCGGUGGCCAUCUUCAUCAUCCCGAUGCUCUCCAUGACGAGGAGGGAGUAGUUCACCCUCGGGGCUGAGGGUAUGUACCAGUAGCUUUGUGUUUGAUCUCUCUCUCUCUCGUGUUCUUGAUUUGGCACGAUCUUGAUGUAUCGCGAGCUUUGCUAUUAUAGUUGGAUCUUAUGUUUCUUCUCCCCAUCUACUCUCUUGUAAUGGAUUGAGUUUUCCCUUUGAAGUUAUCUUAUCGGAUUGAGUCUUUAAUGAUUUGAGAACACUUGAUGUAUGUCUUGCCGUGUGUAUUUGUGGUGACAAUGGGAUAUCACGUGAUUCACUUGAUGUAUGUUUUGGUGAUCAACUUGCGGGUUCCGCCCAUGAACCUAUGCAUAGGGGUUGGCACACGUUUUCGUCUUGAUUCUCCGGUAGAAACUUUGGGGCACUCUUUGAGGUUCUAUGUGUUGGUUGAAUAGAUGAAUCUGAGAUUGUGUGAUGCAUAUCGUAUAAUCAUACCCACGGAUACUUGAGGUGACAUUGAAGUAUCUAGGUGACAUUAGGGUUUUGGUUGAUUUGUGUCUUAAGGUGUUAUUCUAGUACAAACUCUAGGGCUGUUUGUGACACUUAUAGGAAUAGCCCAAUGGAUUGAUUGGAAAGAAUAACUUUGAGGUGGUUUCGUACCCUACCAUAAUCUCUUUGUUUGUUCUCCGCUAUUAGUGACUUUGGAGUGACUCUUUGUUGCAUGUUGAGGGAUAGAUAUAUGAUUCAAUUAUGUUAUUAUUGUUGAGAGAACUUGCACUAGUGAAAGUAUGAACCCUAGGCCUUGUUUCAACGCAUUGCAAUACCGUUUACGCUCACUUUUAUCAUUAGUUACCUUGCUGUUUUUAUAUUUUCAGAUUACAAAAACCUAUAUCUACCAUCCAUAUUGCACUUGUAUCACCAUCUCUUCGCCGAACUAGUGCACCUAUACAAUUUACCAAUGUAUUGGGUGUGUUGGGGACACAAGAGACUCUUUAUUAUUUGGUUUCAGGGUUGUUUGAGAGAGACCAUCUUCAUCCUACGCCUCCCACGGAUUGAUAAACCUUAGGUCAUCCACUUGAGGGAAAUUUGCUACUGUCCUACAAACCUCUGCACUUGGAGGCCCAACAACGUCUACAAGAAGAAGGUUGCGUAGUAGACAUCAAGCUCUUUUCUGGCGCCGUUGCCGGGGAGGCUAGGUAAGCGGCACUCACACCCCGUCAACUAAGCUCUUUUCUGGCGCCGUUGCCGGGGAGGUGAAUGCUUGAAGGUAUAUCUUUAGAUCUUGCAAUCGAAUCUUUUUGUUUAUUGUUUUAGCACUAGUUUAGUUUAUAAAUGAAAACUACCAAAAAAAUGGAAUUGAGUUUGCCUCAUACGCUUCAUCUUUUUAAUAUCUUUCGUGAGUAUGAUGGAAAGAAAAAUUGUGCCAAAGUGUUAGAAGAAGAAUUACAUAGAAUGCUUGGCAUAAAAUAGGUGAAUGAUGAGCAUGAAUGCAAUGUUGUUAGUAUGAAUUCCUUGAAUAUCCAUGAUGCUAAUGAUAUGCAAAGCCACAAGCUUGGGGAAGCUAAGUUUGAUGAAGAUGAUAUUUUUUGUCCCCCAAGCUUUGAUGAGCAAAUUUACUAUGAUGAAAGCAUGCCUCCUAUCUAUGAUGAUUAUUGUGAUGGCACAUAUGCUAUAAAGAAUAAUGAUAACCAUGAAACUUGUCAUCUUGAUCUUAAUUUUCAAUCAUAUGAUAGUUAUUUUGUUGAGUUUGCUCCCACUACUAUUGAAGAGAAGAAUUUUGCUUAUGUGGAGAGUAGUAAAAUUUCUAUGCAAGUAGAUCAUGAAAAGAAUGCUUUAGGUGCUGGCUAUAUUGUUGAAUUCAUUCAUGAUGCCACUGAAAAUUAUUAUGAGGGAGGAAUAUAUGCUUGUAGGAAUUGCAAUAAUAUCAAGUUUCCUCUCUAUGUGCUUAAAAUCUUGAAGUUAUGCUUGUUUGCCUUCCUAUGCUAGUUGAUUAUUGUUCCCAUAAGUUGUUUGCUCACAAAAUCCAUAUGCAUAGGAAGUGGGUUAGACUUAAAUGUGCUAGUCAUAUUCUUCAUGAUGCUCUCUUUAUGUUUCAAUUCUUAUCUUUUAUGUGAGCAUCAUUGAAAUCAUCAUGCCUAGCUAGGGGCAUUAAACGAUAGCGCUUGUUGGGAGGGAACCCAAUUUUAUUUUAGUUUCUUGCUUUUUGGUUCCGUUUAGGAAUAAAUAAUCCAUCUAGCUUCUGUUUAGAUGUGGUUUUGUGUUUUAAUUAGUGUUUGUGCCAAGUAGGACCUUUGGGAAGACUUGGGUGAAGUCUUUAUGAUCAUGCUGUAAAAAACAGAAACUUUAGCGCUCACGAGAUUAGCUAAAACGUUUUACUGGAGAGUGAUAUUUAGUUGAUUCUUUUUGCAUAUGAUUACUAAACAAAUUCCUCAGGUCCACCAAUUUAGUUUAGAAUUUUUGGAGUUCCAGAAGUUUGCGUUAGUUACAGAUUACUACAGACUGUUCUGUUUUUGACAGAUUCUGUUUUUCGUGUGUUGUUUGCUUAUUUUGAUGAAUCUAUGGCUAGUAAAAUAGUUUAUAAACCAUAGACAAGUUGGAAUACAGUAGGUUUAACACCAAUAUAAAGAAAUAAUGAGUUCAUUACAGUACCUUGAAGUGGUGUUUUGUUUUCUUUCGCUAACGGAGCUCACAAGAUUUUCUGUUAAGUUUUGUGUUGUGAAGUUUUCAAGUUUUGGGUAAAGAUUCGAUGGACUAUGGAAUAAGGAGUGGCAAGAGCCUAAGCUUGGGGAUGCCCAAGGCACCCCAAGGUAAUAUUCAAGGAUAACCAAGAGCCUAAUCUUGGGGAUGCCCCGGAUGACAUCCCCUCUUUCGUCUUCGUUCAUCGAUAACUUUACUUGGAGCUAUAUUUUUAUUCACCACGUGAUAUGUGUUUUGCUUGGAGCGUCAUUUUAUUUUCUUUAGCCUUGCUUGCUGUUUGAAUAAAAUAUCAAGAUCUGAAAUUCUUAAAAUGGGAGAGUCUUCACGUAGUUGCAUAAUUAUUCGACUACUCAUUCAUCUUCACUUAUAUCUUUCGGAGUAGUUUGUUGUUUGCUCUAGUGCUUCACUUAUAUCUUUUAGAGCAUGGUGGUAGUUUUAUUUUGAAGAAAUAGAUGAACUCUCGUGCUUCACUUAUAUUAUUUUGAGAGUCUUUAGAACAGCAUGGUAGUUUGCUUUGGUUAUGAAACUAGUCCUAAUAUGAUGGGCAUCCAAGAUGGGUAUAAUAAAAACUUUCAUAUAAGUGCAUUGAAUACUAAGAGAAAUUUGAUACUUGAUGAUUGUUUUGAGAUAUGGAGGUAAUAAUAUCAAAGUCGUGCUAGUUGAGUAGUUGUGAAUUUGAGAAAUGCUUGUGUUGAAGUUUGCAAGUCCCUAGCAUGCACGUAUGGUAAACGUUAUGUAACAAAUUUGAAACAUGAGGUGUUCUUUGAUUGUCCUCCUUAUGAGUGGCGGUCGGGGACGAGCGAUGGUCUUUUCCUACCAAUCUAUCCCCCUAGGAGCAUGCGCGUAGUGCUUGGUUUUUGAUGACUUGUAGAUUUUUCCAAUAAGUAUGUGAGUUCUUUAUGACUAAUGUUGAGUCCAUGGAUUAUACGCACUCUCACCCUUCCAUCAUUGCUAGCCUCUUCGGUACCGUGCAUUGCCCUUUCUCACAUUGAGAGUUGGUGCAAACUUCGCCGGUGCAUCCAAACCCCGUGAUAUGAUACACUCUUUCACACAUAAACCUACUUAUAUCUUCCUCAAAACAGCCACCAUACCUACCUAUUAUGGCAUUUCCAUAGCCAUUCCGAGAUAUAUUGCCAUGCAACUUUCCACCAUUCCGUUUAUCAUGACACAUUCAUCAUUGUCAUAUUGCUUAGCAUGAUCAUGUAGUUUACAUAGUAUUUGUGGCAAAGCCACCAUUCAUAAUUAUUUCAUACAUGUCACUCUUGAUUCAUUGCAUAUCCCGGUACACCGCCAGAGGCAUUCAUAUAGAGUCAUACUUUGUUCUAGUAUCGAGUUGUAAUCAUUGAGUUGUAAAUAAAUAGAAGUGUGAUGAUCAUCAUUUUCUAGAGCAUUGUCCCAAUUUAGGAAUAAAAAAAAGAGAGAGAAAGGCCAUAAAAAAAGAGAAGGCCCAAAAAAAGAGAGAAAAAGAGAGAAGGGACAAUGCUACUAUCCUUUGCCACACUUGUGCCUCAAAGUAGCACCAUAAUAUUCAUGAUAGAGAGUCUCUUGUUUUCUCACUUUCAUAUACUAGUGGGAAUUUUUCAUUAUAGAAAUUGGCUUGUAUAUUCCAACAGUGGGCCUCCUCAAGUGCCCUAGGUCUUCGUGAGCAAGCAAGUUGGAUGCACACCUACUUAGUUUCUUUUGUUGAGCUUUCAUAUAUUUAUAGCUCUAGUGCAUCCGUUGCAUGGCAAUCCCUACUCCUUGCGUUAACAUCAAUCGAUGGGCAUCUCCAUAGCUCAUUGAUUAGCCUCGUUGAUGUGAGACUUUCUCCUUUUUUGUCUUCUCCACAUAACCCCCAUCAUUAUACUCUAUUCCACCCAUAGUGCUAUGUCCAUGGCUCGCGCUCAUGUAUUGCGUGAAAGUUUAUAGGUUUGAGAUUACUAAAGUAUGAAACAAUUGCUUGGCUUGUCAUCGGGGUUGUGCAUGAUGAGAGCAUUCUUGUGUGACGAAAAUGGAGCAUCACUAAACUAUAUGAUUUUGUAGGGAUGAACUUUCUUUGGCCAUAUUAUUUUGAGAGGACAUAAUUGCUUAGUUAGUAUGCUUGAAGUAUUAUUACUUUUAUGUCAAUAUGAACUUUUAUCUUGAAUCUUUCGGAUCUGAAUAUUCAUACCACAAUUAAGAAGAAUUACAUUGAAAUUAUGCCAAGUAGCAUUCCACAUCAAAAAUUCUGUUUUUAUCAUUUACCUACUCGAGGACGAGGAGGAAUUAAGCUUGGGGAUGCUGAUACGUCUCCAACGUAUCUAUAAUUUUUUAUUGUUCCAUGCUAUUAUAUUAUCUGUUUUGGAUGUUUAUGGGCUUUAUUAAACACUUUUAUAUUACUUUUGGGACUAACCUAUUGACCCAGAGCCUAAUGCCAGUUCCUGUUUUUUUCCCUUGUUUCAGUGUUUCGAAGAAAAGGAAUAUCAAACGGAGUCGAAACGGAAUGAAACCUUCUGGAGAAGUUAUUUUUGGAAGGAAAGCCACCCGAUAGACUUGGAGUGCACGUCAGGAAAGAAACGAGGGAGGCACGAGGCAGGGGGGCGCGCCCACCCCACUGGGCGCGCCCUCCACCCUCGUGGGCCCCUUGUGGCUCCCCUGGCGUAUUUCUUCCGCCUAUAUAUAUCCAUAUACCCUAAAACCUUCGGGGAACAGAAUAGAUCGGGAGUUCCGCCGCCGCAAGCCUCUGUAGCCACCAAAAACCAAUCGGGACCCUGUUCCGGCACCCUGCCGGAGGGGGGAACCCUCACUGGUGGCCAUCUUCAUCAUCCCGGCGCUCUCCAUGACGAGGAGGGAGUAGUUCACCCUCGGGGCUGAGGGUAUGUACCAGUAGCUAUGUGUUUGAUCUCUCUCUCUCUCUCUCGUGUUCUUGAUUUGUCACGAUCUUGAUGUAUCGCGAGCUUUGCUAUUAUAGUUGGAUCUUAUGUGGAUUGAGUUUUUCCUUUGAAGUUAUCUUAUCGGAUUGAGUCUUUAAUGAUUUGAGAACACUUGAUGUAUGUCUUGCCGUGCGUAUUUGUGGUGACAAUGGGAUAUCACGUGAUUCACUUGAUGUAUGUUUUGGUGAUCAACUUGCGGGUUCCGCCCAUGAACCUAUGCAUAGGGGUUGGCACACGUUUUCGUCUUGAUUCUCCGGUAGAAACUUUGGGGCACUCUUUGAGGUUCUAUGUGUUGGUUGAAUAGAUGAAUCUGAGAUUGUGUGAUGCAUAUCGUAUAAUUAUACCCACGGAUACUUGAGGUGACAUUGGAGUAUCUAGGUGACAUUAGGGUUUUGGUUGAUUUGUGUCUUAAGGUGUUAUUCUAGUACAAACUCUAGGGCUGUUUGUGACACUUAUAGGAAUAGCCCAACAGAUCGAUUGGAAAGAAUAACUUUGAGGUGGUUUCGUACCCUACCAUAAUCUCUUCGUUUGUUCUCCGCUAUUAGUGACUUUGGAGUGACUCUUUGUUGCAUGUUGAGGGAUAGUUAUAUGAUUCAAUUAUGUUAUUAUUGUUGAGAGAACUUGCACUAGUGAAUGUAUGAACCCUAGGCCUUGUUUCAACGCAUUGCAAUACCGUUUACGCUCACUUUUAUCAUUAGUUACCUUGCUGUUUUUAUAUUUUCAGAUUACAAAAACCUAUAUCUACCAUCCAUAUUGCACUUGUAUCACCAUCUCUUCGCCGAACUAGUGCACCUAUUCAAUUUACCAUUGUAUUGGGUGUGUUGGGGACACAAGAGACUCUUUAUUAUUUGGUUGCAGGGUUGUUUGAGAGAGACCAUCUUCAUCCUAUGCCUCCCACGGAUUGAUAAACCUUAGGUCAUCCACUUGAGGGAAAUUUGCUACUGUCCUACAAACCUCUACACUUGGAGGCCCAACAACAUCUACAAGAAGAAGGUUCCGUAGUAGACAUCAGGGUCUCGUAUUGUGGCGACGCAAUGUGCGAAAGACAUUAUCUUUGAAUGAAUACGUUCAUGUUGUCUCGGUCUUGUAUGAUCAAACAAACUUGUCAUGUAAUAUAAUGUUUGUUUUUAUUAAAAAAAUUACGUCCUGUGCGGCCGUGUGUUAUAAAAUUUGAGGGUUGGCCAGUCGUCGGCUUCUGCCCCCACGUAGGUAGUACGGUGGUGUUCGGGAUGGAAUCUAAACACUCCUGAUCCCAUUGUUUGGUCCUUGAAGGAGGUGUUUAGCGCAACGAACCAGGCAAUCCGACUAUACGGCUUGAACACCCUCACUUAGCCAUAGGAGUUUGACAAUAAAAAUAAAGGUGCAGCCCCUAGUAUCCGAACUAGGAUGCUGUAGACACCUGAUCGGGUAAGUACCGAUCCCUCGCGUAAUGCGGAAAAAAUCUCCAAGGAUUUGAGACCUCCGAAGAGCUGACCGGCUCACGCCGCAUCAUGACAGUCAGUUUUCGGCUUUCUCUACUGAGGUGCUCCAUGGGGUAAACCAGGGCACAAUCGCAGUAGUUCUCCCUUUACUACCUUAGCCGAUUUAGCGGAACGUAAGGUAGCAAGCACAGGAGCCGGGCAACCCAACUAUUGACCAAAGACAUGAUUCGGAGCCAAUGCAUAUAAUGCUAAAUUCGGGGUGCCGAACUGUACUGUAAAAAAGUGUUCGGACUUUGUUGCCGUAGUGCGGGGCGCUAUGAAGCCCCUAGCAAAUGGAAACGUACCAAAGUGUACGGUGCUACUUGAUAAGGUUAUCAACAGAAAAUAAAGGAAAACAGAAAAGGAGCAAAGGUAAUGAGCUAGGGCCGCAGAAUUUGGGCCGCGAACUGCUUUCGUUGCAAUUUUAUUAAUACGUCAAAGCGCAUUGAUACAAAUAGUGCAAUAAGCAACGGGCUAUUUGACAUGCCACGACCAAGGGAGAGCUGCGUGUGGGUCCUGAAAACUGUUGGAAAUAUGCCCUAGAGGCAAUAAUAAAAUGGUUAUUAUUAUAUUUCCUUGUUCAUGAUAAUUGUCUAUUGUUCAUGCUAUAAUUGUGUUAUCCGGAAAUCGUAAUACAUGUGUGAAUACAUAGACCACAACAUGUCCCUAGUGAGCCUCUAGUUGACUAGCUCGUUGAUCAACAGAUAGUCAUGGUUUCCUGACUAUGGACAUUGGAUGUCAUUGAUAACGGGAUCACAUCAUUAGGAGAAUGAUGUGAUGGACAAGACCCAAUCCUAAGCAUAGCACAAAGAUCGUGUAGUUCGUUUGCUAGAGCUUUUCCAAUGUCAAGUAUCAUUUCCUUAGACCAUGAGGUCGUGUAACUCCCGGAUGCCGUAGGAGUGCUUUGGGUGUACCAAACAUCAGAACGUAACUGGGUGACUAUAAAGGUACACUACAGGUAUCUCUGAAAGUGUCUGUUGGGUUGACACGGAUCGAGACUGGGAUUUGUCACUCCGUAUGACGGAGAGGUAUCUCUGGGCCCACUCGGUAAUGCAUCAUCAUAAUGAGCUCAAAGUGACCAAGUGGUUGGUCACGGGAUCAUGCAUUACGGUACGAGUAAAGUGACUUGCCGGUAACGAGAUUGAACGAGGUAUAGGGAUACCGACGAUCGAAUCUCGGGCAAGUAACGUACCGAUUAACAAAGGGAAUUGUAUACGGGAUUGAUUGAAUCCUCGACAUCGUGGUUCAUCCGAUGAGAUCAUCGUGGAACAUGUGGGAGCCAACAUGGGUAUCCAGAUCCCGCUGUUGGUUAUUGACCGGAGAAUCGUCUCGGUCAUGUCUUCAUGUCUCCCGAACCCGUAGGGUCUACACACUUAAGGUUCGGUGACGCUAGGGUUGUAGAGAUAUUAGUAUGCGGAAAUCCGAAAGUUGUUCGGAGUCCCGGAUGAGAUCCCGGACGUCACGAGGAGUUCCGGAAUGGUCCGGAGGUGAAGAAUUAUAUAUAGGAAGUCCAGUUUCGGCCACCGGGAAAGUUUCGGGGGUGACUGGUAUUGUACCAGGACCACCAGAAGGGUCCUGGGGGUCCACCGGGUGGGGCCACCUAUCCUGGAGGGCCCCAUGGGCUGAAGUGGGAGGGGAACCAGCCCCUGGUGGGCUGGUGCGCCCCCCUUGGGCCUCCCCCUGCGCCUAGGGUUGGAAACCCUAGGGGUGGGGGCGCCCCACUUGGCUUGGGGGGCAAGCCACCCCCCUUGGCCGCCACCCCCCUGGAGAUUGGAUCUCCCAGGGGCCGCCCCCCCCAAGGCCCCUAUAUAUAGUGUAGGGGAGGGAGGGCAGCCGCACCACAAGCCCUGGCGCCUCCCUCCCUCCCGUGACACCUCUUCCUCCCCGCUUGCGCUUGGCGAAGCCCUGCCGGGAUCCCGCUACUUCCACCACCACGCCGUCGUGCUGCUGGAUCUCCAUCAACCUCUCCUCCCCCCUUGCUGGAUCAAGAAGGAGGAGACAUCGCUGCUCCGUACGUGUGUUGAACGCGGAGGUGUCGUCCGUUCGGCGCUCGGUCAUUGGUGAUUUGGAUCACGACGAGUACGACUCCAUCAACCCCGUUCACUUGAACGCUUCCGCUCGCGAUCUACAAGGGUAUGUAGAUGCACUUCUCUCUCUCGUUGCUAGAUAACUCCAUAGAUUGAUCUUGGUGAUGCGUAGAAAAUUUUAAAAUUCUGCUACGAUCCCCGACAAAAACAGGUAGAGUGAUCGUUAAAGAAAACACCGAGAAAUUCCCCUAUACGCUUGUGCUUCUUGCCAUCUUGGUGUGUUUAUCCUUUGACAGGACCGGUGACCAGGCCAUCAGGGAAAGCCUGUGGAAAAGAGACCUGAAAAGGGAAAAGAGAAACAGUGAAAGUAUGUGUGUCCGGGAGUGGUCGAGCCGUAUUGCGGGAUCACAAGCUAGUUAUGCCUUCGUCUAUGCCCAUGGUAUUUUGAGUGCGUAGUUAUGUAUGCGCGGUACAAAUGCCGCCACUUGAGUGGGACUGGGGCAGAGGCAAAAUUGCUAGUCGAUCUCUUGAUGAGCCGAGUAUCCUGCUGCGAAAUAGUCAGGACCCUCUUGACAGUGUCCGGGAGCUUGGCCGCCGAAUUAAGGUUCUGCUUGAAAAGGUCGCUCUGUACUUCUACUGCUAAGGCAGCAGUGUGUUCCUCGGUACGGAGGGAACGUUCCGUGUUUCCAUUGACUGUUAUGACGCCGCGUGGUCCGGGCAUCUUGAGCUUGAGGUAAGCAUAAUGAGGCACCGCAUUGAAAAUGCGGUUCGUCCGAGCAGUGCGUGAUAGCCGCUGCGAAAAGGGACGAUAUCAAAGAUUAACUCUUCGCUUCGGAAGUUGUCCGGAGAUCCGAAGACAACCUCUAGCGUAAUUGAGCCCGUACAGCGAGCCUCUACACCUGGUAUGACUCCUUUAAAGGUAGUCUUUGUGGGCUUGAUCCGUGAUGGGUCAAUGCCUAUUUUGUGCACUGUAUCCUGAUAGAGCAGAUUGAGGCUGCUGCCACCGUCCAUGAGGACUCGUGUCAGGUGGAAUCCAUCAAUGAUUGGGUCGAGGACCAGUGCAGCUGAACCGCCAUGACGGAUACUGGUCGGGUGAUCCCGACGAUCAAAGGUGAUCGGGCAUGACGAACAUGGAUUGAAUUUUGGGGCGACUGGUUCUAUCGCCUAGACGUCCCGGAGCGCGCGCUUGCGCUCCCUCUUAGGGAUGUGUGUGGCAUAUAUCAUGUUCACCGUUUUGACCUGAGGGGGAAACUUCUUUUGUCCCCCUGUGUUCGGUUGCCGGGGCUCCUCGUCAUCGUCCUCGCUUUGCGAUCCCUUUUCCUUGUUCUCUGCAUUUAACUUGCUGGCCUGUUUAAAAACCCAACAAUCUCUGUUGGUAUGAUUGGCUGGUUUUUCCGGGGUGUCGUGGAUUUGGCACGGACAAUCAAGUAUGCGGUCCAAGCUGGAUGGUCCCUAAUUGUUUCUUUUAUAUGUCUUCUUCCGCUGACCGGACUUGGAGCCACUGAAUCCGGCGUUGACUGUCGUGUCAUCGGUGUUGUCGCCAUUGUUUCGACGUUUGUGUGUUGCGUCGGAGCUUGCCGUUGCUAUUUUUGCCCUCGAAGGCUCCUAUUUCGCUUGUUGUGUUUUUGCUACGGGCCAGCCAACUAUCCUCCCUCGCACAGAAGCGGGUCAUGAGUGCCGUGAGGGCUGCCAUGGACUUCGGCUUUUCCUGGCCGAGGUGGCGAGCGAGCCAUUCGUCAUGGAUGCUUUGUUUAAAGGCCGCUAGGGCUUCGGCAUCCGGACAGUCGACGAUCUGGUUCUUUUUAGUUAGGAAUCUGGUCCAGAAUUUCCUGGCUGACUCUCCAGGCUGUUGGAAUAUGUGACUUAAGUCAUCAGCAUCUGGUGGCCGGACAUAUGUACCUUGGAAGUUCUCAAGGAAAGCUUCUUCCAAGUCCUCCCAGUUGCCAAUAGAAUUUUCAGGUAGAAUGUUUAGCCAGUGCCGAACUGGCCCUUUGAGUUUUAGUGGGAGGUAUUUGAUGGCGUGAAGGUCAUCCCCGCGGGCCAUGUGGAUGUGGAGAAUAAAAUCCUCGAUCCAUUACUUCGUCAGUGAAGCAAGAGGGUGUGCGGCGCCUCUAUAUCGGGCCGCAUCGCGAUGUACCUCCGAUGGAGUCCGUCUGCGGUUUUCGGCCCGGGCGUGACUAGGUUUGUCACGUCUGAAUAGAUAUCUUGUAUGUCCUGCUCUACUGUCCAGGUCUUGACGAAGGUCAUAUGUAUAACCCCGAGCUGUCUUAUCCCUGCCUUUACGACGAGGUGGGGCAGUCUGGUGUUUGGCUUGGAUUGCCGUUUUAUCCCGACCGCGUGGUGGUCAGUCAGCCGCAUUGCGCGAUGCUGGUGCGGGCUCUGGCGCCUCGUCAUCGAACUGAGGUAGCAGUUUGCGCUUCGGGUAACUUUUGGCUGGGCGUUUAAGGCAGUAUUCCUCGGCUGCCAGGACAUCGGUCCAUCUAUCAUUGAGCAGGUCUUGUUCAGCUUGAAGCUGCUGCUGCUUCUUUUUCAGGCUCCUCGCAGUGGCUAUUAGUUGAAGCUUAAAGCGCUCCUGCUCGAGAGGUUCCUCAGGCACGAUGAAAUCCUCGUUGCCGAGGCUCACCUCCUCUUCGGAGAGCGGAUGAUAACUACCGUCCUCCGAGUCUUCUUCUAUGGCCUGUUCAUCAGGGCUAACUUGCCCGUCUUCCCGAUUGUCUUGUUCGGCAGUUUGUUGGUCGGGGUCUUCUGUGUCUUCGGCACCAUCCAGAGUGUUAUCGUCUCCUGUGCCGGUGUUGCUGUCCUUGCUGCGGCGUGAUUUAGAGCGGCGCCACUGACGACGGCGCUUUGGUUGUGUCUUAGGAGGGUCAUCCUUCGCUGGGUUCUCCUUGUUGUCGCCGCUAUUAUCUUUCGGUGCAUCCACCAUGUAUACGUCAUAUGAGGAAGUGGCCGUCCAUCAUCCGGUGAACGACGGGUUUUGGGCCUCCUCUUCUCCGGCAUCGUCGUCCAUACCGUCGAUGUCUUCGGAGUCGUAGUCAAGCGUGCCGGUUAGGUCUUCGACGGUGGCUAUGAAGUGGGCGGUGGGUGGGAAACAAAAUUCUCCAUCAUCAGCCUCCAGUUCAAAUCGGAUAUAAUUCGGCUGCGAGUCCUCCGCUAGGGAUAGAUUCUUUAACGAGUUCAGCACGUCGCCUAAAGGUGAGUGCCGAAAUAUGUCUGCGGCGCUGAAUUCGGCGAUAGAUGAGCGAUCCUGCUCGACAUAUGCGGACGUACAUGGCUCGGAACUUAUAGCCGGAAACGAGUCCGAGGUUCCGAUGACACAGACAUCACCCAAAGUUAGGUCUGUGUGCGGCUCCAACGCCGCGGAGUCUGCGGACUCCGUGGCGGGGUAGAGCUUCCCAUCCUCGGAUGGCGCGUUCUGCUCCGGAUCUAAGGCCCGAGCGGUUACAGGUGCAAUUUCCUGAGUGUGGUCCGAUGAUAGAUUUAAGUCAUGUUCAUCGUGGCAACGGGGAGAGACUGCCGCGGUCUCGAAUCCGUCGAAGAUCAGAUCUCCGCGGAUAUCUGCGACGUAGUUCAAGCUCCCAAAUCUGACCUGAUGGCCAGGGGCAUAGCUGUCAAUCUGCUCCAGAUGGCCAAACGAGUUGGCCCGCAGUGCGAAGCUACCGAACACGAAGAUCUGUCCGGGGAGGAAGGCUUCCCCUUGGACACCAUCGUCGUUGAUGAUUGAAGGAGCCAUUAACCUUUUGAGGACGACACAGUGGAACUCUCAAUGAAAGCACCAAUGUCGGUGUCAAAACCGGCGGAUCUCGGGUAGGGGGCCCGAACUGUGCAUCUAAGGAUGAUGGUAACAGUAGACGGGGGACACAAUGUUUACCCAGGUUCGGGCCCUCUCUAUGGAGGUAAUACCCUACUUCCUGCUUGAUUGAUCUUGAUGAAUAUGAGUAUUACAAGAGUUGAUCUACCACGUGAUCGUAAUGGCUAAAACCCUAGAAGUCUAGCCUGUAUGACUGUAUCUCUAUCCGUACUAAGCCCUCCGGUUUAUAUAGACACCGGAGGGAUCUAGGGUUACACAAGGUCGGUUAUAGAGAAAGGAAUCUUCAUAUUUGGCCACCAGGCUUGCCUUCCACACCAAGGAGAGUCCCAUCCGGACAUGGGUAGAGUCUUCGGUCUUUGUAUCUUCACAGCCCAUCAGUCCGGCCCAUGUAACAGGUCGGACGCCCGAGGACCCCUUAGUCCAGGACUCCCUCAGUAGGAGCUUGUGGAGGAGGCAGCGUUGCCGACGCUGCUGCAACACUCCUCUUCGUCACCUGUUUCCUUGACGAGGAGCUUGCUGCCCCAGCCAUGGUGAUGGUGUGGGCGAGAGAGAGAGAGAGAGAGAGAGAGAGAGAGAGAGAGAGAGAGAGAGAGAGAGAGAGAGAGAGAUUCGGUAGGGGUUGGGAAAUGUCAAGAGGGAGGGUUACAAGGGGCUUUCUGUAAAAAAAAGAGCAACCACAAUGGCCUCUAAGUUGACGUGGCCUGGGUCAACGCGUCACGCAAGCAGGUCAGCGCAAGAUCGUGCAAAAAAGGACCUCAUGUGAACCACUUACUAUAGAAUUAGGAUCUAAACAUGCAUUUUGAAAGAUGCAGGACUAAAGUGACACUGCCGAGAAACUUUUAGGACCUCCGGUGUAUUUUUCUCGCCUGGCGAUUGGGACCUCGAACAUAUCUACAAAUUUAGUUAUGUUGAUAAAAAUUUAAAUUGUAAAUGCAUGAAAAAAAGAAACAGUUGAGUUAAAAAUUCAUAUUUGUGUUCUUGUGUCCAUGUUUAGUCCUUAUCAAAGAAUGAAAAUGAAUUCCAAACAUGAGGGUGCCAGGAGACGACCCCGAACAUUAAGUGUUUUUUAGUUGUGGAAAAUGCAAACGAAGUCAGAAAAGAAUGAAACUUGGCAUGAUGCCCACAUAUCACACCUAGAGGCUAAGGUAAAUGUUUGAGAAGGUUCUCAAAAGUUGUGCCGUACAUUACUUAGAAAGCAGACAAUCUUCAAGGAAAGAUCAUGGUUUCGAGAUGGAUCAUAUCUUGAGUUGUGCCGUGUCAUCUUUGAAGGCAAAGCGGCUGCUGCUUUAUCCGCUGGCCUUGAAUUUUUUGCAUGGCAGUGCACGGGCAAGCUCUCGGUGUAUGUAUCAUAUCUUGAGUUUGUUGUUGACACGUUUUGUACCUCUACGUGUCAGUUGCAUCAUUUCACUCCGGGGAGCGUUCCCUCUCUGUAGAGAGGAGAUAUAGAGGAGAGAUGAAUACACGCACAUGCGAUUUUCAUUUGUGCUGAGCUGUUUCUCCGGUGCCCCAAUCUCAAUGACUGCGCGCAAAACCGUCCGAGAGCAAAAUUGCUAGACUCACGGACUCGUUUUACUUAAUCAACGGACUUUCCUUCCCCCCUUUCACUAAUCUUGCCCCCCCCCCUCCCCCCCUGAUUUUCAGGGGGGCCAGCGUCCCCUAAUGCCCAAUUAACGAAACCCACGUCAGUCCAGCCCUGUAAAACGCCCGUGCAUGUAGCAUUGCUCGUCCGAGAGAGCGUGCCUCCGAAAACCGUGCUCCUUGAGAACCUGAUUUUGCAUGUGUUUGCGUGAGUCAAACUGUUGAAAAAAAAGAGUUAAAUACGCUAGAGGUGCCUCAACUUGUCUUGCACGGUCAGUUUGGUGCCUAAAGUUGUAAAAUACAUAAAACUGAUGCUCGAACUUGUCCAGUCGUGCAAAUACGGUGCCUCCAUUCAUAUCCAGACGUACGUCUAGUCCGUGUGGCGUGCCCAACAUGGCGGUGGCCCAACAGUCGGUGGCUAAGAGCGGGGAAGUCGCUGGGUGGCCCGCACAUUAGGAAUUUUAAAGAAAACCUUAAAUUUUAUUUAAUCAUGUAGGAAAGUCCUCAAAUUUACGGACUGUCUUGCACGCACAGGGUGUUCACCAGGCCAUAAUGUGCUUAGUAGAUAUAGACCAGGUCGAACUUUAUAUAUUGCGUUGCUAUGCAAAAUGUAAUUUUGAAGCAGCGGCACAUUCUGCCCAUUUUUCCGAAGGUCAAAGAAAUGGAUUUUUACAGCUACAGAACUUCAGACUUUUUUGUUCAUGCACACAUAGAAGUGUAAUAUAUCCAGGUUUUUUUUUUCAAAAUCUGUAUUUGUAUGUGAGAGAUACAAAAAGGACAAAUACAUCCAAAAAUCAGCUAAUUUUUGGCCGGAUUUUUGUUUUUUUUGCAGGGUAUAAUAUAACAAAAUCUCAAACAAAACUUGAAAGUCACUUAGAGCACAUGCAUACGUUUUUGUGUGAAAUUUAAAAAAAAAAUUAUGAAACUUUUAGCCAGUUUUUAAACUUUCAAGAAAAAACGUGCUCAGUGACCACCUUGCUCCAAAUUUCUGCUUUGGUUGCUAUGUACCUCUCAUAUGGGUCUGCACACUUAAUUUUCAAGUUCUUUAUUUUUAUUUUUCAUAUUAUUUUUACCAUUUGGAAAAAGAAAUGUAAUAACAAAUUACAAUUGCCAUAAACUUAAAGAAAGUGUUAGUGCAUUUGAAAAAUGUUCAACAUGUUUCUGGAAAAUGUUUCACAUGUACUCAAAAAUUAUAAUGCAUUUUUGAAAAAUGUUCGGCGUCCAUUAAAAAAGUUUACAACAUGUAUUUUCAAAAGAGUUCAACGUGAGUUAAAAAAUAUUGUGUAAAUUAUCCUUACAUUUCUACAAACACAGUUCACAUGUUUGAUUCAUUUCUAGAAUUUAAUAUUAUUCCACAAUAAUUUUUCAAUACAGUUGAAUAAUUUAUCAAAUACAAUGUUGUCAAUUUGUUACUAAUUGGGUAUUAUAGAAAUACAAUGAAGAUAAACAAUAAUUGUGUGUGUUUGUGGUCUCGAAUGAAGAAUCAUAAAUUUAGACAAUAAUUUCUAAUAUCAGUUGAAUAUUUAAAUCCACAUAAAUUAAGUUCUUGUCUAACUCUUCGAAGUACACAAUAAUGAAAAUGAAAAAAUAUUUAAAAUAUAAAAUAUAAAAUAUUGAUAAUCGUAUUUUUCAUAUGGGAAAAUUUAUGUGUUAUGAAACAAAACAGGAACUUUGAAAAAAUAAAAAAAGAUGAAAAUUGCAGAGUGAUACGUGGAUUGUAAUAACAGAGCUUCGUAGCUUAGAGUUUAACUCGAAGAAUACUCCGGCCGGCUGGCCAGAUCGUGCCGUUGUUGAACAUGACGUGCCAGGUGGCUUUUUGAUUGAUUAAAUAAAACGUGAGGGCGGUUUUUUAAAAAAAUCCCCACGUGCGGGCCACCCAGCGCCUCUUAGCCACGUUUGUACGCCACUCGGGCUAGACGUACGCCCGGAAUAUGAACGGAGGCACCGUAUUUACACAGCCUGAUAAGUUCGAGCACCAAUUUCAAUAAGUUGAGGCACCUUCGGUGUAUUUAACUCAAAAAAAAGGUACAACCCGUGGUCUAAUGAGAGUUGUCUUUCCGUACUGUUGUCUUGAAGAGAAGUUUGACAGGAGAAAGAACCAAAACAACGACCACAGCGGGAGUCGAACCAACGACCUCAGUCCACACAAAGAUGGUCGAAAGCACAACACGUAAUCCACUGCGCAAGGCCGGAACCAAUGAUCUCCAGGAGGUAGUAAUAAUUGCAAACCGUGCAAGAGAUAAAUGCAAUAGGAUAUUCACAGAUUUCAGGGGGCGCAGAACAAUACCAUCCUGGUUACCGGUGGUAGAUGCGGUAGAAAACUGAAUUAUAACAGAAUGCUUCAUUGACAUGUCUGGAACUACGAUGCAACAUGCAAGUAAUUAAAUUUAAAAAGUAGUACCCCAAGGUGUUCUACAAGGCAGCAAAGAGAAAAAUCCUCACAUUCUCAUUGUCAGCUACAACAAAGGGUGCAAACAGGAAACGUACUAAAAGUUGACUAUUAAGAAGACCACUUACCAAGCGGUCAAAUCAAUUCUCCAGUAAAGCAAGUAGUGAUAUGAGGCAUAAAGAUUGCUAAAUAUCAAGUACAGAGAAGACCAUAAGGCGGAUUGGCAAAUAUUUCAGGAGCAAAGUAAAACGACUUGGAGUUGGCCGUUUCCUCUAGGGUUUCCCUAGGGUCUACCCAUCCUCCGACGGCGCCGCCGGAGUCCACAUAGUUUCUACGUUGAUCUCAUCGGAACUCGAUCGCGGGCAGAACAACAGACGCCCGCGCCACGCUGACACGCGUUUGCAUGGAGGAACGCGAAGGCCAUAAGGAGACGGCGGGACUAAAGGAAGCGAAAGAGAAGAUGCAGGUGGGAGUAGAGAGGCAGGAAGGAGAUGGAUCGGGGAGCUACCAGGCGGCAACCUUGGGGGUUGAAACUUCGGCGGCGGCGGCGGAGGGCUUGCAGGAGGGCGAUCUGAAGGUUGAUGAUGAGGAGGACUGGGUUCACCGCGGAUCUGGGCCAACCCUGGAAGAUGCUUUUGAUGGUAUGAAUUUGCAUGGAGAAGAGGAAGAAGACCUAGAUUUAUCAGGUGAGGUUGAGGAUCUGAUCAGGGAGGUUCGGUGGCUCGCACUUUUUAGGGUUCAUACCAUGAGGCCCUUUAGCCAUGCGGCUCUCUUGAAUUCUAUGAGGAACGCAUGGGCUUGUGCGCAAGGCGUAACUUUCAACAUUAAGGGGCCAAACCCAUUUUUGGCUCAGGUUCAUUGUCUGGGUGACUGGAAGCGUGUGAUGGACGGUGGGCCGUGGCAAUCCAGAAGAGAUCCAGUGAUCCUGGUGGAGUAUGAUGGAUUUACAAACGUGGACGAGUAUGCCCUAGACAUGUAUCCAUUAUGGGCGAGAGUUAAAGGGUUACCGGAUGGUUUAACGAGGAAGAAGGAGUUAGCAGAGAAGGUGGCGAAGAAAGUAGGCAAUCCACCGUUCACGGUUAUCGUUAAUGAGGGUAGGAUAAAUCCCUCGAAUCAUCUACGAGUCAAAGUGUUUGUUAAUGUCAAUCAACCUCUGGUUAGGUUUGUCCCAAUCAUGCUCAAAGAGAGGAAGAAGUACCCGGUCAGCUAUGAAAAACUGCCGGACUUCUGCUUCUAUUGCGGCUGUAUGGGCCAUGUGCUUGAGGAGUGCGGGGAUGGUACUCAUGAUUUGGCCUCCUGUGAGUGGGGUGAUUGGCUACAUUGGGCAAAUGAACCGGCUGGAGGUGGUGCUAGAGGUGGAAGGGGAGGUGGUGGUGGAAGAACAGGCGUUGGGAGAGGGGGUGGUCCCUUUAAUGGCCCUCCCAGAGGGGGAAGAAGUGGAGAUGGAGGUAGAGGGGUCAGAGGGGGAGAAGCAGGAGUUGUAGGUGGAGGAGCAGGAGUUGUGGGAGGGAGCAUGGCGGGUAAGGGGAACCUUGGUUCAAUUGACAUGGACAUAUCAGUUGGGAAUCAAUUGUUGUCGGGGGAGGAUGGCAGGGGAGCCCGCAAGAGGUUAGUUAGUGAAGAUGGCACCAUCACAGUGAGGGGUCAACCGCUGCCAAAUCUGGUCGGGAAGGUCAAUAAUACAGUUCUUAUGAUUGAGAGUGGAGGAGAAACGGUGGAGAUAGUGGUACCGGGCCCUUCAAAUAGUACUCCGGGGAAACACCCUGUCGUCAAGGGGAGGAAGCAAGGAGUAGGGGAGGAAGAGGGUGAAGAUCAAAUGACAAAUGUGGCGGCCUCCGGCUCGGAGGACCGCCGAGCCCAAUGAAUCUCCUAAGAUGGAACUGCCGGGGAGGGGGGAAUACCCCGAUAGUUCAAGAGCUGGCGACUCUUUGUCAGUCGCAUUCCCCCACUUUGGUGUUUUUGUGUGAAACAAGGCAGAAGGCGGACAAGUUGAAAAGAAUCCGAGCGAGGUUGGGCUUGAAGGGUUUUUGCGGCGUGGAUAGUAAUGGUAUGAGCGGCGGUCUGGCUCUAUAUUGGCAUGAAUCUUAUGACGUCCAAAUUCUAGACAAGAAGGAAAGAUACAUUGAUGCCUUGGUGCGAAUUCAUCCGGAUGCUGAGCAAUGGAGAGUAACUUGCAUGUAUGGAGAACCCAGAGUGGAAAAUAGACCGGCAAUGUGGUCGGCGUUACAAAACCUGAAAACUGUCAUUGACCGGCCUGUUUAGUUGUCGGUGAUUUUAACGAGGCUAUGUGGAACUUUGAGCACAUGUCUACCACGCCAAGACCCGAAGCACAAAUGGUGGCCUUCAAAGACAUGUUGGAGGUGUGUGAGUUGGUUGAUCUAGGCUUUAUUGGAGUUCCAUUCACAUAUGAAAAUAAACGUAGUGGUGCAAGUAAUGUCAAAGUCCGGUUGGACAGAGCGGUGGCAUCCAAUGAUUGGAGGAAUUUGUUCGCGUACUCGUCGGUUGUUCAUAUCCCUUCUCCUUGCUCAGAUCAUAUAGCCAUUUUGGUAAAGGGGUCAGCUGACCCGGGUCCGACAGGGAAGAGCAACAGAAGAUACGAGCUUUUUUGGGAACGGGACCCUAUGUUGCCGAACAUAAUAAAGGAAGCAUGAGAGGCUGUAGGCGGCGUUCAGAACGUGGCUCAGUUGCGCGAUGCACUAUCCAAGACCAUGAGCUCAUUGGGAUUAUGGAGUAAAAAAAUUGGUAACAUCAGGAGAGAGUUAGCAAAGUCUCGGACUCAGUUAGAGGAACUGAUGAACAUGAACGCAGACAGAGCAGAGAUCAGGGUUGUAACAGACAAGAUGAACGAACUCCUUUACCAGGAGGAAAUGUUAUGGCUACAACGGUCAAGAAUAACAUGGUUGAAAGAAGGCGAUAGGAAUACCAAAUAUUUCCAAAGCAAGGCAGGGUGGAGAGCGAGGAAGAAUAAAAUUCGGGAGCUUACUGAUAGCAUUGGGGUGGUGCAUACAGAUAGUGUGGUGAUGGGGGAGAUGGCGAAUGAGUAUUUGCAAAAUAUAUUUAAGGCUGAUCCAACCAUAAACCCGUCUCCAAUACUGGACCAUGUGGAGGUCAAACUAACUGAGGGUGAUAAUGCCAGGCUGGUUGCUCCUUUUUCUGAUAAGGAGAUAUCAGAUGCUCUUUUCCAAAUUGGCCCUUUGAAGGCCCCGGGACCGGAUGGUUUUCCGGCUCGUUUUUUCCAGAGAAAUUGGAGUACACUCAAGGAUGAUGUUAUUGCUUCGGUAAAGGAUUUCUUUCAGACAUGCAUUAUUCCAGAAGGGGUAAACUCAACUUCUAUUGUUCUUAUCCCUAAAAUUGCUAAUCCAUCAAAGUUGUCUGAUUACAGGCCUAUCAGCUUAUGUAAUGUUAUUUAUAAGGUCAUCUCUAAGUGUUUGGUUAACCGGUUGAGGCCUUUAUUGGAUGACCUUAUUUCUCCGGAACAAAGUGCUUUCAUCCCAGGAAGGAUGAUUACAGAUAAUGCCUUGAUAGCCUUUGAGUGUAUUCAUUACAUCAAGCAAGAAAAGGACCCCACAAAAAGCUUCUGUCCUUAUAAACUAGAUUUGUCAAAAUCAUAUGAUCGAGUGGAUUGGGUCUACUUGAGGCAGGUGAUGCAAAAGUUGGGUUUCUCUCAUCGAUGGAUUGAUUGGGUAAUGACGUGUGUUACAUCGGUGAGGUAUUCAGUCAAGUUCAAUGGAACCCUCUUGGAUUCAUUUGCACCGUCGUGUGGCCUUCGGCAAGGUGACCCACUCUCACCAUUUUUAUUUCUGUUUGUGGCGGAUGGACUUUCAACUAUUUUGAAAAAUAAGGUGAAUAGGGGAGAGCUCUCACCGGUGAAAAUGUGUAGAAGAGCCCCGGGUAUUUCCCACCUUUUGCUCACUGACGAUACGUUGCUGUUUUUCGAGGCUUCUAGGAGGCAAGCAGAGUGUGUGAGGGCAGCACUACAAGAGUAUGGUGCAGCUACUGGGCAAAAGCUAAACUAUGAUAAAUGCUCAAUAUUCUUUGGUAAUUCAUGCCCAACCACACGCCAAGAGCAGAUCCGAAAUGCCCUGCAGGUCACUAGUGCAGCUUUUGAUGAAAGGUAUCUUGGCCUCCCGACCCCAGAUGGCCGAAUGUCCAAAGGCAAAUUUCAGAACCUUCAGGCCAGCCUAACAAAACGUCUGAUGCAAUGGGGGGUGGCCUAUUGGCUCAGCCAGGUAGAGAGGUGUUGAUUAAAUCAGUGGCCCAAGCAUUACCUACUUAUAUUAUGGGUGUAUUCAAACUUCCGUUUUCAAUAUGUGAUGAUUUGACGAGAAUGGUGCGGAAUUUUUAUUGGGGAUCUGCAAAAGGGAAGGGGAAGGUUCAUUGGAAAAAAUGGGACUAUCUUCUCCAACCAAAAGACAGGGGAGGUGUGGGCUUUCGAGACUUCGGUUAUUUAACCAAGCAUUGCUAGCUCGGCAGGCUUGGCGGCUUUUGUCCAAUCCGGAUAGUCUAUGUGCCCAGGUUCUUAAGGCAAAGUACUAUCCAUAUGGCAAGCUAGAGGAUACGGUCUUCACAGGGAACGCAUCGUCGUCGUGGCAAGCUAUUAGUCAUGGCCUUGACCCGUUGAAGAGCGGAUUGAUUUGGAGGGUGGGAAACAGGAGAAAUAUCAGAGUGUGGAGGGCCAACUGGAUCCCGAGGCCGUUCUCCUUCAAGCCGGUCUCGUUGCAGGGCAGAUGCUGAAUUCGCUUCGUGUCAGAUUUUCUUAAUGCAAAUCGGUCUUGGAAAGUGGAGCUAUUGUUGGAAAUAUGCCCUAGAGGCAAUAAUAAAUGGUUAUUAUUAUAUUUCUUUGUUCAUGGUAAUUGUCUAUUAUUCAUGCUAUAAUUGUAUUGUCCGGAAAUCGUAAUACAUGUGUGAAUACAUAGACCACAACGUGUCCCUAGUAAGCCUCUAGUUGACUAGCUCGUUGAUCAACAGAUAGUCAUGGUUUCCUGACUAUGGACAUUGGAUGUCAUUGAUAACGGGAUCACAUCAUUAGGAGAAUGAUGUGAUGGACAAGACCCAAUCCUAAGCAUAGCAUAAAAGAUCGUGUAGUUUCGUUUGCUAGAGCUUUUCCAAUGUCAAGUAUCUUUUCCUUAGACCAUGAGAUCGUGCAACUCCCGGAUACCGUAGGAGUGCUUUGGGUGUGCCAAACGUCACAACGUAACUGGGUGACUAUAAAGGUGCACUACGGGUAUCUUCGAAAGUGUCUGUUGGGUUGGCACGGAUCGAGACUGGGAUUUGUCACUCCGUGUGACGGAGAGGUAUCUCUGGGCCCACUCGGUAAUGCAUCAUCAUAAUGAGCUCAAUGUGACUAAGGCGUUAGUCACGGGAUCAUGUAUUGCGGUACGAGUAAAGAGACUUGCCGGUAACGAGAUUGAACAAAGUAUUGGGAUACCGACGAUCGAAUCUCGGGCAAGUAACAUACCGAUUGACAAAGGGAAUUGCAUACGGAUUGAUUGAAUCCUCGACACCGUGGUUCAUCCGAUGAGAUCAUCGUGGAACAUGUGGGAGCCAACAUGGGUAUCCAGAUUCCGCUGUUGGUUAUUGACCGGAGAGGCGUCUCGGUCAUGUCUGCAUGUCUCCCGAACCCGUAGGGUCUACACACUUAAGGUCCGGUGACGCUAGGGUUGUAGAGAUAUAUGUAUGCGGAAACCCGAAAGUUGUUCGGAGUCCCGGAUGAGAUCCCGGACGUCAUGAGAGGUUCCGGAAUGGUCCGGAGGUGAGGAAUUAUAUAUAGGAAGUCAAGUUUCGGCCACCGGGAAAGUUUCGGGGGUUACCGGUAUUGUACCGGGACCACCGGAAGGGUCACGGGGGUCCACCGGGUGGGGCCACCUAUCCCGGAGGGCCCCGUGGGCUGAAAGUGGAAGGGAACCAGCCCUUAGUGGGCUGGGGCGCCCCCCUUGGGCCUCCCCCCAUGCGCCUAGGGUUGGGAACCCUAGGGGGGGAGCUUCCCCCUUGCCUUGGGGGGCAAGGCACCCCUUCCCCCCCACUUGGCCGCCGCCCCCCUUGGAGAUCUGAUCUCCCAAGGGCUGGCGCCCCCCNNNNNNNNNNNNNNNNNNNNNNNNNNNNNNNNNNNNNNNNNNNNNNNNNNNNNNNNNNNNNNNNNNNNNNNNNNNNNNNNNNNNNNNNNNNNNNNNNNNNNNNNNNNNNNNNNNNNNNNNNNNNNNNNNNNNNNNNNNNNNNNNNNNNNNNNNNNNNNNNNNNNNNNNNNNNNNNNNNNNNNNNNNNNNNNNNNNNNNNNNNNNNNNNNNNNNNNNNNNNNNNNNNNNNNNNNNNNNNNNNNNNCAAACCUACAGCCUUGGGCGCCUCCCUCUCCCCCUGUUACACCUCUCCGUCUCGCAGAAGCUCGGCGUAGCCCUGCCGGAGACCCGCUACAUCCACCACCACGCCGUCGUGCUGCUGGAUCUCCAUCAACCUCUCCUUCCCCCUUGCUGGAUCAAGAAGGAGGAGACGUCGCUGCACCGUAUGUGUGUUGAACGCGGAGGUGCCGUCCGUUCGGCACUCGGUCAUCGGUGAUUUGGAUCACGGCGAGUACGACUCCGUCAUCCACGUUCAUUGGAACGCUUCCGCUCGCGAUCUACAAGGGUAUGUAGAUGCACUCCCUUCCCCUCGUUGCUAGUAGACUCCAUAGAUGCAUCUUGGUGAGCGUAGGAAAAUUUUAAAUUAUGCUACGAUUCCCAACAGUGGCAUCAUGAGCCAGGCCUAUGCGUAGUUACUAUGCACGAGUAGAACACAAAGAAGUUGUGGGUGUUGAGUUUGCCAAUUCUUCUUGCCGCUACUAGUCUUUUCUUGUUUCGGCGGCAUUGUAGGAUGAAGCGGCCCGGACCGACCUUACACGUACGCUUACGUGAGACAGGUUCCACCGAUUGACAUGCACUAGUUGCAUAAGGUGGCUAGCGGGUGUCUGUCUCUCCUACUUUAGUCGGAACGGAUUUGAUGAAAAGGGUCCUUAUGAAGGGUAAAUAGAAAUUGGCAAAUCACGUUGUGGUCAUACGUAGGUAAGAAACGUUCUUGCUAGAAACCUACAAACCACGUAAAAACUUGCAACAACAAUUAGAGGACGUCUAACUUGUUUUUGCAGCAAGUGAUAUAUGUGAUAUGAUAUGGCCAGAAGAUGUGAUGAAUGAUAUAUGUGAUGUAUGAGAUUGAUCAUAUUCUUGUAAUAGGAAUCACGACUUGCAUGUCGAUGAGUAUGACAACCGGCAGGAGCCAUAGGAGUUGUCUUUAUUAUUUUGUAUGACCUGCGUGUCAUUGAAUAACGCCAUGUAAAUUACUUUACUUUGUUGCUAAACGAGUUAGCCAUAGAAGUAGAAGUAAUCGUUGGCGUGACGACUUCAUGGAGACACAAUGAUGGAGAUCAUGAUGAUGGAGAUCAUGGUGUCAUGCCAGUGACAAAGAUGAUCAUGGUGCCCCGAAGAUGGAGAUCAAAGGAGCAUAAUGAUAUUGGCCAUAUCAUGUCACUAUUUGAUUUCAUGUGAUGUUUAUCAUGUUUUUGCAUCUAAUUUGCUUAGAACGACGGUAGCAAGUAGGAUGAUCCCUUAUAAUAAUUUCAAGAAAGUGUUCACCCUAACUGUGCACCGUUGCGAAGGUUCGUUGUUUCGAAGCACCACGUGAUGAUCGGGUGUGAUAGAUUCUAACGUUCGAAUACAACGGGUGUUGACGAGCCUAGCAUGUACAGACAUGGCCUCGGAACACACGCAAUACACUUAGGUUGACUUGACGAGCCUAGCAUGUACAGACAUGGCCUCGGAACACGGAGGACCGAAAGGUCGAGCAUGAGUCGUAUGGAAGAUACGAUCAACAUGGAGAUGUUCACCGAUCUUGACUAGUCCGUCUCACGUGAUGAUCGGACACGGCCUAGUUGAACUCGGAUCAUGUUACACUUAGAUGACUAGAGGGAUGUCUAUCUGAGUGGGAGUUCAUUAAAUAAUUUGAUUAGAUGAACUUAAUUAUCAUGAACUUAGUCUAAAAUCUUUACACUAUGUCUUGCAGAUCAAAUGGCCAAUGUUGUCCUCAAUUUCAACGCGUUCCUAGAGAAAACCAAGCUGAAAGAUGAUGGCAGCAAUUAUACGGACUGGGUCCGGAACCUGAGGCUCAUCCUCAUAGUAGCCAAGAAAGAUUAUGUCUUAGAAGCACCGCUAGGUGAAGCACCAAUCCCUGAGAACCAAGAUGUUAUGAACGCUUGGCAAACACGUGCUGAUGAUUACUCCCUCGUUCAGUGCGGCAUGCUUUACAGCUUAGAACCGGGUCUCCAAAAGCGUUUUGAGAAACAUGGAGCAUAUGAGAUGUUCGAGGAGCUGAAAAUGGUUUUCCAAGCUCAUGCCCGGGUCGAGAGAUAUGAUGUCUCCGACAAGUUCUUCAGCUGUAAAAUGGAGGAGAACAGUUCUGUUAGUGAGCACAUACUCAGAAUGUCUGGGUUGCACAACCGCUUGACUCAGCUGGGAGUUAAUCUCCCGGAUGACGCGGUCAUUGACAGAAUCCUCCAGUCGCUUCCACCAAGCUACAAGAGCUUUGUGAUGAACUUUAAUAUGCAGGGGAUGGAAAAGACCAUUCCUGAGGUAUAUUCAAUGCUGAAAUCAGCUGAGGUAGAGAUUAGAAAAGAACAUCAAGUGUUGAUGGUGAAUAAAACCACUAAGUUCAAGAAGGGCAAGGGUAAGAAGAACUUCAAGAAGGACGGCAAGGGAGUUGCCGCGCCCGAUAAGCCAGUUGCCGGGAAGAAGUCAAAGAAUGGACCCAAGCCCGGGACUGAGUGCUUUUAUUGCAAGGGAAGUGGUCACUGGAAGCGGAACUGCCCCAAAUAUUUAGCGGACAAGAAGAAGGCCGGCAACAUCCAAGGUAUAUGUGAUAUACAAGUAAUUGAUGUGUACCUUACCAGUACUCGUAGUAGCUCCUGGGUAUUUGAUACCGGUGCGGUUGCUCAUAUUUGUAACUCAAAGCAGGAACUACGGAAUAAACGGAGACUGGCAAAGGACGAGGUGACGAUGCGCGUCGGGAAUGGUUCCAAGGUUGAUGUGAUCGCCGUCGGCACUCUACCUCUGCAUCUACCAACGGGAUUAGUUUUAAACCUCAAUAAUUGUUAUUUAGUGCCAGCUUUGAGCAUGAACAUUGUGUCUGGAUCUCGUUUAAUUCGAGAUGGCUACUCAUUUAAAUCCGAGAAUAAUGGUUGUUCUAUUUAUUUGAGAGAUAUGUUUUAUGGUCAUGCCCCGCUGGUCAAUGGUUUAUUUUUGAUAAAUCUCGAACGUGAUGUUACACAUGUUCAUAGUGUGAAUACCAAAAGAUGUAAAGUUGAUAACGAUAGUCCCACAUACUUGUGGCACUGCCGCCUUGGUCACAUUGGUGUCAAGCGCAUGAAGAAGCUCCAUGCAGAUGGACUUUUGGAGUCUCUUGAUUACGAAUCAUUUGACACGUGCGAACCAUGCCUCAUGGGUAAGAUGACCAAGACUCCGUUCUUCGGAACAAUGGAGCGAGCAACCAACUUAUUGGAAAUCAUACAUACCGAUGUGUGUGGUCCAAUGAGUGUUGAGGCUCGCGGAGGAUAUCGUUAUGUUCUCACUCUCACUGAUGAUUUAAGUAGAUAUGGAUAUGUCUACCUGAUGAAACACAAGUCUGAAACCUUUGAAAAGUUCAAAGAAUUUCAGAGUGAGGUUGAGAAUCAACGUGACAGGAGAAUAAAAUUCCUACGAUCAGAUCGUGGUGGAGAAUAUUUAAGUCACGAGUUUGGUGCACACUUAAGGAAAUGUGGAAUAGUUUCACAACUCACGCCGCCUGGAACACCUCAGAGAAAUGGUGUGUCCGAACGUCGUAAUCGCACUCUAUUGGAUAUGGUGCGAUCUAUGAUGUCUCUUACCGAUUUACCGCUCUCAUUUUGGGGUUAUGCUUUAGAGACUGCCGCAUUCACUUUAAAUAGGGCUCCAUCGAAAUCCGUUGAGACGACACUGUAUGAAUUAUGGUUUGGGAAGAAACCUAAGCUGUCGUUUCUAAAAGUUUGGGGAUGCGAUGCUUAUGUCAAGAAACUUCAACCUGAAAAGCUCGAACCCAAAUCGGAAAAAUGCGUCUUCAUAGGAUACCCUAAGGAAACUAUUGGGUACACCUUCUACCUCAGAUCCGAAGGCAAGAUCUUCGUUGCCAAGAACGGGUCCUUUCUAGAGAAGGAGUUUCUCUCGAAAGAAUUGAGUGGGAGGAAAGUGGAACUUGAUGAGGUGAUAGUCACCCCUUCCGAACCGGAAAGUAGCGCAGCGCGGGAAAGUGUUCCUGUGGUGCCUACACCGACUGGGGAGGAAGUUAAUGAUGAUGAUCAUGAAGCUUCGGAUCAAGUUACUGAACUUCGUAGGUCCACAAGGACACGUUCCGCACCAGAGUGGUACGGCAACCCUAUCCUGGAAAUCAUGUUGUUAGACAACGGUGAACCUUCGAACAAUGAAGAAGCGAUGGCGGGCCCGGAUUCCGACAAAUGGCUAGAAGCCAUGAAACCCGAGAUAGAAUCCAUGUAUGAAAACAAAGUAUGGACUUUGACUGACUUGCCCGAUGAGCGGCGAGCCAUAGAAAACAAAUGGAUCUUUAAGAAGAAGACGGACGCGGAUGGUAAUGUGACCAUCUACAAAGCUCGACUUGUCGCUAAGGGUUAUCGACAAGUUCAAGGGGUUGACUACGAUGAGACUUUCUCACCCGUAGCGAAGCUGAAGUCCGUCCGAAUCAUGUUAGCAAUUGCCGCAUACUAUGAUUAUGAGAUAUGGCAGAUGGACGUCAAAACGGCAUUCCUUAACGGCUUCCUUAAGGAAGAGUUGUAUAUGAUGCAGCCGGAAGGUUUUGUCGAUCCUAAGAAUGCUAUCAAAGUGUGUAAGCUCCAGCGCUCAAUCUAUGGGCUGGUGCAAGCAUCUCGGAGUUGGAACAUUCGCUUUGAUGAGAUGAUCAAAGCGUUUGGGUUUACACAGACUUAUGGAGAAGCCUGUGUUUACAAGAAAGUGAGUGGGAGCUCUGUAGCAUUUCUCAUAUUAUAUGUGGAUGACAUAUUAUUGAUGGGAAAUGAUAUAGAAUUCUCGGAAAGUAUAAAGGCCUAUUUGAAUAAGUGUUUUUCAAUGAAGGACCUUGGAGAAGCUGCUUAUAUAUUAGGCAUCAAGAUCGAUAGAGAUAGAUCGAGACGCCUCAUUGGUCUUUCACAGAGUACAUACCUUGAUAAGAUAUUGAAGAAGUUCAGUAUGGAUCAGUCCAAGAAGGGGUUCUUGCCUGUAUUGCAAAGUGUGCAAUUGAGCACGGCUCAAUGCCCGACCACGGCAGAAGAUAUAGAAGAGAUGAGUGUCAUCCCCUAUGCCUCGGCCAUAGGGUCUAUUAUGUAUGCCAUGCUGUGUACCAGACCUGAUGUAAACCUUGUCGUAAGUUUGGUAGGAAGGUACCAAAGUAAUCCCGGCAAGGAACACUGGACAGCGGUCAAGAAUAUCCUGAAGUACCUGAAGAGGACUAAGAAUAUGUUUCUCGUUUAUGGAGGUGACGAAGAGCUCGUCGUAAAGGGUUACGUCGAUGCUAGCUUCGACACAGAUCUGGAUGACUCGAAGUCACAGACCGGAUACGUGUAUAUUUUGAACGGAGGAGCAGUAAGCUGUUGCAGUUGCAAGCAAAGCGUCGUGGCGGGAUCUACAUGUGAAGCGGAGUACAUGGCAGCCUCGGAGGCAGCACAGGAAGCAGUCUGGAUGAAGGAGUUCAUUACCGACCUAGGGGUGAUUCCCAAUGCGUUGGGCCCAAUGACUCUAUUCUGUGACAACACUGGAGCUAUUGCCCUUGCAAAGGAGCCCAGGUUUCACAGGAAGACCAGGCAUAUCAAGCGUCGUUUCAACUCCAUUCGUGAAAGUGUUCAAAAUGGAGACAUAGAUAUUUGUAAAGUACACACGGACCUGAAUGUAGCAGAUCCGUUGACUAAACCUCUCCCUAGGGCAAAACAUGAUCAACACCAGGACGCAAUGGGUGUUCGAUUCAUCACAAUGUAACUAGAUUAUUGACUCUAGUGCAAGUGGGAGACUGUUGGAAAUAUGCCCUAGAGGCAAUAAUAAAUGGUUAUUAUUAUAUUUCUUUGUUCAUGGUAAUUGUCUAUUAUUCAUGCUAUAAUUGUAUUGUCCGGAAAUCGUAAUACAUGUGUGAAUACAUAGACCACAACGUGUCCCUAGUAAGCCUCUAGUUGACUAGCUCGUUGAUCAACAGAUAGUCAUGGUUUCCUGACUAUGGACAUUGGAUGUCAUUGAUAACGGGAUCACAUCAUUAGGAGAAUGAUGUGAUGGGCAAGACCCAAUCCUAAGCAUAGCAUAAAAGAUCGUGUAGUUUCGUUUGCUAGAGCUUUUCCAAUGUCAAGUAUCUUUUCCUUAGACCAUGAGAUCGUGCAACUCCCGGAUACCGUAGGAGUGCUUUGGGUGUGCCAAACGUCACAACGUAACUGGGUGACUAUAAAGGUGCACUACGGGUAUCUCCGAAAGUGUCUGUUGGGUUGGCACGGAUCGAGACUGGGAUUUGUCACUCCGUGUGACGGAGAGGUAUCUCUGGGCCCACUCGGUAAUGCAUCAUCAUAAUGAGCUCAAUGUGACUAAGGCGUUAGUCACGGGAUCAUGCAUUGCGGUACGAGUAAAGAGACUUGCCGGUAACGAGAUUGAACAAAGUAUUGGGAUACCGACGAUCGAAUCUCGGGCAAGUAACAUACCGAUUGACAAAGGGAAUUGCAUACGGAUUGAUUGAAUCCUCGACACCGUGGUUCAUCCGAUGAGAUCAUCGUGGAACAUGUGGGAGCCAACAUGGGUAUCCAGAUCCCACUGUUGGUUAUUGACCGGAGAGGCGUCUCGGUCAUGUCUGCAUGUCUCCCGAACCCGUAGGGUCUACACACUUAAGGUCCGGUGAUGCUAGGGUUGUAGAGAUAUAUGUAUGUGGAAACCCGAAAGUUGUUCGGAGUCCCGGAUGAGAUCCCGGACGUCACGAGAGGUUCCGGAAUGGUCCGGAGGUGAAGAAUUAUAUAUAGGAAGUCAAGUUUCGGCCACCGGGAAAGUUUCGGGGGUUACCGGUAUUGUACCGGGACCACCGGAAGGGUCACGGGGGUCCACCGGGUGGGGCCACCUAUCCCGGAGGGCCCCGUGGGCUGAAAGUGGAAGGGAACCAGCCCUUAGUGGGCUGGGGCGCCCCCCUUGGGCCUCCCCCCAUGCGCCUAGGGUUGGGAACCCUAGGGGGGAGCUUCCCCCUUGCCUUGGGGGGCAAGGCACCCCUUCCCCCCCACUUGGCCGCCGCCCCCCUUGGAGAUCUGAUCUCCCAAGGGCUGGCGCCCCCCCACCAGGGGUCCUGUAAAUAGUGGGGGGGAGGGAGGGCAGCAAACCUACAGCCUUGGGCGCCUCCCUCUCCCCCUGUUACACCUCUCCGUCUCGCAGAAGCUCGGCGUAGCCCUGCCGGAGACCCGCUACAUCCACCACCACGCCGUCGUGCUGCUGGAUCUCCAUCAACCUCUCCUUCCCCCUUGCUGGAUCAAGAAGGAGGAGACGUCGCUGCACCGUACAUGUGUUGAACGCGGAGGUGCCGUCCGUUCGGCACUCGGUCAUCGGUGAUUUGGAUCACGGCGAGUACGACUCCGUCAUCCACGUUCAUUGGAACGCUUCCGCUCGCGAUCUACAAGGGUAUGUAGAUGCACUCCCUUCCCCUCGUUGCUAGUAGACUCCAUAGAUGCAUCUUGGUGAGCGUAGGAAAAUUUUAAAUUAUGAUACGAUUCCCAACAGCUAUUACAAAAGUAUUUUCUGCCGGCUGAUGUGAUUGAGAUUUUGAAGAUUCGAGCUUCACCAAGGUUGGAUGAGGAUGUGAUUGCAUGGGCCCCUGGGAGACAUGGAGUUUUUUCUGUAAAGUCGGCAUAUCAGUUUGCGCUUCAGGAAUUGUACGGAGCGAGCACAGCCUCGUCCAGUAACUCGGCUUCAGGAGGAAGGAGUUGUUGGAAGCUUAUUUGGAACAGUGCAGUUCCUCCAACGAUCCGUAACUUUGCAUGGCGUCUGGCGACGGAUGCUCUUCCUACGUGGAAGAACAAGAACAAAAGAGGGCUUGAGCUUGUGAGCGGCUGUCCGAUUUGCGGUAUAGAGAUAGAGGACAAUUUCCACCCUUUUCUGAGAUGUCAGCGGGGGAGGGAUCUGUAUAAGGAGAUGGCGAAGGUAUGGAGGUUGCCGGUGAUCGAAUCCUUUGUGCCCAAUGGGAGGGAAUGGCUUCUCCAUGCGCUGGACUCCCUAAGUGAGCUUGAUCGGUGCAAGGUUUUGCUCAUUUUCUGGAGAAGUUGGUACGUGCGGAAUGAAAUCAUACAUCAUAAACCAGCCCCGGACAUGGAUGUAUCCGUGAAUUUCCUGAGAAGAUAUUUGGAUGAAUUAGUGGGGAUCAAAAUGAACCAUGGUAUGGAUGUGGCUAAAGGUAAGGGAUACCUGACUUUUGAUCACACUAGAGAAGUGAGGGAGAUUCAGAGUGCUGGCCCAGUGUGUAAGUGGCAACCCCCCGCCGAGGGCUGGGUAAAACUAAACACGGACAGGUCCUUUGUUGAUAGUGAUCUUGCGGGCACUGGUAUGAUUCUCCGAAACUCCAGUGGAGGGAUUAUUUUUUCGGCAUGCAGAUCGCUAUUUUCUUGCAGAGAUGUGGUUGAAGCAGAACUAGGUGCAAUCAUGGAAGGUUUAUCGCUGGCUAUACAACGCUCCGAUUUGCCUAUUGUUAUCGAAUCGGAUUCCAACUUGGCAGUGUCUAUGGUAUCCUCUGGCGAAGUUGAUCGUUCAAUUUAUGCUGCUUUGGUUAAUGAAAUAAGACUGCUGAUGCGUCUUAGACAAACUUGUGUUACUCAUAUUAUGAGAGUCCAGAAUAAAGCUAGUGAUAGUUUGGCUAGGUUUGCUCGAUUUGAGGGGCGAACUAUGACUUGGCUGGGAUCUGGGCCAGAGGAGGUAUUGGGUAUAUCCCUUGAUGAUUGUAAAGACAUUGAUAUUUGAGUAAUACAAGUGUUCUCGCAAAAAAAAGUAAAACAACUUGGUAACUGUAGCAUCAACACAAUCAGUAGCCCCUUCAGCCCGAAAGGUCAUCGAAACAAGAAUCCUAUUGUUAGAUUGUGGAGUAAAAAGGAGCCUUCUCAGGAUGUUUGCACUCUGAGCCAUUGGAUUGGCUGUCUAAACAAAUCCAGGCCGUUGGAUUCUUGAUGGAUGAUCCUUGCCGUUGUCUCGAAACUGAUGUUACAACCAAUUAAUAGUGUUGCUUCUUUCUUACUUCUGGUUUUUUUCCUUAUCUCGCUGACUGGUGAGCCGCGCCCUGGGUGGUCCACCACGAUCAGUGACUCGGGAGCCCUCUGCGACCGGUGGGGGUUCAAAUGGGCGCGGGUUCAUGCCACCGCCUGUAAAAUUGGGUGGCCGGCGAGGGCAAUUUCGUCACUCCAUGUUAUUGCCCUCGUGUGGUGUUGGAGAACGUAGUAAUUUCAAAAUUUUCCUACGCACACACAGGAUCAUGGUGAUCCAUGCAACGAGAGGGGAGUGUGUGUCCACGUACCCUCGUAGACCCAAAGCGGAAGCGUUAUGACAACGCGGUUGAUGUAGUCGUACGUCUUCACGAUCCGACCGAUCCAAGUACCGAACGCACGACACCUCCGAGUUCUGCACACGUUCAGCUCGAUGAUGUCCCAUGAACUCCGAUCCAGCAAAGCUUUGCAGGAGAGUUCCGUCAGCACGACGGCGUGAUGACGGUGUUGAUGAUGCUACCGACGCAGGGCUUCGCCUAAGCACCACUACGAUAUGACCGAGGUGGAAUAUGGUGGAGGGGGGCACCGCACACGGCUAAGAGAUCAAGAGAACAAUUGUUGUGUCUAUGGGGUGCCCCCUGGCCACGUAUAUAAAUGAGUGGAGGAGGGGGGAGAGGGCCGGCCCCUAUGGCGCGCCCUGGAGGAGUCCUACUCCCACCGGGAGUAGGAUUCCCCCCCCCCUUCCAAGUAGUAGGAGUUAAGGAAUGGGAAGAGAGAAGAGAAGGAAGGAGGGGGCGCAGCCCCUCCCCCUAGUCCAAUUCGGACUAGGCCUUGGGGGGCGCGCAGCCACUCCUCUCUCUCUCUUUCCCCUAAAGCCCAAUAAGGCCCAUAUACUCCCCAGCGAAUUCCCGUAACUCUCCGGUACUCCGAAAAAUACCCGAAUCAAUCGGAACCUUUCCGAUGUCCGAAUAUAGUCGUCCAAUAUAUCGAUCUUUAUGUCUCGACCAUUUCGAAAAUCCUCAUCAUGUCCCCGAUCUCAUCUGGGACUCUGAACUACCUUCGGUACAUCAAAACACAUAAACUCAUAAUACCGAUCAUCACCGAACGUUAAGCCUGCGGACCCUACGGGUUCGAGAACUAUAUAGACAUGACCGAGACACGUUUCCGGUCAAUUACCAAUAGCGGAACCUGGAUGCUCAUAUUGGCUCCCACAUAUUCCACGAAGAUCUUUAUCGGUCAAACCGCAUAACAACAUACGUUGUUCCCUUUGUCAUCGGUAUGUUACUUGCCCGAGAUUCGAUCGUCGGUAUCUCAAUACCUAGUUCAAUCUCGUUACCGGCAAGUCUCUUUAUUCGUUCCGUAAUGCAUCAUCCCGCAACUAACUUAUUAGUCACAUUGCUUGCAAGGCUUAUAGUGAUGUGCAUUACCGAGAGGGCCCAGAGAUACCUCUCCGACAAUCAGAGUGACAAAUCCUAAUCUCGAAAUACACCAACUCAACAAGUACCUUCGGAGACACCUGUAGAGCACCUUUAUAAUCACCCAGUUACGUUGUGACGUUUGGUAGCACACAAAGUGUUCCUCCGGAAAUCGGGAGUUGUAUAAUCCCAUAGUCAUAGGAACAUGUAUAAGUCAUGAAGAAAGCAAUAGCAACAUACUAAACGAUCAAGUGCUAAGCUAACGGAAUGGGUCAAGUCAAUCACAUUAUUCUCUAAUGAUAUGAUCCCGUUAAUCAAAUGACAACUCAUUUCUAUGGCUAGGAAACUUAACCAUCUUUGAUUCAACGAGCUAGUCAAGUAGAGGCAUACUAGUGACACUCUGUUUGUCUAUGUAUUCACAAAUGUAUCAAGUUUCCGGUUUAUACAAUUCUAGCAUGAAUAAUAAACAUUUAUCAUGAAAUAAGGAAAUAAAUAAUAACUUUACUAUUGCCUCUAGGGCAUAUUUCCUUCAGUCUCCCACUUGCACUAGAGUGAAUAAUCUAGUUCACAUCGCCAUGUGAUUUAACACCAAUAGUUCACAUCACCAUGUGAUUAACGCCCAUAGUUCACAUUGUCAUGUGACCAACACCCAAAGGGUUUACUAGAGUCAAUAAUCUAGUUCACAUCGCUAUGUGAUUAACACCCAAAGAGUACUAAGGUGUGAUCAUGUUUUGUUUGUGAGAAGAGUUUAGUCAAUGGGUCUGCCAAAUUCAGAUCCGUAUGUAUCUUGCAAAUUUCUAUGUCAACAAUGCUCUGCAUGGAGCUACUCUAGCUAAUUGCUCCCACUUUCAAUAUGUAUCCAGACUGAGAUUUAGAGUCAUCCGGAUCAGUGCCAAAACUUGCAUCGACGUAACCCUUUACGAUGAACUUUUUGUCACCUCCAUAACCGAAAAACAUAUCCUUAUUCCACUAAUGAUAAUUUUGACCAAUGUCCAAUGAUCUACUCCUAGAUCACUAUUGUACUCCCUUGCCAAACUCAGGGCAGGGUAUACAAUAGGUCUGGUACACAGCAUGGCAUACUUUAUAGAACCUAUAGCUGAGGCAUAGGGAAUGACUUUGAUUCUCUCUCUAUCUUCUUCCGUGGUCGGAUUUUGAGUCUUACUCAACUUCACACCUUGCAACACAGGCAAGAACUCUUUCUUUGGCUGUUCCAUUUUGAACUACUUCAAAAACUUUUCAAGGUAUGUACUCAUUGGAAAAAUUUAUCAAGCGUCUUGAUCUAUCUCUAUAUAUCUUGAUGCUCAAUAUGUAAGCAGCUUCACCGAGGUCUUUAUUUGAAAAACUCCUUUCAAAUACUCCUUUAUGCUUUCCAGAAAAUUCUACAUUAUUUCUGAUUCACAUAUACUUAUCAGAAAUGUUGUAGUGCUCCCACUCACUUUCUUGUAAAUACAGGCUUUACCGCAAGUCUGUAUAAAACUAUAUGCUUUGAUCAACUCAUCAAAGCGUAUAUUCCAACUCCGAGAUGCUUGCACCGGUCCAUAGAUGGAUCGCUGGAGCUUGCACAUUUUGUUAGCACCUUUAGGAUCGACAAAACCUUCUGGUUGCAUCAUAUACAACUCUUCUUUAAGAAAUCCAUUAAGGAAUGUAGUUUUGACAUCCAUUUGCCAGAUUUCAUAAAAUGUGGCAAUUUGCUAACAUGAUUCGGACAGACUUAAGCAUCGCUACGAGUGAGAAAAUCUCAUCGUAGUCAACACCUUGAACUUUGUCAAAACCUUUUUUCGACAAGUCUAGCUUUGUAGAUAGUAACACUACUAUCAGCGUUCGUCUUCCUCUUGAAGAUCCAUUUAUUUUCUUUGGCUUGCCGAUCAUCGGGCAAGUCAACCAAAGUCCACACUUUGUUCUCAUACAUGGAUCCCAUCUCAAAUUUCAUGGCCUCAAGCCAUUUCGCGGAAUCUGGGCUCAUCAUCGCUUCCUCAUAGGUCGUAGGUUCGUCAUGGUCAAGUAACAUGACCUUCAGAAUAGGAUUACCGUGCCACUCUGGUGCGGAUCUCACUCUGGUUGACCUACGAGGUUCGGUAGUAACAUGAUCUGAAGUUAAAUGAUCAUCAUCAUUAGCCAGAUUUCUGUGAUGAACUACUUUCCAAUAAGGGAGCAGGUACAGUUACCUCAUCAAGUUCUACUUUCCUCCCACUCACUUCUUUCGAGAGAAACUCCUUCUCUAGAAAGGAUCCAUUCUCAGCAACGAAUAUCUUGCCUUCGGAUCUAUGAUAGAAGGUGUACCCAACAGUUUUUUUGGGUAUCCUAUGAAGAUUCACUUCUCCGAUUUCGGUUCGAGCUUAUCAUGUUGAAACUUUUUCAUAUAAGCAUUGCAGUCCCAAACUUUAAGAAACGACAGCUUAGGUUUCUUGCCAAACCACAGUUCAUACGGUGUCAUCCCCACGGAUUUAGAUGGUGCCCUAUUUACCGUGAAUGUAGCUGUCUCUAAUGCAUAACCCCAAAACGAUAGUGGUAGAUCGGUAAGAGACAUCAUAGAUCGCACCAUAUCUAAUAAAGUAUGGUUAUGACGUUCGGACACACCAUUAUGCUGUGGUGUUCCAGGUGGCAUGAGUUUGUGAAACUAUUCCACAUUGUUUUAAUUGAAGGCCAAACUCGUAACUCAAAUAUUUGCCUCUACGAUCACAUCGUAGAAACUUUAUUUUCUUGUUACGAUGAUUCUCUACUUCACACUGAAAUUCUUUGAACUUUUCAAAUGUUUCAGACUUAUGUUUCAUCAAGUAGAUAUACCCAUAUCUGCUCAAAUCAUCUGUGAAGGUCAGAAAACAAUGAUACCCGCCGUGAGCCUCAACACUCAUUGGACCGCAUACAUCGAUAUGUAUUAUUUCCAAGAAGUUAGUGGCUCGCUCCAUUGUUCCGGAGAACGGAGUCUUAGUCAUCUUGUCCAUGAGGCAUGGUUCGCAAGCAUCAACUGAUUCAUAAUCAAGUGAUUCCAAAAACCCAUCAACAUGUAUUUUCUUCACGUGCUUUACACCAAUAUGACCUAAACGGCAGUGCCACAAAUAAGUUGCACUAUCAUUAUUAACUUUGCAUAUUUUGGCUUUAAUAUUAUGAAUAUGUGUAUCACUACGAUCGAGAUCCAACAAACUAUUUUCAUUGGGUGUAUGACCAUCGAAGGUUUUAUUCAUGUAAAUAGAACAAUAAUUAUUCUCUGACUUUAAAUGAAUAACCAUAUUGCAAUAAACUUGAUCAAAUCAUAUUCAUGCUCAACGCAAACACCAAAUAACAUUUAUUUAGGUUCAACACUAAUCCCGAAAGUAUAGGGAGUGUGCGAUGAUGAUCAUAUCAAUCUUGGAACUACUUCCAACACACAUCGUCACCUCGCCCUUAACUAGUUUCUGUUCAUUCUGCAACUCCCGUUUCGAGUUACUACUCUUAGCAACUGAACUAGUAUCAAAUGCCGAGGGGUUGCUAUAAACACUAGUAAAGUACACAUCAAUAACAUGUAUAUCAAAUAUACCUUUAUCACUUUGCCAUCCUUCUUAUCCGCCAAGUAUCUAGGGGCAGUUCCACUUCCAGUGACUAUUUCUUUUGCAGUAGAAGCAGUCAGUUUCAGGCUUGGGUCUAGCUUUGGGCUUCUUCACGGGAGCGGCAACUUGCUUGCCGUUCUUUUGAAGUUCCCCUUUCUACCCUUUGCCCUUUUCUUAAAACUAGUGGUCUUGUCAACCAUCAACACUUGAUACUUUUCUUGAUUUCUACCUUCAUCGAUUUUAGAAUCACGAAGAGCUUGGGAAUCGUUUCUGUUAUCCCUUGCAUAUUAUAGUUCAUCACAAAGUUCUAGUAACUUGGUGAUAGUGACUAGAGAACUCUGUCAAUCACUAUCUUAUCUGAAAGAUUAACUCCCACUUGUAGUACUCAGACAUUCCGAGCACAUGCUCACUAUAUGAGCUAGUCUCCUUCAUCUUGUAGGCAAAGUACUUGUCAAAGGUCUCAUACCUUUCUACAUGGGCAUGAGUCUGAAAUAUUAAUUUCAACUCUUGGAACAUCUCAUAUGCUCCGUGGCGUUCAAAACGUCUUUGAAGCCCCGAUUCUAAGCCGUAAAGCAUGGUGCACUAAACUAUCAAGUAGUCAUCAUAUCGACCUUGCCAAACGUUCAUAACGUCUGCAUCUGCUCCUGCAAUCAGUCUGUCACCUAGCGGUGCAUCAAGGACAUAAUUCUUCUGUGCAGCAAUGAGGAUAAUCCUCAGAUCAUGGAUCCAAUCCGCAUCAUUGCUACUAACAUUUUUCAACUUAGUUUUCUCUAGGAACAUAUCAAAAAUAAAUCAGGGGAGCUAAUGCGAGCUAUUGAUCUACAACAUAGAUAUGCUAAUAUUAUCAGGACUAAAUUCAUGAUAAAUUAAAGUACAAUUAAUCAUAUUACUUAAGAACUCCCUCUUAGAUAGACAUCUCUCUUAUCAUCUAAGUGAUCACGUGAUCCAAAUCAACUAAACCAUGUGCGAUCAUCACGUGAGAUGGAGUAGUUUUCAAUGGUGAACAUCACUAUGUUGAUCAUAUCUACUAUAUGAUUCACGCUCGACCUUUCGGUCUCAGUAUUCCGAGGCCAUAUCUGCAUAUGCUAGGCUCGUCAAGUUUAACCUGAGUAUUCCGCGUGUGCAAAACUGUCUUGCACCCGUUGUAUUUGAACGUAGAGCUUAUCACACCCGAUCAUCACGUGGUGUCUCAGCACGAAGAACUUUCGCAACGGUGCAUACUCAGGGAGAACACUUAUACAUUGAAAUUUAGUGAGAGAUCAUCUUAUAAUACUACCGUCGAUCUAAGAAAAAUAAGAUGCAUAAAAGAUAAACAUCACAUGCAAUCAAUAUAAGUGAUAUGAUAUGGCCAUCAUCAUCUUGUGCUUGUGAUCUCCAUCUCCGAAGCACCGUCAUGAUCACCAUCGUCACCGGCGCGACACCUUGAUCUCCAUCGUAGCAUCGUUGUCGUCUCGCCAACUAUUGCUUCUACGACUAUCGCUACCGCUUAGUGAUAAAGUAAAGCAAUUACAGGGCGAUUGCAUUGCAUACAAUAAAGCGACAACCAUAUGGCUCCUGCCAGUUGCCGAUAACUCGGUUACAAAACAUGACCAUCUCAUACAAUAAAAUAUAGCAUCAUGUCUUGACCAUAUCACGUCUUUGAAAUCCCGAUUCCAAGCCGUUAAGCAUGGUGCACUAAACUAUCAAGUAGUCAUCAUAUUGAGCUAGCCAAACGUUUAUAACGUCUGCAUCUGCUCCUGCAAUAGGUCUGUCACCUAGCGGUGCAUCAAGGACAUUAUUCUUCUAUGCAGCAAUGAGGAUAAACCUCAGAUCACGGAUCCAAUCCGCAUCAUUGCUACUAACAUCUUUCAACUUAGUUUUCUCUAGGAACAUAUAAAAAAUAAACGGGGAGCAACAUCGUGAGCUAUUGAUCUACAACAUAGAUAUGCUAAUACUACCAGGACUAAGUUCAUGAUAAAUUAAAGUUCAGUUAAUCAAAUUAUUAAAGAACUCCCACUUAGAUAGACAUCUCUCUGAUCAUCUAAGUGAUCACGUGAUCCAAAUCAACUAAACCAUAACCGAUCAUCACGUGAAAUGGAGUAGCUUUCAAUGGUGAACAUCACUCUGUUGAUCAUAUCUACUAUAUGAUUCACGCUCGACCUUUCGGUCUCAGUGUUCCGAGGCCAUAUCUGCAUAUGCUAGGCUCGUCAAGUUUAACCUGAGUAUUCUGCGUGUGCAAAACUGGCUUGCACCCGUUGUAGAUGGACGUAGAGCUUAUCACACCCGAUCAUCACGUGGUGUCUGAGCACGAAGAACUUUCGCAACGGUGCAUACUCAGGGAGAACACUUAUACUUUGAUAAUUUAGUGAGGGAUCAUCUUAUAAUGCUACCGUCAAUCAAAGCAAAAUAAGAUGCAUAAAAGAUAAACAUCACAUGCAAUCAAUAUAAGUGAUAUGAUAUGGCCAUCAUCAUCUUGUGCUUGUGAUCUCCAUCUCCGAGGCACCGUCAUGAUCACCAUCGUCACCGGCGCGACACCUUGAUCUCCAUCGUAGCAUCGUUGUCGUCUCGCCAACUAUUGCUUCUACGACUAUCGCUACCGCUUAGUGAUAAAGUAAAGCAAUUACAGGGCGAUUGCAUUGCAUACAAUAAAGCGACAACCAUAUGGCUCCUGCCAGUUGCCAAUAACUCGGUUACAAAACAUGAUCAUCUAAUACAAUAAAAUAUAGCAUCAUGUCUUGACCAUAUCACAUCACAACAUGCCCUGCAAAAAUAAGUUAGACAUCCUCUACUUUGUAGUUGCAAGUUUUACGUGGCUGCUACGGGCUGAGCAAGAACCGUUCUUACCUACGCAUCAAAACCACAACGAUAGUUCGUCAAGUUAGUGAUGUUUUAACCUUCUCAAGGACCGGGCUUAGCCACACUCAGUUCAACUAAAGUUGGAGUAACUGACACCCGCCAGCCACCUGUGUGCAAAGCACGUCGGUAGAACCAGUCUCGCGUAAGCGUACGCGUAAUGUCGGUCCGGGCCGCUUCAUCCAACAAUACCGCCGAACCAAAGUAUGACAUGUUGGUAAGCAGUAUGACUUGUAUCGCCCAUAACUCACUUGUGUUCUACUCGUGCAUAUAACAUCUACGCAUAAACCUGGCUCGGAUGCCACUGUUCGGGAACGUAGUAAUUUCAAAAUUUUCCUACGCACACACAGGAUCAUGGUGAUCCAUAGCAACGAGAGGGGAGAGUGUGUCCAUGUACCCUCGUAGACCGAAAGUGGAAGCGUUAUGUCAACUCAGUUGAUGUAGUCGUACGUCUUCACGAUCCGACCGAUCCAAGUACCGAACGCACGGCACCUCCGAGUUCUGCACACGUUCAACUCGAUGACGUCCCACGAACUGCGAUCCAGCAGAGCUUUGCAGGAGAGUUCCGUCAGCACGACGGCGUGAUGACGGUGUUGAUGAUGCUACCGACGCAGGGCUUCGCCUAAGCACCGCUACGAUAUGACCGAGGUGGAAUAUGGUGGAGGGGGGCACCGCACACGGCUAAGAGAUCAAGAGAUCAAUUGUUGUGUCUAUGGGGUGCCCCCUGGCCACGUAUAUAAAGGAGUGGAGGAGGGGGAGAGGGUCGGCCCCUAUGGUGCGCCCUGGAGGAGUCCUACUCCCACGGGGAGUAGGAUUCCCCCCCUUCCAAGUAGUAGGAGUAGGAGUCAAGGAAAGGGAAGAGAGAAGAGAAGGAAGGAGAGGGCGCAGCCCCUCCCCCUAGUCCAAUUCGGACUAGGCCUUGGGGGGCCGCGCAGCCUCUCCUCUCUCUUUCCCCUAAAGCCCAAUAAGGCCCAUAUACUCCCUGGCGAAUUCCCGUAACUCUCCGGUACUCCGAAAAAUACCCGAAUCACUCGGAACCUUUCUGAUGUCCGAAUAUAGUCGUCCAAUAUAUCGAUCUUUACGUCUCGACCAUUUCGAGACUCCUCUUCAUGUCCCCGAUCUCAUCCGGGACUCCGAACUACCUUCGGUACAUCAAAACACAUAAACUCAUAAUACCGAUCGUCACCGAACGUUAAGCGUGCGGACCCUACGGGUUCGAGUACUAUGUAGACAUGACCGAGACAUGUUUCCGGUCAAUAAUCAAUAGCGGAACCUGGAUGCUCAUAUUGGCUCCCAUAUAUUCUACGAAGAUCUUUAUCGGUCAAACCGCAUAACAACAUACGUUGUUCCCUUUGUCAUCGGUAUGUUACUUGCCCGAGAUUCGAUCGUCGGUAUCUCAAUACCUAGUUCAAUCUCGUUACCGGCAAGUCUCUUUACUCGUUCUGUAAUGCAUCAUCCCGCAACUAACUUAUUAGUCACAUGGCUUGCAAGGCUUAUAGUGAUGUGCAUUACCGAGAGGGCCCAGAGAUACCUCUCCGACAAUCGGAGUGACAAAUCAUAAUCUUGAAAUACACCAACUCAACAAGUACCUUCAGAGACACCUGUAGAGCACCUUUAUAAUCACCCAGUUACGUUGUGACGUUUGGUAGCACACAAAGUGUUCCUCCGGUAAUCGGAAGUUGUAUAAUCUCAUAGUCAUAGGAACAUGUAUAAGUCAUGAAGAAAGCAAUAGCAACAUACUAAACGAUCAAGUGCUAAGCUAACGGAAUGGGUCAAGUCAAUCACAUCAUUCUCUAAUGAUGUGAUCCCGUUAAUCAAAUGACAACUCAUGUCUAUGGCUAGGAAACUUAACCAUCUUUGAUUCAACGAGCUAGUCAAGUAGAGGCAUACUAGUGACACUCUGUUUGCCUAUGUAUUCACACAUGUAUCAAGUUUCCGGUUAAUACAAUUAUAGCAUAAAUAAUAAACAUUUAUCAUGAAAUAAGGAAAUAAAUAAUAACUUUAUUAUUGCCUCUAGGGCAUAUUUCGUUCAUGUGGCGCUUCGUGUGUGGCUGGUCCAUGCGUAAAGGCGACAAAGUGAUUGUAUCGAAGAAACCCUAGCCCACAACAGCGUUCCUCUGCCUUCCCUCCCUCUAGGCUGAGCCACCACCUCUCUGCUCCUCCCCACGGGAUCCUACUGCCGACGAUCAAGUCUUGGCGAGCAACCGACGACGAUGGAUAAGGAGAUCUAGCGCGAGCCGCUGCCGCCACAUCUCCUCCCCCUCCAGUGCAUCAUCCCCCGAUCUCCCGUGCUCCUCCUCCGCCCCGCUCCCCUGCCUGGCGGCGCUCCCUACAUCCGUCGCGGCGUCUUCUCCUCCCCUACCGUCGAUGGAAGGAGAAAGGAGGAGGAAGUGGCGGAACAGGCUUGGGGCAGCAAUCUCACGAAAUGAUAUCGACGGCAAAAAUAAGAUCAGAGCGUCGAAUAUAGAAGACACGAAGGAGGAAAGGAAAAUGCACCGCCUGGCCACGGCUGGUCGACAAGCGAGGACAGAUCAAUCUGAUCUCCACGCUCUGUCUAUCUCCGUUUGCCUAGAUCAUAUCAAUCUGGUCGCCACACUAUGUCUAUCUCCGAUUGUCUGUUUGCCAACAAAUUUCAUGGAGAGAUGCAGAUCAAGCUCAUGGAGAAUGAUGAACAUUCCUGCCUCGAGAAUCCAGAUCGGUUAUGAUAGAGGCGUGAGGAUUUACAGCUCGGCCAGAUCGUUCUUUCUUGUUUGCAAUCACGCAAUAAGAGGGAGCAUAUUAAAAAACCUCAUAUAAAUAAGAUAAGAUGCACGUGAGAAAAAAAUAGUGUAUGUCAUAGAUGGGUAAUUUAGUUCAUCUUUAAUGUAAAUAGAUAGUGGUUGAGAUCCAACAGCUGCGGUUUUUUAAGAUAUUAAAUCGAGGUCCGGAUGUUUCUGAUUAACGCGAGAAUUUCUAUUUCCCUAUUUUUGAACCGUAAUUUUCUUUUAUAUACUCCCUUCAUUCCAAAAAAUAGUGUGCCCGCGCUUUCGGAGGUCCAACUUUGACCAUAAAUUUAACCAACGAGACCGACUGCGGCGGGAGAAAAAAUUAUAUAAUUGAAAACUUCUUUUGGAUACGAAUUCACUGGUAUAACUUUUGCUCCCGCCGCAGUAAGUCUCGUUGGUUAAAUACUUAAAUUUAUGGUCAAAGUUGAAGCACGGAAAUAGAGGAAUCACUAUAUUUUGAAACGGAGGGAGUAGUAUAUAAUAGAUAUACGCUCCAAAUACUUGACUCUAUUUUAACUCUUCAUGAAUAGUUAACCAUGUAUAAUAUGCAAAAUAGAUAAUGUUUUUGAAUAUAAGUCAUGAGUAAAUAAUAUACAGAUGUGAAUAUUUAUAGAUAUUAAGUUAAUGUUUGUAUUCACCACUUCAAAGUUUAAAUAUCCGCGUGUGUAUAAUUCUUUUGUAUUCAUUAAACAUUGUAUCUAAUAUACAUUUAAUUGUUCAUAUUAACUAAAUAUUUUAUAUAUAAUAUACGGGUAUAUAUGUCAGUGAUUUUAUUUACAUAAUAUUGAUAACACAUAUAUAUUGGAACAUGAUUUUUAUUACAUACAUUGUUAAAAUAUCUUAUAAAUAUAGCUUGUGUAAAAUGGGCCGCAAUAUCUGCAGCCCAUUUAAGCUCGACAUGAGUCCUUGCUAAAUAUUUAUAUGGUUGUUAUUACACUCAAAAAAAAUUAUAUGGUUGUUAUCAGUACUGACUCUAUCAAUGAGUAGGGUUGAGUGGUUAGCUUGUUUGUUUUGGUAGCCCCUGGUCGUGGUUCGAAACCUGCACGAAAUGUUUUUCUGUAAAUAUUGACAGACGGGACCCAUUCGGCAUAGAGAAAAAAAAUGCUACGUCCAUAGGGUCUUUUUUGUCAAAAAAAUAUAUUUAUCCUGGCUGACCGCGGACCCCAUGCGCCUAGGCAACACAGAUUCUGUAUAUAAAAACGGGAUAAGCAUCCAUAUACACCGCAACUUUUAACACCAAAGUGAUCAUUUACGCCAAGUUUCAGCACCACCGAUGUAACUGACUCGUAAACUAAUGUUGUAAAGUUUUCCUAGUCGGUGGCCCGCCGAAUUUUACUCGCAGCAGGAGAGAAGUGCUAGUCAAUUUCUGGUGGCCCUACUUUUGCUCGGCCGCCGCACAUAGGAAGGGACGAGAGCGUGAGUGAGAGUUCGGCGCCAAACACGAGAAAGAACAAUGUGGUGGGGUAGCGGCCCCCACAUGCGUGGACUGGAUGCGAGUCCUUUCUGCACGCAACUUGUGGGAUCAUGUUGACGCGUAGGAUCAGCUUGGUUUGUCUAUCCACAUGCAUGCAUAUCUCCCCGUCGUCAUCCCGUGUACGCGUCGCCAUUGAAAACCGUGUGCUGACUGCUGAGGUCGCACCCCAACAUGCUCCGGAGCCCACCCUAUAAAGAGACGCAGACGCGCAUGUCGACCCAGACAUCGGCAAAUAAUUCCACGGUCCAUUGGUGCCAGCAAAGAUGGCACGAGUCCUCCUCCUCGUCCUGGCCGCCUCGCUCGCUGCGCUGGCGUCGUCCAAAGGUCUUCCGGUGCUCGCUCCGGUCACCAAGGACACCGCUACCUCCCUCUACACAAUCCCCUUCCACGACGGCGCCAACCUCGUCCUCGACGUCGCCGGCCCGCUCGUCUGGUCCACGUGCGACGGCGGCCAGCCGCCGGCGGAGAUCCCGUGCAGCAGCCCCACCUGCCUCCUCGCCAACGCCUACCCUGCCCCGGGCUGCCCCGCGCCCAGCUGCGGCAGCGACAGGCACGACAAGCCGUGCACGGCCUACCCAUACAACCCGGUCACCGGCGCGUGCGCCGCCGGGAGCCUCUUCCACACGAAGUUCGUGGCCAACACCACCGACGGGAAUAAACCGGUGAGCAAGGUGAACGUCGGGGUCGUGGCGGCGUGCGCGCCGAGCAAGCUCCUGGCGUCGCUGCCCCGGGGCUCCACGGGCGUGGCCGGGCUCGCGGACUCCGGCCUAGCGCUGCCGGCGCAGGUGGCGUCCGCGCAGAAGGUCGCCAACAGGUUCCUCCUCUGCCUCCCCACCGGCGGACUUGGCGUGGCCAUCUUCGGCGGCGGCCCGCUCCCGUGGCCGCAAUUCACACAGUCCAUGGACUACACCCCGCUCGUCGCCAAGGGAGGUAGCCCCGCGCACUACAUCUCCCUCAAGUCCAUCAAAGUGGAGAACACCCGCGUCCCCGUAUCGGAGCGGGCGCUCGCCACCGGCGGCGUGAUGCUCAGCACGAGGCUGCCCUACGUCUUGCUCCGCCGCGACGUGUACCGCCCGUUCGUGGACGCGUUCACCAAGGCCCUGGCGGCGCAGCCUGCCAACGGAGCGCCCGUGGCGCGCGCCGUGAAGCCUGUGGCGCCGUUCGAGCUCUGCUACGACACGAAGUCACUGGGCAACAACCUCGGCGGGUACUGGGUGCCGAACGUUGGGCUGGCAGUCGACGGCGGGAGUGACUGGGCGAUGACCGGGAAGAACUCGAUGGUGGACGUCAAGCCGGGGACGGCGUGCGUUGCGUUCGUGGAGAUGAAGGGGGUGGAGGCCGGCGACGGCAGGGCGCCGGCGGUGAU
rnacentral:lncRNA from 1 species